UUUUUGUUUUUUUUUAUAAAGGUUAGAUGAGUCACCACGACUAAUUUGAAAGAAAUGCGUACUUAGUAGGAGUAUUGAAAUUGGGGUGGUAGUAAUAGUAGGAUAUUGGAAGAUGGGACAUUGUUAAAAAAGGUCAAAUUGUUCUCAUUUCAGCAUCGCGGGUGGGGUGGCUCCGGGCUAACGUGGUCCUACUCCUAAAAUUAAAAGGAGUCCUUAUUAAAAUUAAGGGAUAAUUUCAUAAAUCUUUCUUGAGGUUUCUAAUAAUUACACUUACCUCCUCUAAGAUUUUAAAAAUAGCAAUAACCUCCCUUAAACUUCAGAUUUUGAUAGCAAAUUCAACCCAUAUCAGAAAAAAAAUACCAUUAAAAAAAAUGAUCAAUCUUUUCUACACUAACAAUGUAUACACUAUCAGCAUUUGAUGAUUAAUGAAGAGGUGAUUUCUGGCUUGAAGAGCUACACUGGAUAAUUGGAAUACCUUCUCAGGGGAGAUGCAGCCGCGUGGAUAUCACCUGCUUAGUUUAUCAGAGGUAGGGCUAGGUCUUCCCGUAUUUCUCCGACGAUCUAAUUAGUUUAGAUAAUAGGAGGUAAAGUAAUAUUACUAGAAAAUAAUAGAUUUUCUCUUACCAGCCCCCUCCUUCUUAGUGGGACAUGUUGAUAUUUAUAGGGGACAAUAUGGGAGGAAGGACAGUGGGUCCGAAUCCCUACAAAUCUGAUUCAGACAGCGUAUCAGUUUGACUAGACAACUCUGGAUAAGGGGCAAAGUAUGUCGAGGUCUUGUCUACUCCGCAAGUGUCAGACCAUUGGACAGGACCUCAAUUGUCAUGUCAGACACAGCACACUUCGAGAUUAUAACUGUGGUAAUCACCCCAGUCAUCCGUAGGCGGGGUCAAUCCGAGGUGAUCAGGACAGGUAAACGACCCUAAGUAGUGAGGGCCUCGCCUCGGUUCGACGGAGCUGAGGUAACGGUUAUCCCAGAGACGGCAAAUGGAGGCUCGGCCUGAUCAAGCCAAGCCGAAAUGACCAUCAUCAAUUGACAACUAUAUAAAAUUUGAAUUUAAAAUUUAAUUUUUGCACACAUAUCAUGAAUCGAACGAUGAUAGUGUAUACACAGUCAGUGUAGGAAAAUUUACUCUUAAAAAAAUCUUUUGAGAAGUGAGAUAAUAAUUUUGUUCCAUUUUUUCUCUUGUAAGAUUGUAUUAGUAAAAGAAUGAAAAAGAUUAAAAGUUAGAACUAGCUAGUGAAAUUGAAUAGGAUAUAAAAGCAAAGAGAACAAGUACAGUAACAACAACUAGAAUAAACAACGAACAUACAUUUAGAAAUAUGAUGUUCUAAAACAUAUAAAGUGCACAACCAAAUCCAAAAAAUCUCAUUUACUAAAGAAACUUUUUGUAUUAAGUUGAAAUGACAAAUGAUUGCUUACCUGUUAUCUUUUGAUUGUCGCAAAUUUUUAACAAAAAAAAAAAUCCUUAGAUUUUGCCUUAAUUUCUGCAUUCUUUCUCCUUCCGUUUCAUAAAUGUUUAAGAUAAAAUGAGCUAAACCAAAACCACCAAAACUUAUUCUCUUAUGAAGUUUUGUCCGGAGGUUUCAUUCCCCUACAGUUUUCAUGCUUUUACUUCUCUUUUAUGCAGAUAAUAUGCAACUUGAAUUGUCCUCUUAAAUAUUGUCAAUAACAAAAUAAUGUCAUAUUGGUGCAUCAAUUGGCGUCAUUUUGUAAAUGCGCUUCAGUGUCUUAUCAGGCAAGAAACAAUAGUUAAUCUUGUUUAAUUAGUUACCUUGAAAUUGUUUAUUGCCCAAAAUUUGUUUACCGACAACCUUAAACUCUGAGGGUAUAUAAGUAAAUUCACCCUCUCUUAAGGGAGGUUUCUGCAAUUAUCCCUAAAAUUUAAAAGGAGGCUAGAUAGCUAGAUAUUACUCACUCCUGCUACUUAAGGUAGGAGUAGUAGCCUAGUAGGGAGCACGUUGGAAGGGAAAGGGGCCCAUCAAAGAUCAAACCGCAGCUUGUGCUUGGUCCGCGUUCCGUUUUGAUCAUUCAUUAGUGGGUUGGUUGGUUAAUCAUCAACUCAUCAUUACCGUCAUAUGCGUUGCAUAGAUGUCACAAAGUCCCCUCCCAACACAUUUCCAUUCCAGAUUCCUCUCCUAAUUAAACUCACGGUCCUCUCCUUACUGCUAGCUACUGAUUUUGAAUUUACCCCUGGUCAACAAACAUGAUUUUUGCUAAUUAGGACGACCACUUUGGUUUUUUUUAACAAUUGGAUUUGGGGAGAGAGUUGUGGUUAAUCAUGUUUUAGUUAGGUGCAUCAGCAAUCUCAAUCUGGACGCACGCAAGUAGGACUUGAUGAUUAGUAGCAAUAUAUUUGUAUGAAUGCUUCAUGUAUGUAUGAUGUACCUUUCCAUAUAUAUAUAUAUAUAUAUAUAUAUAUAUAUAUAUUGUUGGUUAUCACUUAUCCAUAACGACAGUCGUUCACAAAAAUACAUUCGCAAUGUGAUCCCAACUAGUAAUUGUGUAGGUCCUUGAUGACUAUGAGUCAAAUGUGAUCCUGAACUAGAUCUAAUUCGGGUCAUUAAUAUCAUUACUCUCACUACUAUGUUUUUUGCUAUUCUAUUUACCCUUUAUUUUUUUGGCUUUCUUUUGGUUGCUUGUUGGUAUCCAGUUUGAAGCUCGUUAUGACCAUUUCUUGGCUUUAUUAUGCACGGGCUCGGCUGGGCCGGGCCGCCCGUGAUAGGGGGAGCAAAAGACGAAGAAAGUAUUACUCCGUAGCAAAUUUUAGUAGAACACAGUCCAGCUGAACAAAUAUAUUUAUCGGUCGGUCUCCGGUGGAUGUACCAAAUUCACCACCGCAGUGACUCAACGUAUGCCAAUUCAGGAAAUGGUUGGAUUGGAUGGUAAGUGAGAGGGAUCUUAGUAAGUAACAAGUUUUUAAUUUAAAAUCUAGAACUAGAAAGAAAGAAAAAAGUGCCAAUUUUGCUCUAAAAAUUUUGCUCUUUUUUCGUGUAUUUUUCCCUUCUUUUCUGGGUUUUGAUUCAAUAUAUGCCAGACCUGACAAUCACUACUAGAAUCGUCCUAGCCGCUUUGCGCUAAUUUUUUUCUGCUUCAUGUGCAAGCAUCAUGAAUUACUAGAGACAAAAUUGGCUGAACCUCAAAAUUAAUUAAUUCAUACAAUAUAAAUUUUGUAUACAUUUGUAGUAUAGUAUAUACUGGUAUCAAUGCGGAAGAUUAAUUCAUACGUCAAUGUUAUAGCUUGGCGUUAAAAUGGUGGCGCGGUGCAUGGAGACAUUAUAUAGAAGCAGAGAAAGUAAGGAAUGAAAGGGGUGGAGGUGGCAGCAGCACAGGAUCCGAUUCCUUCUUAUUUGGGGUGGUGGGAACCCCAGCAUCGGGGACAGACAUAAUACUGCUGGUAACAUUGGACUCUUAAAACAACAUAGGGAUGGGCGAAGCCGCCUGCUCCUCAGGAUUCCCAAGAGUCACUCUUCUGCUUGGUUCCUACUGCCUUAUUCUGGAGAUAAUGUCGAGUGUAGUUUUUUUUUUUUUUGUCGCAACGAUAGAUGUCCUAUAACCUAAUCUAGCCUAGUCUAAGGGAAAGGGGAGGGGGUUCGAUGUGAGUACAGACUCCAUCGAUGAAGGUCAAUUAAGACCGCCACAAAUUGUGGCAAAUUUGUGGGAGGCAGGGAUUGAACCCCUGACCUCCAGCAUCACCUUUAAUGGUGAUGACCACUGGACCAAAUGGCCAGUGGCUUAAUGUCGAGUGUAGUACUAGUAAGUAAAUUGGAUUCACUUUUGUAGGCACAAAAUAGAAAUCCAAGUAGUCGAUGCCUUUUUGGGGGAGGACUAUAUUAUUAUUGUAAUGCUACUAUUUGACUGUGUACAUACGGAGAUGUCGAUGCUCAUUUAAUUAUGAUUUUUUUGAAAAAAAUGCCAUUUUCGUGUGAACCCCAACCCCCGGGAGAGGGAGAGGGAGAUGGAGGGGGAGAGGGUGGGUGGGGCAAAACGUACAAAAUCCAUCUGGCUUUGCACUUUUGACUUUGCAUAGUGAGAAAAAAGCAAAUGUUGCUUACUAAUAAGUUGUAACUAGUAUUACUCCAGCAUAUAUUAUAGACAGCAGUAGACUGUGACUGGGUGUCUAAUUCUUUCUAGGGAUAAUUUCAGAAACCUCCCCUGAGGUUUCUGACAGUCUCAAGGACCUCCCCUGAAGUUCCGAAAAUCCCUUAUACCUCCCCUGUCAGAUUGUUGGGUCCCAAAAUGACUUGAAAAAUGUUGAAUUGACACAAAUAUCCCUGCUGUUGAAGUAAUAUAUUCUGAUAAUAACAUGAAUUAAUUAGUGAAAUGAGUAAUAGAAAGGAUUAAGUAACUUAACUGGAAUUUGAUAAUAAAAUGAAUUGCUAAUUUGGGCUAAGAGAAAAGGCGCCAAAAAUUGCAUCAAACUAAAAGGGAUAUUUAAUAUUCAAUAAAAAAAGAAUCCAAAAAAUUUCUUUUAUUUUAUAGAGGAAUAAAAAGGAUAGUUAAUAGAGGAAAAAAGAAUUAUUCCUUUUUAUUCCGUUCCUAUUCUACUUUUUCAUAAAAGGGAAUUUUAACCAAAAUCAAACUAAAAGAUUAUUUCGUUCUUGAUAGUUAUUUAAUUAAUUAUUGGAUGGGAACAUACUCUGGAUCGGAAUCUUGGGGAAUACUUCUUGAUCAUUUCUACCAACUUAAAGCCCCAGUUUGAAUUCCCUUUAUAUACGGAAAUAUCCCUUUGGAAAUAUCCCUUUAUUUAUCGGAUAAAAUAAAUUUAAACCCAUUGUUGAAUAAAAGACCAGCUCUUUAUGGCUUUCGUCCAUUAUACUUACAGAGUACCCAUUUUCCUUCAAUGCGAGGUCAUGUACCUUGCAUUUAACAAAUGCAAGGUCAUGUACCUCAGUUUCCCAUCAUUGUUUCGUAUGAUGCUUCCAUAUUUUGGCAUGAUUUUUCCUUUUGCUUCAGCUGUAAUGCCAUGUACUCAAUAUAAAUGAUUUAACUGCAAAUUAUAAAAUGAUUUACAAUUUGCAAUGAAAGCGUCUACAAAUUUUAGCAGUUAAGGCUCUAAAUUCAUUAGAACUGGAAAAAAUUUUUAUUUUAAUUCAAUAAAUUUAUUUUAUUUUAUUUUAAUUUCGGCAUUCAAUGGGUUUAAAUUUAUUUUAUCCGAUAAAUAAAUUUCUAUUUAAGGCACCUUGGGUAUUCUGUGAGUAUAAUGGACGAAAGGCAUAAAGAGCUGGUCUUUUAUUCAACAACGAAUUUUAGCAGUGAAGAAACCUCAGUCACAACCCAACAACAUUCACUGGUUUCUCUUGCAACUUCAGUAGGCAAUUAUAUAGAGCUCCAAAGCAACACUACUGUUUCUUAUUACCGUUACAAAGAACUACUUUGAGAGCCGUUGGCAUGAACUAGAAGACAAUUUCUUGCAAUACAGCCUUACCUUUUUCCAUCAGUUUCACAUACACCCCCCGCAAUUUCAAAGGAACUAGAUUCCAUUGAAAUUUUCAACAUAAACAUCCUCACUAAUGACAAUCUUGAGGGCAGAGAUGGAAUUUGAUUAUUUUCUCUCUCCUGAAACACAUUUUAUAUUCAUUGUCCACCUCAAUUGGGUUGGACCUGAAACUAUCUACUUAGUUUUAGGGGAGGUAUAAGGGAUUUUCGGAACUUCAGGGGAGGUCCUUGAGACUGUCAAAAACCUCAGGGGAGGUUUCUGAAAUUAUCCCUUCUUUCUAACUUCGUUUCCAGGACAGAUAAGUCGUCAUAAGAUGCCAUAUAGUUUUUUCUUUUUUUUUUUUUUAACGCAGGGAGUAUCUCAAUUUUUAUCGGUUUAAUUUUUUUAGACCUGUACAUUCCGUCCCCAAGAAUACACAAACAAUAAAGGAGUUAUUCAAACACACAAUAUCGAGACCUAAUUAGAGUACUUCGAAAUCAUCAUCGGACCAAUCCAAGUUGUCUCAUUAUAUCGAUCUUAUUAUAUAUUGGGUGGGGUGGGUAUACGUUUCUCGUUUCAUCGAUCUUACUUGUGCAGGGUAUAGAGGCGUGGCACCAAGUUAUGAUACGGUCAGAUGAUGAUGAGAGUACCAAAAGUACUUACUCCUACUUAUGAACUAACGAUGAUGAUACUAAAGAGUCUUUUUUUUUUUUCCACUACCACUACCAUGAACUAUCUAUCAGUUGGUAUCAUCUCCAACUCAAGUCUGUAAGAAUGGAGCAUCUUCUUCUUUGCCUUUCCAGUUCUCUACUACUUACUACGCUUUGCCAGCCUGCUUACUACUACUCUUCUUCUUCUUCUAUUUUUUUUUUUUCUGACAAAAGUGGGUAUCCGAGAUUCACGGGUUAUAUUCCCGGACCCGACUAUUCCCGCUCUGCUUGUGCCUCCACCCCCAGAAGACACAAGACGUUAGAAGGGGUCGAACCGUGAUCACCCGAUGCUAGGACCUGAAGAGGCUCUCCCAGCACCAACCGAGCCAACCCCGAGGGUUUCUUCUUCUUCUUCUAUUCAUGGCCCUUACUUAUGGCGUCAAUAGCUUAAAAUUAGAUCAAAGAAAUCGCUUGCAAAAGGAGUAAUUUUUUUAAUUAAUUAAGGGUGUGUGAGAGAGACAGAGAGGUGAACUAUAAUGAUAAUGUGGAUGGAUGGGACCGCGUGAUGAAUCUAUUGCUAUUCUCCAAAAGACAUACUCUAGUGUAGUGUUGAUAUAUAUAAUUAUAUAUAUAUAUAUAGGUCCCACCGCUUGGAUUAGUACAUACAAUCCAUCAUUAAUCCCACCAACCACUUCCCCAGUUACUAGUCCACAAUCUUCCCAACUGUCAUCUUGCCUUUUGCCCCACCACCCCCCUUCCUCUCCUCUCUCUCCUUUUCAAUCCAUCCUACCGACAUUAAUUUACUCACUGCUUAAAAACAAAAUAAACAUUAAACGCUCACACGCUGCACUGCACUUUGUGAUUGUGUAUGCUCGACUCGGUUAGUAGCAAAUAUUAAGAAUGUUUAGUUUGGCCUUGCUAUGUACAAGUCGUCGUGUUUUCAUUACUGUCUCUCUCUCUUUUUCCCCCUUUUUUUUUUUUGUCAAAAUCUGUUUUUCCUUUUUCUCGUCGAGUGUUAUGUUGAAAAAAAACAAAAAGAUGGUGUGAACAUGAGACCUGCAUUGAAGAACUCUUGGCAGCGCCAAAAAAGAACGUACCAUGAUUUUGUGCCCUUCUGCUUGAGAAACUCGAACAUUUUUUUGUGCAAUUAUUAAUUAAUUUAAUUGUAUGAAUCGACAAAAAUUCAAAUUUACACGAAUUUACGUCAAAAUUUACACUUAUCGAUUUGAUUAGACAUAACACCGUCUUUUGAUUAGCAGGAGAAGAGGAGAUAAUUUCCUAACUCACUUUAAUCGCUCUUUUUUUCCCUUGCGAACGUGGCUUAUGAGAUCUCUUCUUUUCGCAUUCGUUUCGAGUUAUCGGCGAUGGCAACAAGAUUUAGUUGAAGUGACAAAACCAACUUUAUUCUUCUUUUAUUUCAAAAUCAUGCUAGAACAAGCGAACAGUAGUGAUGAUUGAGAAUACCAUCCAAUCAGGCAAAUAGGAGACGGGUGAAUAAAAGUUCAAAGUGGGCAGCUCCUCUUUCUCUUCUCUUCUAGAAGAUUUACAAGAUAAACGGGAGCCACAGAUGUCAUUAAUCAUGCUGAUGCAUACAGUAAUUAAUCAUCAUGCUGAUGCAUACAGUAAGCAGCGAGAUAUGAUGAUCAUUUUCUUUUUCUUUUGUUGAGAUGGUGAGCCGAUUUAUUAUUUAUUUAAAGUUAUUAAAACCAGGCUAGCCUAUGUUUCAGACGGAUAGCGAUAGCAUGAUUGUGAACGGCUACAAAAUGAAGGUUGGUUGUUGAAGCGGUUGAUGAGAAGCCACUUAUGAUCGAUCAGUGGGCAUGACGGAAUCAAAUGCCACUCGAGUUGGUGAACUUUGUGAGUGAGUGAGUGAGCGGCUUGGGAGCACUAAUCAAGGUGAGGACGUUCCCAUUUGGUUAACUAUACCCUUUAAAGAAGUCUUCUUUCCCAUCACGCAUGACUAUCCAUCUGUCCAUAAAUGGUACGAGGAGUAGACAAAGUACUGUGUGUUUGAAACAGGUCACAACUUGGCUGCAUCUGAGUUUUGGUACUUCCAACUUCAAUGGAGAUAGUUGAUAUUGACUCUUGACAUACUUGUACAAAUAAUCAUCCUUAAUAUCAACUCAUAAGGACGCACAAAAUAGUUAUACGCAUAUUAGUGCUAAAAUAAAACACUACUAUUUGUCAUAGGUGCUUGUUAAAUUUUGCUUCAAUUAAAAAGCAAGAGUAAAAUUAUACUGAAAGACUAACUAAAUAGUAAAAUCAUAAAUGUGAUUUUGUGUAGGGAGAGAGAGAGAGAGAGAAAAUAAUAGAAAGGGAACAAAAAAGGAAGGAAUACCGGGAAGGAGGAUGGAGGGAAAGAAUGAAAAAAGAGAUGAUGGAAUAAGGAGAGAGGCGGUGCAGUGACAGAGAAGAAGGAAGAGAGAUAGAAAGGGAGCGAAGAAGGAAUAGAAAGAGGAAAAUGGUGGAAGAUGGAAAUAGGUUGGUGAUAUGGAUUUGAUUUCAAAAAUUAGAGUUUAUAUGGAGAAUAAUUGGAAAAAGUGGUGGAUUAAAUGAGAAAUAGGGUCAAUAUGAUGUGAGUUGUCAAAUUUGGCCUUCAAAUAUUGACCAUCUGAUGAAUCCGUGACAUAUUCCGACCAAAAAUUGACCUAAAAGAUGAUAACGGACAAAAAAUGAACACUUUUUUUAGCUGUUGGUGUUAGGGACUAAAAUCAACCAUUUUGAUUAUAACGGAUUAAAAUUUAACAUAUGCAAUAUGUGAAGGACGAUAGUGUGAUUUUUCUUUUCAUUUCUCGAAGGGUGGUUAUUUUGAUAGUUUAUUAAUAUGUCCAAAUUUAAUGUAUAUUAUUAACAGUAAUUUUAAUUUUAUUAUUUAUUUUAGUCAAAUUUAUAACUUUGAUUAGGUUAAGGGUUGCAUUGAAAAGUAAAGAGCAAUAAUUAACAAGAAUGAGUUAGCAAGUAUGAGUUAUCUAAUAUUGAAGGAGGUAUGAGGAAAGUGUAAUUAAAAAUAAUUAUUUUAAUUAUAUUAAUCAACUGUUUAUGAUUUUAAGGUUAAUGGUAGGAGCAUUAAACAUGUACAGUAGUAUAUAAUUUAGCCAUUGAAUUUAAGUAAUGUGACUCAAUAAUGCGUGAGUUUGGUGGUCAUAGAAAAAGAAGAAUUGCAAUGUUUGUAACGACUCAUGUGUUAAUGAACGUAAUUUCGCGAAGCUACUAGCCAUUGAAAAUUCAAUCAUAUGAGCUAAUAUUGCGCGUCUUUGGUGUCAAGUAUUGGCUUGUGGUCAUGUCUUUUAUAGAAAGAGAAAAAUAAUAAUAUGUUUGUAAUGAGUCACGCGUUGAUGAAUAAUAAUUUCGUGAAGCCACCGUUGUGUUGAGUCAUGUUUUUUUCCCACCUUCUUUAGUCUCGUAUAAAAGAAAAGUUUAACACCCAAAUGCAAAUCAAAUAUGAUGGUUAAAGAGUUCUAUUGGAGAGAGGUCUGAUCACUAACUUGGUAGAAGGUUCUAAGGAAAAUAUUUUAGUGGGGGCACAAAUAAAUGGUGUAGAUUAAUAAUAACAUUUUGAUAAUCUUGAUUUUUCUUUUUCACAUAGUUUAAGAAAAAAGUUCAUUUUAUUGGAAUAAUAAAUCUAACUUACUAUCUUUCUAAAAUACACUUGCAUUAAAUGGAGCAUGACUACAUAAUUUUACAUUAAUACAACAAAAAUAUUGAUGGAAAGUUGCACCAUUUAACGACAACCUACUUUAAAUAAGUUAGGUUAUAUUUAAUAACAUUCUAUAUUGAAUAAGAACAAUUUAGAAAAGUUCAAAGUUAACUAUAUUCUUCAAUUGAAAAGUGGGUUUAGGGAUGAUAAUGGAUAGGGUAAAAUCUAAUACCCAUGGAUAUUCGACCCAAUAGUUAAUUCAAUUAAACGACUGAUGGUUAAUUCGUUAUGGUUUAGUAUUGAUGAGGGGUAAUCGAUGUGUAAUCUGAUGAGAUUUGGUAAAAGAACCCUAAAAGGUCCAAACCUGAUACCCGACAUAAUAUGCUGAAUUCCUCUCAUGUAGAUUCUAUGGUUCUAUCAAAGUUCAGAAUUUAAUGUAAUGUGUUGGAUUUAACAUGUUGUGUGUAUUAAUUUUAGUUUCAUAUUAGUUAAUUACUCCCUCCGUUUGCCCUAAAUUGUAGUCCACUUUUCAAUUAAAAAAUGUAGUUGUCUUUUAAUUUUUCUAAAAUACCCUUAUUCAAUGUAGGUUGUUAUUAAUAUAAACUACCUUAUUUAAUAUAGAUUAUUUUGAAUAUAAUCUGCCCAUUUAAUAAUUUUUAAUUUCCAAAAUAUAUUGAUGUAUGAAAAGCUAGCUUUAUUAUUCUUUUAAGCUUAUUUAUAUCAGUAGGGAAACAAACGAUGUCAUCAUUUUCUGGAAGAUAAUUUAAAUCAACGAAUUUUUUUUUUUUGCAAAGUUGAGAAGAUGUUUUCUAGCAAAAUAUUCAAAUCGAUGGCACUAACUUUGGAUGAAUUAUCCAUUUUUCAUUGCCUUUGCUUAAGCUUAAUUAGUUGCUAUAUUUAUAGAAUUCGAUGUAAAAAUUGAAGACAAUUUUGGUGGGAAGAACAUGAAUCCACUGUUGGCGGAUAAUUGAAAAUGAAAUGGAGUGUUAGGUGGUUGAAACUUUUUGAUUAUGAAAUGGAGUAUUAGGCCGCUGAAACUUUUUGAUAAUUUCAAUUGAAACAAUCAUGGUGGUAAGAACUUGAAUGCACUAUUCGUGGAAUUCAAAUUAGCAGGUAGAGGGUAAUCGAUGAAUAAUCCAAACUUGAGAGCGAGAGGGUUACGUAAUAGAAGUUAAAAUCGUAGGAUUACCUGAUAGAAUUUGAUAAAAGAUUUAGAUACGUAGGUUAGGAUUUGGUAAUAGAGAUUUUUAAGAGGUACCCGACCUACUGUCAUUCCUAAGUGGAUUACAAUUUGAAAUGGAUGAAAAAAUGAAAACAAGCUUGUCAAGUUGUGACGAAUGGAGUAGCAAUUAGCAAUAAAUUUAAUUAAUAAACGAGUUUUUUAAUGGAUGCCCAUUGGACAUUGGAUAAUAUACUUAAAAUUUGUCUAAUCUACCAUGAAUAUUUCAUGUACAUACUAACAAUUAUUACCCUCCAUUGCUUUUAUAUACUUUCUUUAUUUUAAUCUUACUUACCAUGUUUUACAUUUUUUUCUAAUUAAUUUUAUAUUUCUAAAAUAUAACAUCCGAAAUAUAACGGGGCAUGAGCAUUAAUGAUAAAACGUUAGACAGACCCUUAAUAAAUAAAACAGGUGGAUGUGAAGAAUCCUUUAAUGAUCUGCAAUUUAUUGAAGAACAUUUUUUGUUUGUACUUAUUAAAAGACUCAAAAGUAAACAGUAGUACUUCCCAAAGUAUUGAAUUUGUGGUUGGAGUAUAAAUUAUCAUUAUCAUCAAAUUACUCAUGGAUUGGUAAUCGUAUUGAAUUCUACUGAUUACUAAGGUGAAGCUAAAAUUAUUCUACGAUUGAAUACCUAAUAAAAUGUAGUAUAUAUUUAAUUUAGUCAGUGGGAGCACUUGGUAUAUCAAAUUCUACACCUAAAAUUGAGAAGAUUUUCUUUGAUCAUCGGUUGGCUGUGCGAGGCUCCAAAACUCUCUGCCCCAGUCCACUAACCAGCAAAGGUAGAUCCGUCCCUGCCGCCUUCUCGUUUUAUACGGCUCCAGAAUGUACUACUGCACUGUCAGUCGGAACAGAAGCAUCGGUGUCAGCAAAACUCUCCUAGAUGUGAGCGGUUUUUUCUAUUCUUCCAAACCCAAUGCAUACAUGCCAAACACCCAAAAAAAGAAAAAAAGAAAAAAAGGGAAAAUUUCCUGCCAUUCUCAUCCCAGCAAUGUAACCAAACCACUGCUAUUAAAGGGGACAGAUUUAACUGGAACAAGAAGAACUGGAAGGCGUCUAAGCUGGCACCGGGAAUCCUCCCCCAGCUUCACAAAAACCAUCUCCGUAAUCCGCAUCCAAUUUCCCUUCGUAAACCCCCUGAAAUCCCUCACUUCCCUCUUCCCCCGACCCCACCUUGUAUACCUGAAUUACCUAAAACGUCCUUCCCACCGUACGACAAAAUUGAUUUGACUUUUGUAAUUCUAAAUAAAUAAAGAAGAAAAAGAAAAAAGGGCCUCAUCAAGUGGCAGUUAAAUUAGUACUGGAGUAAUUUACUACGGCCGCGCCAGGCCAGGCCAGGCCAGGCCAGCGCCGCGGCGUGAAAGAGAGGAGGAAAAGACAAAGGAGGGGGUAUGUAUCAUGUAUGAGAAGCAAUAAUGAGGGAGGCAGCGGGCAGUGGAUGGAGUGGGGUAAAAACUAAAAAAGGCCAUGAUUGAAGGUUCCCGACAAAAUAAAAAAGAGCCGAAAGAAGAAGGUCGAUCACGGCACAAGUUACUGUAGCGGUAAGUUACUGAGACACAUCCAUCCACAACAACUGAAGAAAGUCUUGAAAAGAAUGAAAUGAAGAGUUUGAUCGAAAAAAAUUAUAGCCAAACAAUCUACAUACGCAACGUACAUACAUACAUACAUCAUCACCAUCAACGUCGCCAUCAACAUAAUGGAUGCAGACUUUAAAAUGACAGCAGCGCUUUCCCCAUAAUCCAAUCCGUAAUUUCAUUUCCAUUUCUACUCCCCACUCUUUUCUUGGUCCAAUUUCUUGUACGAUUUAGUAUGAUCAGCGAUACGAGUUGACAAACGAUUUGAUCAAUAUAUAUAUAUAGAGUGUAUUUUACACUAAAAAAUAUUACUCCUAUCCUAGUAUAAAAAAUUACUCAACUGGACGGAGCAAAUUGGAUAAAAUCUCAAGCCCGGAUGCUCUCCUUCCUUCCGUAUAUAUAUAUAUAUAUAUAUAUUUAUACAGGCGAAACGCUCAAAUCUCAGUUUUCAUUUUCUUUAUUAUAAAUAAUAAAUAGUACUAACUGUUUUCAGCUCCCAACCGCCCAUUCCUCACCCCACACACACACACUGAGACAGAGAGAGAGAGAGACACACACACUCUCUCUCUCUCUCUCUCUCUCUCUCCGCAUUCCAGCCUCUUUAUGAAUCGAAUUGAAUGACCGCGUCUCUACUCCUAGAGUCCUAUGUUUCUCCACAGAUAUAUUAAUGUAUAGUAGUAUAACAGAGUAGACAUCCUUCUUCUACUCUAUAUUAGUAGAGUAUUAUUCUAUCCCGAGAUCUUCUGCCACCGCUUGGCUUUUUUGCCACAAUCCCUGAAUACUCCCCACAAACCGAAUUUCUUAUUUUAUAUUCUCUUCUCUAGUCAUCAUAAAAUAAGUAGGACUCCUUGCUCAUAUUUCCAGCUCAGGUCAACAAAUGCCCUGCCAGGCCUGAAAUUCUUCUGGGCAUUCACCGCUUCCCACUUUUGCUUUGGACACAGGAGGUCCGCUGCCUGGGAUUCCCCUCCGGACAAGUCUUCGAUAUUCAUUCUUCAACCCAAGGAUACAAAACAAAAAAGAGAAAGAAUGAGGCUCCUGCCCCUGGGUUUUAGCAGGGCUCCUGUUCCUCCUCCUCCCUAAUGCUUAUGGUUACGAUUUCUUCUUCCUCUUCUUUCUUGCAUUUCUCUCUGCUUUCUUCUUCAUCAAUGUUCUAUCAACUCCCCAAUCAACUCGCCACAUUGCAAAGGCUAUAAUUCCUUUGCUUUUGCUUGCAUUCGUUGUAUCCAUCCUUCGGGGUGGCCUGCCUUGUCCUCCUACUACUUAUUCUUCUUCUCUCCUUUCCAGCUUUUUACCCACUUAUCGCAAGUUGCAAUCUUUUUAUUUUCUCUUCUCUGAAUACAAAGUAAGGUUUUAUUAUUAUUAUUUUUUGGGCGAAGAAUACAAACUAAGGUUCGGUGCUUGAUGUUGUAAUAAUAGGAGUCUAUUAAGCAAUUGUUUCCCCUGGCUCCUUUGUUUUUUUUUUUUUUUGUGAGGGCGAGGGGGUGAUGGGGUUGGCAAAUUUUCGUCGUAAUAGAAAUUUGACUACUAGCGUAGAAUUUUAGUAGAAAACGUAGCCUUGGUGGUCUCUGUAUCUUUGGAGUUGGUAUCCAUUUUGUUGGUUGUUGGUAGUUGUGCCGUAAUAUUUGUAAAAGAGUUACUUUUUUUCCAGGUACUGUGGUUUAUGGUACUGCUACUAUUUAUUGCGGAUGCACAGAGGUCUGACCAAACCUUUCAUUUGACUCCCAAUGGCACAUUGGGGUAAGUUAUUUAUGGCUUUGCCUUAAUUACUAGUAGUAAACCUGAUGGUGCUCUGUACUAGAUUAAAAAUAUGGUCAUUUUCAUUUCUGUCUAAAACGCGAAAUCGAGUGUAAUUGUGUAAUAAGUCUUUAGUGUAUACGUCAAGAAGAGGCUCUUUAUUGAAGGUUGUUCUUUAUUCUUGAACUUCGUCCAUGCAAGCUCUAGGCCCUAUAAAGCACAAUUUAUAGAUAUUAUCUCCACCAUUGAGAAGGCUAUGCAUUCAUGGGUGUCAAUGGCACUAUUUGCUGGAAUCUACUUGAAAUUCUUUUUCACUGGAGCUGAAAUAAAGUGUAACAGAAUUCGCUUGUCUUGUCUUGUCUUACUUCGUGGCUAAGAAGGCUAUACGAAUGCAGCACUUCUACUACAACCUUUAUCUGGACCUAAAAUAAUUUACCAGUAUUUUUGUGGUGACUAGGCAAACACAUUCUGAAGGAUACUGUGCUAUGUAUGACAUCUGUGGAGCACGUAGUGAUGGCAAAGUACUUAACUGUCCUUUUGGUUCCCCAUCUGUCAAGGUACAUACCUUAGCAAUAUCAUGGAUAAUUCAGUUACCCGCUAUUAUGAAACUGCACUUUGUUAUAGUUUUGACUCUCAUGCCUUAAACUUUGUUCGCUGUUCUAUUUGUCAUAAAUCCUCUUAUCACCGCUUUCCAUCUGCAUUGUCGUCUGAUUUUUCUAUUUUAUCAGCUCUGCAACUGCGUUGUUCUUGUUUCUGCUUAAGUACUCAGUUCUUGUGCAAUGUUUCUGAAGUUGUAUGUGUCUUUUGAAGUUGACAAAUGUGUUCCUCUUUAUUCUUUACAGCCAGAUGAUCUACUUUCAUCAAAGAUUCAGAGUUUGUGUCCAACCAUUACUGGAAAUGUCUGUUGUACGGAGGCUCAAUUUGGGACUUUAAGAACGCAAGUCCAGCAAGUAAGAUGAUUCUUACCUGUUUUUGCUAGGUUUUACAUUUUUGGCAGAUCAUGUUGCAGGAGAGUUAGGUAAUUUCAUUUAGACUGAUACAUUGCUCUGAUUGCCUAAGUUGUUAGGGAAUGAGCAGGAGUGGUUAUCUUCUGCUCCUAGUUUUGAUCCUUAUUUCUAGGGCAAGCAAAUUCACUAAGAUUGUUAAAUGCAGAUCAGAUUCUGGGGCAAUGUGAUUUUGUGCUUGACAGCUUAGCUUAGGCUCCCUUCGCUCUGUGGAGAUUCAGCAGCAUGCUUUUUAAAUUUGAACGUCUUAAAAUUUCUUUGGCCAUAGCUGCUGUCAGUAUUGGAAAUGCCAUGUUAGUUGGAAGCGUUAUUGUUGCAUUUUUGCUGAAAAUGAAGUGAUAUUCACCAUUAGUAUAUCUGAGAUGGUCGUAGUAUUUGAACUCCAAUCAAACUUGGACCGAGUAAAUUCCUUCUCUCCAAAUUUGAUGAAGCAUGGGCUAAUUCUAGAGUGCUUGCAUUUGAUCAAAGCAGCUUCUUCCUAAAGCCCAUCAGAAAAUAGCUAAAUUUCUUUUUAAUAAGAAAAGGACUAAAAGAGAGAAUUAGUUUUGGAUUUGUGAUCUGCAACAGCUCUAAGUUAGUGCUUCCAAACAAUACCGUCUGCUGUGGUAUUUGUCCCCUUCCUCAGCUUUUGGUCUUUUCAGAACUUUUCUUCUGUCUCCACAUACCUCAGUGCUACUGUUCGGUACAUAGUGUAGACUUUUUCCUCCCCUUGUAUUUUCACCAUGCAUUGCCUUUUGGUCAUGGGAUAAUUUGGUAUUUUAUGGCUUUUGCCAACUAUUGUAACAGUUUUUGACUCAAGUUAUAUCUAAUACCAACUCAAAGUCAUUGCUCUCUUCAUUAGUCUAUCUUUCUGAAGAAAGAAAAUGGAUGAAUUGUUUCUAAUCAACAACUUUGUUGCAGGCAAUCCCUUUUCUUGUAGGCUGCCCAGCAUGCUUGAGAAAUUUUUUGAAUUUAUUCUGUGAACUUUCAUGCUCUCCAAGUCAAAGUCAGUUUAUCAAUGUGACUUCUGUGGACAAGGUUAGUCUGGAUAUUUCUCCAAAAGUUGCCUUAUUAACUUGUUUCUGACGUAGUUUAUUUAUUCUUUGCAUAAUCUUGAGGCUAUUAGUUUGGCAAGAUAUAUUUGUGGAUCCUCAACAUCCACCAGUAUGCCACCGUUUGAGCAGCUAAGACUUGAUGAGCUUCUUAAUAAAAAUAAAUGAAUCUACAAGUCAAUAUAUCCAAUGUUUAUCCUCGCUUUAAUUUCCCAUUGGGUGAAUUGGCUGCCAGAUGCGACUUGUUGGUAGGUUUUAGUAUUAUGGCACAAACUCAUUUGUAAAACUAAUAACGCCAUCUUUUGGUUGGCAAAUACUGAUUGUUUUUAUCAGUUCAAGCUGCUAACUUUGCCUUAGCACCUCUCGUGAGAAUUAUGCAAAUCUCAUCUUUUUCAUUGUGUUUCAGAUAGGAAAAAAUUCGACAGUCGGUGGGAUUGACUUCUUUAUUACUGACAGUUUUGGGGAGGGAAUGUUUGAAUCCUGCAAGGAUGUAAAGUUUGGUACCAUGAAUAGUCGAGCCAUAGAGUUCAUUGGUGCUGGUGCUAAAAAUUUUAGAGGUGAACCUCCUUUCUUUGCUUUAGAGGACAUUUAGAUCAGUUGCAUGCAUGGAUGCAUCUGUGUGUUUAUGUUUCUUUUCAUAGUUGAGCACUUUCUCUGGAAUCUACAGUUUUCUAUCAGAUCUUUUCUGGCAGUUCAAAUUUUGAAGACAAUUCUCGGUUGCUGGUAGCUUUAGAGUUGGAUAGCGUUCUUAUUUUAUUCGUUACUUUUUGAAUAUUUACUGAUUACUGAUUCUUAGCAGAUUGGUAUGCAUUUAUUGGCCGGCGAGCACCACUUGGGGUUCCAGGAUCACCAUAUGCAAUCAACUUUCGCUCUGCUGCUCCUGAUUCAUCUGGAAUGAAACCCAUGAAUGUCUCCACAUAUUCAUGCAGUGACACUUCACUAGGCUGUUCUUGCGGUGAUUGUCCUGCAUCUCCUGUCUGCUCUGCCUCUGCUUCUCCUGCUUCUCAUGCAAAACGUUCCUGUUCAGUGAGAAUUGGGUCCAUCAAGGUGAUAUAUUUAUGUGACUGUUUGUGCAAAUUCUCAUAGAAUAGUCAGAUUGAGAACUGUUAUGUUUCUUGCUGUGGAAAGUUGAUGCUGAGAGAUCAUGUGCGAUGCAGGCAAAGUGCAUUGAAGUUGCUGUAGCAAUACUGUACAUAGUACUCGUUUCAGUGUUUCUUGGAUGGGGGUUUUGGCACAGGAAAAAAGAAAGAGCCCCUGUGUCCAGAACUAAACCAUUGGUUAGUGUUACCAAUAUUGGUGUUGUUCGUCAUGUCAACAAUCAGAAAGAUGAGAAUAUUCCCAUGCAGGUGUUUACCUACUUUGAGCUAUAUAUACUUUGUUCACUUAUUUUGUUCAAGGAUACUAUACCUUCUUAACAUUCUGAUAUUUAGAUUUUAACCACGUAAUUGAUGAUGAAAAAAAUUGUAUAUGCCAUGUUAAUUGAUGAUAAUUGUUGCUAGAUAGAUCUGAACAGUUUUCAAAUCCCAAUAUUUCUCUGCAGUUUCACUUUAUAACAAGAACUUUCAGAAAAUCUUUGUUUGCUAUUUGUUUCCAAUUGCAUUUGUCCACAUGAAUAUUUAGAAAGAAAAAAUUCAUGGUGGAGAACAUGUUUGCUGCAACUUCACUCCCUACAGUGGAUAAUUUAUGGUCAUUUUAGAUACUUUGAUGUUUAUUUCUUCAUGAUUUCAUGUUCCUAUUUCCUAAUACGUUUCUAGAUUUAUGCUAGGUGAUUUUAUCUCCUCCAUUGGCUUUGCACCUUUGGGAUUCUAAAAGAUUACUCUAACAAGUAUGAUUGACCACAUACACCUUUGGUUCUCCAGAUGCUUGAGGAUGUCCCUCAAAUUACAAACGGUGUGCAACUGUCAAUUGUGCAAGGAUUCUUAGCAAAAUUUUACAGGUGAUUUCUAGUCAUAGUAUUAGUUUUGAUCAAGACUUUGCUAGUAUGGUGUCCAGAGAUUGACGCAUUAAUGUGGUUGGUUGCAAUUUGUAUUUCAGGAAAUAUGGAACAUGGGUUGCUAGAAAAUCCAAUUCUUGUCUUGUGUUCUUCGUUAGCUAUUGUUUUUGUACUUUGCUUAGGCUUGAUUCGUUUUCAAGUAGAGACAAGGCCAGAGAAGGUACAGUUAGUAAAGCUUUUAUACUUACUGGGUUCCUUUCUCACUGUUUGGUCAAAAUUCUUCUGAAUUCUCAGUUUCUAAGAUCCUUGUGGUUGUAGCAAAUUUUAUUGGAGACAUUUUUGGGAUGAAAAAAGAUUUCUGUGAUUUUGGUGCCCAUUAGGCUCCUGUAAACAUUUUGUUCUGACUUUUGUCUUGGGAUGAAAUGAAGAUUUUCCAAUGUUUCUGGUGUUGGGUUCACUAGUUGUCUGGAGCAUUACAUAUAACUGUGUGCGAGAUUGUCAGAAAUGGCUUAUUAUUUGAUUUAACGGAUUAGGAGUUAUUGAAUAUUGGACUAUUUGGUUUACCAAUGCUUACACAACAAGUGAACUUUCUUCCACUGCUUCAAAGCAAAUCAUUGUUCAAUGUCAAUAAAGUGUUUUUUUUUUCUUUUAAAAUAAAAAGUGCAUCUUGUGGAAAUUUAAUGACCUGCUCUUUCAGCUGUGGGUAGGACCCGGGAGUAGAGCUGCUCAGGAGAAAGAUGACAACCACCUAGCCCCCUUUUAUAGAAUUGAGCAGGUUCUAUAUCGUUUGCUCUUUUUUUUUUUUUAAUUAUCAAUCUGUAGUUUUGUCAACUUAAGUGUAGUUGUUUCUCCUUUUUUAAUGAAUUCUGGAUGUGAAAGUUGCUUAAAACUUUCUGUAACAAGUCCACAUUUCCUCAAAAUUUUAGCCUGACUCAAAACAAUAAAUGCCUUAUUCAUUUUGCAGCUCAUAAUUGCAACCAUUCCUGCACACAGCACAUGGAAAGCGACCAAGUAUAGUUACAGAAGACAAUAUAAAGUUGCUUUUUGAUAUCCAAAAGAAGGUAGAUGAUUGUAGUUGUUGCCGUUUGUACAUUAUAUCUUCAGUUAAUUUAAGUAAGACCUCUAGAGCAUUUUUUGAAGCUUGGGCUUUUAAUACUUUGACCAUGAUGCAACUUGGUCAGGUUUAUAUGCCCCAAGAAACUAAAUUUGCUUCAUUUGAUAGGUAGAUGCAAUUCAAGCUAAUUAUUCUGGUUCCAUGGUUUCUUUGACGGACAUUUAUGAAACCACUUGGCCAAGAUUGUGCAACACAAAGCGUUCUCCAGGUACCAUAAUCCACAAACAGUAACAGUCUUUGCCGGUGGACCUUUGUAUGGGUGUUAACAAGGGGCAUAAACGACUUGUUUUUCAAUUGUCUAUAAGAUGUGUCAGGGGGAUUAUGAUUUUUAUCUACUGAAUGAUAGCAUAAUUGUCUUAACAGAGAAGCAAUCAUCAUCUUAAGAUAUGAAUGAUAUGUGGUGGAAAAUGAAGCAAUACCUUAUGGAAGAUCAGCAUAUUACUAGAAACAUAUCACAAUUGAUCUAAGAUCUGUCUUAAAGCAUUAUUUGUGUGAAUUCUAUCAUGUAAACUGCAUAGAUAAGUUUGACUGCUUUAGGUAACACGAUUAGCUUGGGUUUAAAUAUUGUAGAUGAUGAAGUGAAGAACAAAUAGUGGUUUUCUCAUUUUAAUUUUGGGUAAAAAUGGUUGCUCCACUGGUGGAUAUCCGUUUUUGUUCUGAAUAGGGAAAAGCUUCAAGAAAGAGUUUGUGAAAUGCUGGACUUCCAUGAUCAUAUACUUUUUUCUUUUUUGGUGGAGCGAUGACACUCAAUUAAAUACUGGAUGUGUAAGGGUGAUAUGAUUCACUUCGUUGCAUAUAAUUUUGAAUUUUGUAGUUAGGACAUAUAAGCAAACUGAAUGAAUUUAUUUUGUAGAUUUUCACAAACAGUCACUUUGUUUGGGAAAAAUGUCAUCUAUUGCAAUUGUUAAAAAUUUGUUUUGUACUUUGCACUAGGUGACUUUUAGUUUCUUGUCUAAUCUGAAGACCACAUAUGAAUAUCAUGAUUUUAACUCAGCAGUUUCAUUUGUCUUUCUGCUGAUGUUUGGCAUGAUAUCAAAUCUAUGUUGUUUUAUUCAGUUUCCGUAUGUCGUUAAGCUAAUAUGUUCCCAGGUCUUCCAACUUACACGGCUCUUGUUUUGUAGUAUUUCAAAAUGAAGCCCGAGAACUAUGAUAACUUUGGGGGCAUUGGACAUGUUGAGUACUGUUUUCAGGUACAUUCUUGCUUAUCCACCUUAAUAAUGUAAUAACCACAAAAAACCUUUCAUAAGUUGUCUUCCUUUUUCUUCUGGGGGACGGGGAUGGCCAUUUAAAGAACUUGCUUGGUAUUUAAUUGUAUCAAAUGUUCCAUAACACAAUUUUGACAGGUUUUGUGUACAUGAAACAUUGUUUCUUGAUGGUAGACCAUUUGAAGAUAGCUUAAAUGGGUUAACUAUUAAGUCCUUGGAGCUGACAUUUUUAUCUGGGGUUUCAAGGAUGAAAAAUGAGUUUGAUCCUACCAAGAAAUUUUUAUCUGUAUUUAUUUCAGAGUACCCAGAUUCCACUAUUUUGAACAGAAAGCUGAAAUAUACAACAUUCCUGCAGGAGCAAAAUUCCUUCCCCCCCCCACAACCCAAAAAAAAAAAUUCAUGUACUUUUCGUUAUUUGGCAAAUAACUACGACUAACACCCACUUUGGGUUAUCGUUUAGCAAUAUACCUCAGCUGACAUGUAUGAGUGCAUUUAAAGCUCCACUUGAUCCAAGUACUGCGCUUGGCGGUUUCUCUGGAAACAAUUAUUCUGAGGUAGUUUUUCUCCUCUGAUCAAAUUGCAAAAAUGGUCAAGCACAUAGCAACAGCAUAGCUUGUUUCUGACACAGGCUUCUGCUUUCGUUGUGACGUAUCCUGUAAACAACGUGGUUGACAAGAGGCAAUGAGACAAAGAAGGCUGUGGCCUGGGAAAAAGCCUUUGUUCAAUUAGCGAAGGUUUCAUCUCUUAUCUUUGUUGCUUUGUAAAUUUGCUGAAAGCACUAAUUUUGUUGAAACAUUGGGGAUACUUUAACUUCUGUGCUUUUCACUUUAUUUUCUUACUUAAGUAACUAUUUUUGGAUUUGGUGGUUGACAAAUUUAUCAACUGAACAAUGUUGAAAUCUUUGAAUUUGGAGUUUAGCAUAUUAAAAGCUUAACCAUCUGCUUCAAUAGGUGAAAGAGUGAUAUCAAUCUAAGGAUAAUUUAUCACGAAUAUGUUGAUUUGUGGCUAAGGAAAAAGGAAGAGCAAGAGUUGCAUCACGUGAACAGUAGUUGAUAGAUAUCAUGAUUAAGGAAUUAGUGAAAUGUUUAGCUCCAGAAAUUGGAAAUAUUCUUGCAACCCAAAUGGUCUGGAUAAUCUUGAUUCAGACUUUAAGAAGAUAUAAGAUGGAGAGUUGGAUACCCAUAACUGACAAAUUGCUGAAUAGGCUGAGAAUUUGCAAGGAUUUGACUUGUUAGGCAUCAUUUGAAAAUAGAUCACCCAUAGAUAGUAGUCAUAGUUGUUUGGUAAUCCAGAACUAUUUCAAGUACUUAUUUUUAACUCAUUUAGUUUGCUCGCUCUCCCUCUCUCUCUCUUUACACACACACACACACACACUGCAUAUAUGUAUAGUGAUAUGAGACUGUGAGGUGAACCUGAACUUCGAACUGCUUACAAUUGUGCAGGAAGAACUCUUGCCUAUGGUGCAAUCCAAGAAUUUGACCCUUGCCUUUUCAUCAGAGAGCUCUAUUGAGGAAGAACUGAAAAGAGAAAGCACUGCAGAUGUCAUUACUAUCUUGGUAAGGUCAAUUGUCCUAGGCCCUUCUUGCUUCACUAGUAAAUUGUUUGAGAUAAUGUUUGCAUGUACUUUCAUAAAAUGAGAUGGAUUUUUCAUUUUUCAUCUCUUCCCUCUCUGCUUAUGGUUUGAAUUAUCAUUUUUUUUUUCCAGAUAAGCUAUCUUGUGAUGUUUGCCUACAUAUCAUUAACACUAGGGGAUACACCUCGAUUCACUUCGUACUAUAUUUCAUCCAAGGUAUAGAAGUACGGAUAGAGUUCAAUUGUUUUUCUUUGUUUGGCUAAGUUUGCUACUUUACCUUCCAUUUUUUAAACAGCGUUCAGACUAGUCUUUCUUUCCUAGUGUUUUUUCUGAUGCCUGAUUGUGACAUUUCAUAUUUUCCUUGAAAACUGUUGGUAUCACAUUUGUGCUCUAUAAGCUUGCAGGGAUUAUAGUAAAUUGGAAAUAUUUAAAGCUUUCUGUCACGACAAGUGUGUUUUCAGUCAGGCUAUGGAAUAAUUGAAGUCUUUUAGAAAUUUAGUCAGUAUGUUUACCUCCCUUCGGAGAAGUGUGAACUUUCUUCUAAUCUCCUUUCUGCAAAUAAAAAGCAAGAUCUUGUUGAGCAUUCUUUUGCAUAAUUUAGACUAGGUGGACUGUAUUUCAUAGAUGCAUACCUUGGUCAUUCAGACAGUACUGAAUAUACUCCAUUAACAUACUUUUUCCCCCUAAUUGGAUUUUGGUGCAAAGGCAUUUCUCACACAUCUUCCUUGUUUAUUGGUCACUUCACAUUUUCUUAUUUACAACUCUUUUCCUCACCAAAGAGCUUGCUUGGAUAUGGAGAUGGUGGAAAGUCAUUGUGAUUUUUACAAUUGAUUCAUCUCUAUUGGUUGGGUGGUUGGUUGUUCUUUUAGGUGUUGCUUGGUCUUUCAGGAGUUAUCCUCGUUUUCCUAUCGGUUCUUGGAUCUGUUGGCUUUUUCAGUGCUGUUGGAGUAAAGUCAACACUCAUUAUCAUGGAAGUCAUUCCCUUCCUUGUUCUAGCAGUAAGUCAGAUUCAUGUUUCUCCUCACUGUUCUUAUUAAUCUCAUAUCAUGGAGAGUUGUGGUUUUGUACUUGCAAAAGUUACUAAAUGAGAAAGCUUUCAAAUAAGUUGCAUCAAUUGAGGCCUUUAUGUUGAACCUGCUGUUUCAAUCUUGCAAAAGUAUACUUUGUACAUGCUUUUGAAGUAGAGAAGGCAUUUUCUCUGCAGACCGUAAAUUAACAUCUAUUACUCCAAUGCGAUUGUUUUACAAACGGGCAUAUUAACUGAUUUCAUGUGGUAACUCUUGAAAAUGGAUUGACUUUGAUAGACUGGAUAUGUAGGCCUAAACAUAGUUUUAAUACUUCAUCUUUACAUCAUUCUAUUGUAGUAAAUUUCUGUAGCUUUGAGACUCACCGAUGGCCUCCCUCUUCUAUCAGGUUGGGGUUGACAACAUGUGCAUACUUGUGCAUGCAGUGAAAAGGCAACCACUGGAAUUGCCAUUGGAAGGACGCAUUAGCAAUGCACUUGUAGAAGUUGGACCAUCUAUUACACUAGCUAGUCUAUCUGAAGUCUUGGCUUUUGCAGUUGGAAGUUUUAUUCCCAUGCCAGCUUGUCGUGUUUUUCAAUGUUUGGUUGCGGUUAGAUUUCUUUCUUGCUCUAAAUAUUUUUUUUCCCUGACAGCUCCAUUGAGGAAAGGAUACAUUUGCAGUGAUCAACACUAUCAUCUAUUAGUUAUUAUUUUUGUAGGCUAUUUUUUUCAACUCAUCCAUGCACUUUUCUUGCAGCAUUGGCUGUUCUUUUGGACUUCCUUCUACAAGUUACUGCAUUUGUUGCCUUGAUUGUCUUUGAUUUUCUGAGAGCUGAGGAUUACAGAAUUGAUUGUUUCCCUUGUAUUAAAAUCUCCAAUUCAAAUGCUGAGCCUGACAGUGGUAUGCAUGAGGAUUUCUGCUUAGCUUUGAAAUUUUUUUCCAGUUUGGCUAAAUAUUAUUUCUAUUUUGUUUUUGAAGUUGGAUGAUGACGUUCGGUUAGUUUUCAGGUGUACAUGAGAGAAAACCAGGAUUACUGGCACGAUAUAUGAAGGUAGGGCAUGUUCCCCCAAACUAGGGUUUUAAUCCUUCACCAGUAUGAUUAAAUAAUAAUCCUCUAACUACUAGCAAGAAAUAGUAAAUAAAGAUGGAAAACUUGUCCUUUCAAUAAUCAAAUUCUACUCUUGCCUGCUUGAAGCAAUUGGGAAGAUAAAUGUUGCAUUAGCUUCUUGUUUUAUGAUCUCUUGUAAGCUACUUUCUGGUGUAUUUUACAAUGGCUAAUUAUUUGUCCCUGAUCCCUCGUGUAACAUAUACUUUAUUUACGUCUUCUCUUUUCAAGGACAUUCAUGCUCCAUCCUCAACCUCUGGGGAGUAAAAGUGGCUGUAAUUGCUGCCUUUUUUGCUUUUAUGUUGGCAAGCAUUGUAAGUUGUGCUUCCUUUAGUUUCUGCAAUUUAUUUGGUUUCUCAAGUUUAACGUCUACGAACUUUUCCUUACCAUAGAGUGAUGAUUUUACUUUUCAUUUCAUCCUCAAAAGGCCCUGUGUACAAGGAUAGAGCCUGGUUUGGAACAACAAAUCGUCCUUCCUCGAGACUCUUAUCUUCAGGUGUGAUGAUGUUCUUGUCUUGAUGAACAUGGUUCACUCGUGACACUGUUUGACAUGCAUCUCUUAUUGCAGGGUUAUUUUAACAAUGUCUCAGAGUAUCUAAGAAUUGGACCACCAUUAUAUUUUGUUGUCAAAAACUAUAAUUACAGGUAAUCUAAUUUUGUGCAUCAACCUAUAUCUGAUUUGAACUGAGACUAUGAAUUUGAUUGUUUUCAAUUGAACCCUUUUCUCUUCUUUUUGUGAUCAAGAGGGAAUGCGGAGAAAGAGGUCAGAUUUAGCUUAUAGGCAAUUGAACGAGUUUAGUCUAACAUGGUAACUUAAGGUUUAAAGAGUCCUAAAUGGCAAGCAUUUGAAACCUUAUAUUAAUUCUAGUUGCAGGUAGGUUUCCUUUGAAUACUCGGAAUUUUCAGGGCAUUUUAUGUUGAUAUCCCAUGCCAUCUCCCCAAAAAGAAUAGGAAUGCCUUUAUAGUAACAAACACAUUGAAAGAAUACAAUACGCUAUUAAGUUCUAAAUUUAUGAACAAGCAGCGAUUGGCUAUUACUUAUUGAAUACUGCUGUAUAUUCAUGUUGAAAGAUCAAGUGCCAUUCAUAAUCCAUAACUUGGUCCUGACUCAACUAUCAAAUAUCGUAACAUGUUGAUGUUUUGUAAAUCCUCAGUUCAGAAUCAAGACAAACUAAUCAGUUGUGCUCAUCAGUCAAUGUGAUUCAGAAUCACUUUUAAAUGAGGUAUAUUUCUGCCUUAGCUUGGUUUCUAUAAUUUCAAAUAGAUUUGGUUUUGAGCUUCAAAGGUUAGGUAUGAGCAUAUGUUUCCAUUUCAGCCUGCAUUACCUUGUGGUUUGAGGUUGUAAAAGAUAUAUUAGAAACUUUUGGGCAGCCACCAUCUUCCUGUAUUAAUCAAAUCAUUUUUUUUUUGCCAACCAAUAUUUGAUUUGAACUGAGACUUUGAAUUUUAUUGAUUCAAUUGAAUCCUUUCAUCCACUUUUCUUGAUCAAGAGUUGACUGUGGAAAACAAAAGUUGAUUUUAGCUUGUAGGCAACUUGCACUAUUAAGCUGAAAAGUGACCUGAGACUCUACAAUGCCAGCAAAACUCUGUAAAUUUGCAGAGUUUCUUUUUCAUUUCCUUGUACAUGAUCCAUAUGUACUCCAUACCUUCAACUACCGACUUUUGUAUAAAACUAAUUGCACAAUAUUUUCCACAUUAGUGAUAUUUUUACAUCACGUUUAGCUUUUUGUACAUCCUAUAUGCAUGUUCUACUAGACAUGCUGAUUAUUUGACCUAAAAAAUGUUCAAAGGGUGUUUGAAUAUCAUUACCCCUUUCCACCCCUAAUUUGCUUCACUAUUUUUCUUAGUUCUAAUGUGCCAUGAUGACCUGAAACAAAUCUUUUCCGGCUUGAACCCUAUAUUUUUUCCCCUGUUAUGUGAUUUAACAUUCAAAAGUCUUCAAAUUGCCAUCUUCUGCAGAUUGCCAGAGCAUCUUUAGUACCAGAGACAAGUUACAUUGCAAAACCUGCUGCUUCCUGGCUUGAUGACUUUCUUGUAUGGUUAUCUCCAGAAGCUUUUGGCUGCUGCAGGAAAUUCACGAAUGAAAGUUAUUGCCCUCCAGAUGACCAGGUCUAACUAUUUUGUGCUAGUGUACAUUAUGAAAUGGGUUUCUUCCAUUUCAUCCAAUGCAUCAUUUACCUGUAAAUGAUAUUCUUCCUUUCUGAAUUUAUAGUCCGACUUUCACAUUAAGAUGCCUCGAAAAUCCCCAACUAAUAUUCUGAACACAUUUCUUUUCUAAAGAUGAGAGGAUGGUGUGCAUGUUGUCCUUUUUUUUUUCCGCUUUUCUUGUUCCCUUUUUAAUUUGAGUUUCAGAUUUUGCAAGUGGAGAACUGGUUUAUGAAGUGAUGGGUUGGAGCUAAUCCACCUUAGACCCUACUGCUAAUUUAGGUGUGGCGGCAAGCUGGUGUCAAAGUAAAUCAUUAUACAACAUUGUAUAGUAUUAGCCUCUGCCUGAAACUAAUUGAUGUUUAUAUAGGAAAUUGAAAGAGCCUUUCUAUUAUUAUUGAAAGGGCGUCUCUUGACCAUAGUGGAGUUAAUGUUAUCCCCCAACUUUAUUUACUCAAAUUGAUUAGCUUGGUCUCUCGGGCUUGUAGGUAAUUGAGUUGCUCUGGUAAGUUUUGCGUAAAUUAUAGUGAGCUUCUCAAAAUGGCAGAUUUAUGGUCUUUGGCACUAGCACUUCGUGAAGAAUCCAGCUGAAGCAUUGAAUACCUCAUGGGGGGCACAUGCCCCAAACCCCCAUUCCAACAGAUAUGAAAGAUUUUCAAAUUAAUUCUGUGCAGCUAGAUAUUAUAAAUCUCUAUGCACAAAUGAAGACGCGUAAAAUUUGUACUAAGGUUUUUCCUUUUUUCUCCUUUUCUUUUCUGCAAAUAAAAUGGUGCAUUCAGUUUGUCUUCCACACAGCCCCAUUUGCAAUAACCAUUGAAAAUUCACCAGCGGUGGAUAGAAAUUUCAUAUUUAUUUCAGUUUUGGGGUUCAUUUGGAGGAAGUUACAACAUGUGGCAAAAAACCUGUGAUGCAAUAUAUGUUCAUUCAUUGAUACCUUUCACUGCAUUUUUUAAUAAUCGUUCAUUAGUUAUGUCGGUGCGUUUUCCAAUUACUUGGUGAAUGAAUAUAGAUGUUUCCUUGCAGCCUCCUUGUACCUCGAAUGGAGUAUGCAAGGAUUGUACAACGGUAAGAUACUUUCCUAAUACAGCUGCAUGGAUCUAGAUUUAAUUGGACAAUUGUAUGAAUUAGUAGAUUUGGAAUGUAUUUCUCUUUACUACUCCACAUUUUUUAGCUAAGCAUGUAUGAUACUCCGGUAAAUCAUUUUAUAGCUAACUGCUGUUGGCUGAGGUUUGCAAGAUCUGUUGACUAAUAUUUGAAGUUUUUCAGUGUUUUCGCCACUCAGAUUUACAGAAUUCUCGUCCAUCCACAACACAAUUCAGGGAGAAACUCCCAUGGUUCCUUAAUGCACUACCUUCUGCUGAUUGUGCAAAGGGAGGGCAUGGGGCUUACACAAGCAGCAUAGAGCUUAAAGGUUGAUAAUUGUAAUCCUAUUUAACUGGAAAAACAUGAGUCUUUUGUCCAGCAGUAAUUAUAAGAUCUCUGCCUGUGUAGAAUUCUAUCUUAGUGAUGUCAUAAAUUGUUGCUUUUAGAAGCAUGGUUUUGAGUGAGCCAGUUUGUCAUCAGGAUAUGAGGACGGAGUCAUUCAAGCAUCUGCAUUUCGUACAUAUCACACUCCCCUGAACAAACAAGUAUGCCAUAUUUACAAUUAUGUUUGCCUUCUGGUUAUUUGGUCUGUUAUAAGUUUCCCACCACUGAUAAUACUUGUCCUUUCAGACUGACUAUGUCAAUUCAAUGAGAGCUGCACGUGAUUUUAGCUCAAGGGUUUCCGAUUCCUUAAAGGUAUCUUCCCUGAAGAAACAUACCCUUAACUGCGAAUUCGAUGAUAUCGGUUCAGCUGGAUUGAAGCAUUAAACUUUAAAUUUCCUUUUCUGUUUGGCAUUAGCAGCAUUCUAAAGCAGAUGACAUACUAUCUUCUAAGCUCAGAUUUUAAUUGAUUACCUCUCGUUAUCUUCACUAUUCUGUUCUAGAAAUUGUACUAUUAUCUUCUGUGCACAGAUAGGUAUGGUGCUUUUUUUUUUUUCAGUAGGUACAGUGCAUUUAACCCAGACUUAGUCAGAUGGCAUGCAAAAUACUAGGUAUAAUUUGACAUACCAAAAGCUUAUUCUGUUUGUCCUUUACUUAUUUACUCUUGCAUCCAUUAGCAAUAUGAAAAUUAACUAGACCUUCUAUAUAGUGGAUAUUGCAGCAACAACAAUAUAUGGUGUCUUUGCUUCUCAAAGACUAAAAUCUAGUGUGGUACAUACAUAAAGCAGGUCCUUUUCAUUUUCUUCACCAAAAGGAAAUAUGCACAUGCACACCUUUAUGCCCAAACAUGCUCGCAGAAUCUUCUGGGAGGCUGCAACUUUCUGGACUUCUAAUGCGUUAUCAACAUUGUGCACAUUUUGCUUGCAGAUUGAGAUCUUCCCUUAUGCUGUAUUUUACAUGUUCUUUGAACAAUAUCUUAAUAUUUGGAGGACAGCAAUAAUCAACCUCGUGAUAGCGAUUGGUAUGUGAUGUAACUAUUUUCUUCUGUUAAAGUGAAGUAUAUAUGCCUGCAUUGACUUGACUUUAAGUUUGAUUGAGUGCGUCUGAUAGUCAAGAAUGGGGAAAAAAUUGAAAAUGAAAAUCUAAUAUCUUUCAAGUUCUCAAUCUUUGCUAUUUGCUGUAUUUUUCUGCUAUGACUCUAAUGCCUUUUAACCCGACAUGGCCCCUCUCAGUUAAUACAUAUAUUUUCUCAUUAUACUUUCUCUUCAUUGAAAGAGUUCGCUGUUUAUUUCCUGAUAUGAAACGUUAAUUGCAAUACUGCCCAAAAGGGUGCACAUAUAUUGUCCUCAUGAAAAAUGCAUGUGAUGAGAUGGGCCUUCAGUUAAGGGACAAGUUGGAUCAAUCAUCAUUUUGAUUGUGAUGUCUAAGCAAUGAACACGACUUGGGAUCAAUAAUAUGAAACUUUCUUAGUAAAUUUUUUAAAAUAGAACUUUUGGUGAUGUAUAUGGCUUUUGUUCUUCCCUCCCCUCCCAAUUUGUUGAGGCUUUAAUCAUCAGAUGUGAUUUUUCUAACAGGUGCAGUUUUCAUUGUCUGCCUGGUAAUCACUUGUAGGUAAGCGGCUUUAGCCCUUUCUUUUUGUAUUACUCUUCACCCUCCUUGAUACAAUUGAAUGUGUUCAUACCAAGAAGUUUUAUCAUUUUAUCUCUUGUUAUUCCAUGUAUAGUUUGUGGACUUCAGCAAUCAUUUUACUUGUGCUGGCAAUGAUCGUGGUGGACCUUAUGGUACAUUUGAAUCUUGAACACACAAAUUGUGGAACUUUUUUCUUGAAGCCAUUUAACUUCAGUUCUAUACACCAAUAUUCUGCAGGGUGUAUGGCAAUCUUGAAUAUCCAACUGAAUGCAGUCUCUGUUGUCAACCUUGUGAUGUCAGUUGGUAUUGCUGUUGAGUUCUGUGUGCAUAUAACACAUGCUUUCUUGGUCAGUUUUCCGAUUCCACUUUUUACUCUGCGCUAACUUACUUUCCAUUAUUAACUUCUUAUCCUUUUUAUACUUUUCUUUCUUGUCCUUAAGGGAUGGGAUUCAUUCUUGUUUUUGUUUUAUUUGCUGAGGAGGCCUUGGUCUAGUGGCUAAGGUGAGACCCCCGGAAUUAGAGGUUUGGGUUCAACUCUCCCUUCUCUUCCCUGCUUCUUAAGCCCCGCCCAUCCCCUGCCAAAAAAAAAAGGAAAAUUAAAAAAGUGAGUUAUUGAAGUCAGGCAUGAUUGGUAAAACGAGGAGAAACAAACGCAUGUCAUUUUUGGCCAUCACAAUGCAAGUACGAUAGAGUGUUUAACUAAAAUUUAAAGAUACCCAAAGGAAGAUUAUCUUGUUUGCUUUUUCAUUUUACCUAUUGCUAUACUCUCCCACAAAUUUUUGUCAGCAUAUAGAUAUGCCUGCCAUUAAAUACAGUAGUUACCUAGGCAGUCUUGAACCUUUGAAGUUAAUAAAAGUUGCAAGUAUUGGAUAUUUUACUUGUUCUGAAACUACUUAAUACAUGACUAAAGUAAUAGGGUAUAGAAUUUUUAAUUUGUCUAAAAUUGGGUUUAGCUGUUCAAUGAUUUAGUUUGCCCUUGCUCAUUUGCAUGAGGCCUUUGUCUCUUAUAUUGUCAUUUCUGCUUGCAUUCAUUUAAUUAAUGCAAUGACCAACCUUGGUUACCUUUUUUGUUGGAUUUAUUUGCAGGUAAGUAGUGGAGACAGAAACCAACGGAUGAAGGAUGCUUUGACAACAAUGGGAGCUUCUGUUUUCAGGUUUAUUUUGCCUGCUUUCUGAUUUUUGAGAUUUGCUUUCCUUUUAUGCUGCAUGUUAGACCUAGUAAGUAAUUUAUGAUCUGUUGUCGCAAGAAUAUUAUUAUAUACAUUGUAAAUUUCAUAUUAUCGUCUUUUUUGUGCACAAAUAAUCAGAAAAAGAUUCUUGUUUGUUAUUGGGCAAAAGCAGGGUGAUUGCAUUGGAAUUGAGGUAGAGGCAUAUGAUAUUCACAAUAUCACUUGGUCAGGAUGUAAAACUGCCAAUUAUCUUCUUUGGAAGCAUCUUUUACUAUUGACUGGUGAAAGUCCAAAUUCAUCGGUCAUGUAAUCAAUGGUUGCUUCUUUCCCUUGUCAUCUGUAAAAUAUUUUUGGCAGUUGGAAGGCAGGAUAAUAUUUUGUCAUACUCAAAUCAACCAGUUCUGUGUAUCAUUGUGUUUCAUUUGUGUUGGCAAGAUAAGGUGGAUUUGUCCUUAGGUUAUUUCAGCUUAUUAUGAGGCUCCUCUGGCUAUAUAGGUCAAGAAAUUAUGUGACUUACUGUACUAGUUUUUAAUGCUCUUACAUAAUUUGGCUGAGUUGUUCAAAGUGGCUGUUCUACUUUAACAAUAUUUAGCUUGGACUCUAAAGGUUGUUACUAGAAGUAAACAUAAUUGUUUUCUUGUGUGGUAAUAUAUUCUAAAGCAAAAUUUCUAAAAUUUCUUAUGGGUUAUUGUGCUGUACAUGAUACUUUUGACUCGGAGAACUGAUAUUCUUGAACUUAGGCUAUAAAACAAUCAAUUGUGUACUUUAUUAUUUUAUAAUGCUUGAAUAACUGACUUGGUGCGAGACUAUUAUAGAUUGAUGCACUUUUCCUCUCCAAUUAGAGCCUCACCGGUAUCAUCUUGUUCCCAGCCUGGCCCAAUUGAUAAAAUGCGACUUUUGUUCUUUGUUUUCAGUGGAAUCACUCUUACAAAACUUGUCGGUGUGCUGGUCCUUUGCUUCUCAAGGACGGAAGUUUUUGUGGUUAGUAAAUUUGCACGAUAACAUUUGUGCGUAUAAUGGACCAUUCUGUCUUUAUUAUUUUUAACAUUGUCCUGAACUUUUCAGGUUUACUACUUCAAAAUGUAUCUGGCCUUGGUACUUCUAGGUUUUUUGCAUGGACUAGUAUUUUUACCUGUAAGAUCCUUGCUCUCUCCUGUAUAUAUUGGUUUUUAUGAGAAUUUGGGAUUGGCCUGCAUGCCUGAUCAGUGAUUUGUUUCCUCGGGUAGAAUUAUACUUUAUACUGUUCAUUGACUAGAUAACAAAAGUAAUUUGGUCUUUUACUGCCACAUAAGGCAUAGAAUAUGGUGGCCCCUUAAAAUAUGUGAUCUGAUGGAUCUCAUGGCACAAGAAGUUGCAUCUUUUGCUGGAGCUGCACUUUGGCAUGGUAACUACUGUCACAAACUGUCGUCUGUCUUGCAGGUACUCUUGAGCUUGUUUGGUCCACCAUCAAGAUGUGUGCUAAUAGAGAAGCAAGAGGAUCGGCCAUCUACUUCAUCACAAAUCUAACAUAAUCUGCUGCCCCCCCUCUCUUUAACAUUGUUUUUGGUGGUCUCUCUUGGGGGAAGAGAAGUUUUGUUUAAUUGCCAUAGUUGUACUUAAUCAGCUGUAAAACAUUGCAACACACCAAGGUAGAUUUAGAGGCUAGAAAUACAGCGUUCUUCUGACAAAGGGAGGAUGAGAAAAAUAUAAAUAUGCCAGGAGCUUACCAGAACAAGCAUGUACUGCACAAGAAACUUACUCAGCAAGAGAAUGGAUUGAUAUUUCUAGAAAAAUUUUGUAUCCAGUGGGCAUGGCUACUCAUCGAAGUUGUCUUUCCAAGCUAAAAUGUUCGAGUUGAGUUAAUACUUAAUACCACUCCCUUUUUUGAGAUCUCCAUGCCGACCUCCUUCUGCCUUGGUUGCUCUAUAUGCAACUGUUUAGUUUGGAAGCUUUAAACGAGUAUUGCAGGCCUGAGCUUAGGAAGCAUUUUGUAACUUCAAAAAUGAAGUGCAGGUGUUCUAUUCUCUUCUUCUUGGAUGUAGAGAAAUAUUCUAAACCAGCAUCAUGAAAUUGAUGGCAUAAGAUGGACGUACGCUUGUGUUUCUCGUCACUUCUAGUUGAAUUUCCACCGGCGUCGUUGCGGUAUGAGGAAAGUAAACACUGGAAGAAAAAGCAGAUAACUCAUAUUUAGUAGUGUGGAGCAAGAACUACGAAAUAAGCUUCUAAAUAAGAGGAUCCGAGGCGCAAGUCAAUAUGACGGGCACUGAAUGAAGACCUCUCUCGCUGCUAAGCCGGUGGCAGUGAUGACUCUGUCAUCUUUGAUGCAACCCGGGACAAGAUUAUGUACCUAACAGCUAUUAUACUUUCAACCACGGUUCACCGUAAAAUCAUAAGCAGCUUGUGGCCGUAUCUGAUUUUGUAUGUAUAGAAGCCGUGAGUCUGUUAGUUCGGAUGGCUUUUAUGCACAAUACCACACUCCUGGACAAAUAACGACUCAGAACACAAAUCUCUUUGGAAUGUUAUUUUUGUUGUGUUGAUUGGGCUUUGCGGUGCAGCGAGAGAACCCCUUCGUCUGUUUUUCCAACUGAACAAAAACAACUUAGACUUGCCCUGCUUAGUUUAACACAUGCUUGCUGUAAAGCAGAAUUAAUCAGCAGUAAUUGGGAGGAAAUGCAGAAUCACGUAUUCAGGAAGCGUUGAUAGCUUCAACGAAACAGUUAGUGUGUUUGGAUUGUAAGUUAUUUGCCCAAAUAUAUUUGCUUACAUCACCAUUAUAAUUUUCAAUACACCUUUUUAUCUUUUCAAUUACUUUUUUAUCUCACAUACAUCACAUCACAAAAAGUGUUACAGUAAAAAUAUCUCAAAUAACUUACAAUCCGGCAGGUCAAAACCACUACCAAGUUCGUUCGUGCGUAAUUAAUCUAUCAACAUAAAGGGACUAAAGAUGAUGGUCAAGAUUUGGACUCAAAUCCUUAAUUCCACCAGCGGAUGGAAAUAUGCACACCUAAAACAGGAGGCUAUUUGUACAUUGAUUCCUGCUAAAUACUUUUCAACUUUAUCACAACUUCUACUGCCCGAAGGACUUCCAUGCAGCGGGUGAGAAGCACAAAGAAAAGACAGCUUUACUGUCUGGCUCUGAGAUGAUCGACAAAUAUCUAAACACUCCUCAAGAUCAGCAUCGCAUGUCAAUAGUAUCCAUUCAGAGUCAUCAUCCAUGUACUUGAGCUGAAAUCCAGUGGUGUCAUCUACACCAAAUCUCCCAGAAACUUCCCUUAAGAGAUCCCUGUAUCCCCAGUUAUUCAGCAUACGAAACCUAAUUUUCUCUUCCCCAUACGUGACCUUUAUUCUCAGUGUAGUUCCUUCGCGAGACAUCCAACUGGUUUCUUUUGGCGCAGGAGGAAGAUUUUCUGGGUCAGGAUGCUCUGUAAAUGAUACAUGACUAUGGGAUCUUGGCAGGAACUUUGGUCCGUCACUUGACAAAUCCAGCUGUGCAUCACUUCUAACCCUUUUCAGCAUAAAACCGGUUGAGUUGUUUUUAACUAAGUCUUCCUGCCCAGAAAUUUUAAGGGUGUGUGGAUGUGGUUGCGUUCCGGUUGAACAACACUGACUAGAACUGGAACUAUGACUGCAGGAAGAUGAAGGUGACUUGGAUGCAGAAGCAUGAGGACUCAACGUGCUUGCCUCAGGCUGCGUGUUUAAGGAGAUUGGAUGAUCACUUGAGUUGAAGCAUGAAAAGGGAGCUGCUGUCGUUAAGUUUGGAGAUGCAAGCUCUGGAAAGUUUGUGUAGAAGGACUCGAUUUGUAAAGAACCUGAUGCACCUUGCACUGAAUCAAUCACACGUUGAAUUUUCUGCAAGGAAUGACCAACCUUCUUGAUCUUCCGAGAAGGCCAACGCUUAAUCCCAUGUUGUCUGCAUAUCCUCUUCAAAGUGGUGGGACAAACUGAAAAGGCAAGAAAAACUGAAGGAUGAAUAAUAAGAAUAUUAGGAGAACCAAGUGAAACAUCGCAGCUUCCUUAUCCCACAUUAUGUGAAGUUUCUAAAACAUCUUGGCGAGUUGCUUGGGAGGCUAUAAAAGUUGUUAAGCUACAACAGUUAACUAAAAGUAUCGCCAUCUUUAGUGAUACAGAUACAUUCCCAGUUAGAUGCCAAACUACUAGCAAUCUCAGCUCGAAGGGGAAGGGGAAUACUUGUGAUCCACUCCUAAGCUAAACCUGAGGGGCUGUAGACCAUAAUUUUUGUGUGUAAAUGUGUAAUUAUACAGUGCAACAUAAGCAAAAUCGUCAUUCCAGGACAAUAUAUCCAUGCAAAAUAUUAUCUCGUACACCAUAAAAUGACAAUAAAUCCACACAUAACAUACAAUUAUAAAUAUAUGAAAUGAAAUAUCUACCCGACACUACAACAAAUAAGGUGUUUCUCACGUAAGACCCCUGAACAACAAUGCUUACCACCAAUAUUCCUUGCAGCAUCUUUUAGACUACCGGCAAAAUACUGCCGAAGCAUCUGUAAAGUAAUAGUUUUCUCAGCCUUGGCACCCCUUUUUUCAGCUGUUUUAGAGACAUCCAGCAAGCUACAUUGUCCUCUAGUAAGGCUGUCACCACACAUACGUUCUUUUCUUGAACUAAUAUCAGGCAGGGAUUGCCUAGCCGCUGAGAAUUUUCCAGAUAGCAUUUCUACGGGUUUUGCAUUCUGAAUUUUGAUGCAACAACAGCAGUUUCCUCAACCUCUGCAUGCCGGGAAGUCCAAAAUGACCUUUGAGAAGCCAUCGCUGAAUGUCUGUGUUCUGUUUUUGACAUUUCUUCACCAAACUUGAUAUAUGACGGGAUUGAUACUCCACCUGAAGGCACGGAAUUUUCUUCCAGCAACUCUUUGUCAGUAAUAACUCGUAAUCCCCUGCAAAAUUUCUGAAUGAUAAGGGACAAUGAACUAAGCAUUUUCUGAUGCUCUUCAGCGUCUUUACAAUCCACGGGUAGAAAGAACUCCAAACCAAAGUCAGUUGAACCACUGUAGAUGCUUCUCAAACGUAUUGCUACAGCAGCACAGAGGCCAAAUAUCCUUGCAUGGUGAGAAAGGGGGUAAUCUGUCUUAGUAAAAGUUGUUAUAUCAGGUGAAAAGCACGGUUGGUUAGUUGUGAAUGCUCUACCAACAAUGCCCUGACCUUUUAAUAAGUGGUGCUCUGAGCAUGCAUCACUAAAACCUUGAACAUGGAAUCAGCAAUGUAACAAGCAGAAUCCACCGUGGAAACACAGCGAACAAGGUUUUCAUCAGAGUGCCUGCACCCCCCUUGCCUUGUUUGAUGCAAGGAACCCAAGUCUGAGCUAAGGGCAAACUAUACGUCCCACAUGCUGCUCUUAGAAUCUCUUGGAUCUCCGGCAAUGCAGAUUGGUAGGAAAAAUCACAUGCCUGCUAAAGUAUAACAGUUCAUAUAACAACUGAAAAGUACCAGAAAUCCUCAGAUCAAAGGAAUAUAAGCAAUUCUAUGUACUCUGCCAAUUACCUUGCUAUUCUGGGCGCCUGAAACAUCAGAGCUCCUGAGAUUGACAGCCUUUGAACAAGAAGUUAGUGGUAGAUCAGAAAUUAAGAAAGCUGCCUCAGUGCUUAAUUUACUUCACUUUCAUAAAAACUGGCAAGGGUAUUUUAUUAUAUUCCAAGAUUAAAGCUUCAAAGAUAAACCUCAACACAUAGCUAAUGAAUGUUUCUCCAUUAUUUUCACUAUUUUAUCAAGUCAAAAAAGUAGAUGACAAUCUAGAAGUGAACAAAUAUGACUUGAACACACAAAGUCACUUCCUAAAGUCUCAUUUGGAUGCUUAAGAAAUUAUGUAUAAUUGCAGCAACAAACAAGCUGCAUUCCUGCAGCAGUUAAAUUUGGAAAUCCUUAUAUAAAGCAACUAAUUAGAAAAAUUGGAGAAAGUGAGAGGAAAAACUAUUCCUUGUUUCCCUUGAUAAAAAAGAAUGAGCAAAUCUAAACAGGUGAAUCAUAAACCAUGUUAAGAAGGAAGUUUAACAAGGGAAAAUAGAAAUUUAUCUAAAUAGACAAAAAAAUAGCUUUAGUGCUGUAUUCCAGCACUAGGCUUCAGUCCGUUGAGUGAUGCAUGACCAAUAGCAAGAUCAAAUGUCUACAUUCUUAAUCCAGGUGGUGCAUGUCUAAGCUUACAUCAAAGUUCAAAUUUAGUUUAAACUCUUAUCAGCAUAAGAACUAAGGCUUCAGAACAACGUGAAAGUAAGUGUUCAAAGUACAGUUGUAAAUGUAAGCAAAAAAUCAGACCUGAAGAGCUCUGCAGACACUUUCAAGCUCUGGACGAUAGUUGAUCUUUUGGGUGGUCAAGACAACUUCAAUCACUCCCAAGCAAUUGCGACUACCUUGUUCAAAGAUUGGAACUGCGAGCGUCCCACGAACAUCAUACUGCUGCGCAUGACCAACGCGCGGGUAUUCAUCCGUCUAAAGAACUGAACAUCAGGAGUCCAUUCAGGAACUCUACCCAUAAAAACACGGCCAGGCAAUCCAACACUCUCCUUUAAGUCCUCCUCAGUGGAGAAUUGAUAGUUCACCGAUACGUUCCUGUAAGAGGCAAGCCUUGGGCAAUUAAGGUCUAGUGAGAAAGGUUGAUCAUUGGUAGUCAGCACGCGUCUGCCACCCUUGUUUACAGGUACCCAAAUUUGAAUAAGAGCAUUCUUAUCUCCAGCCCAAUCCUUCAUAUAACCAAGUGCCUUAAUCAGUCUGUCCAUCACAGAAGUUGAAGCCCUAGGUCCAAUCCACAACCUCCUACUCAGCGCAGAACUUUCAGCUGAAAAGUUCCCAGAUAGACUCGGAGAACAUACAGCAUUGCCGUCUUGAGACUCUGAUUUAGCAGAAUUUCUCCUUGGGAUGGACUAGCUGACAGAUUCUCAGAAAAAGAUAACCUUUGCCUCUCUUCUUCAGUGCUCUUUAACGGGUUGGAUUCGCCAUUAAUGGCUUCCAAAAUUGGCCAAGUAAACGAAGCAUCAAAGAGAGCAUUGAAGUCAGAGGGGCCAUCGCUCAAGAGUUCAGUCCCUCAGUGGUCUCCAACCAACAUCCUUCUAAUAACAACUCAUCCAUGCAAUCCAAAUCUAUAAGGGAAUCAGACCCUGAGCUCCCGAGAUGGUAUUCUGAGUGGAUACAUAUCCAUAUUCAUUCAUAGCUACAAUCUUUCUUCAAAAAUUCAAUAUUUGCAUCCCCCAGGAUCCAAUUUCAGGAACUAAGCAAGGGCACAGUCGCCCAAAGACUGUCUGAUUUAGAAGCUAUGCGUUCGCAGAACCCCAAAAGCAACCUUUCAGAAGCAAAUGCUGUUGAACAAGUAGCGGUGCAGAUCAAUUUGAAUCUUUUAAAGAAGAAUCUGAAAGGGAAGUCUGCUCCUGUGGUUGAUUUCAAUUUGUUUAGGAAGAUUUGAAAUAAGAAAUUGGUGUAUAUAUCAAGUUGGAUUAAUUCCGCUGCCAUGCAUAUGAAGAAUGAGUCAGAAAGAAGACGAGAAUUAAAAUGUAGCCGAAUCUCUGAAAAACAGAUGUAGAUAGUACUAGAAACAAGGGAAGAAACACGGUUCUAUUGCUAUAAAGAGAUCUUCCAACAAAGUUAGAGAAAUCAGAACUUUUUUUUUUUUCAGCAGUUCAAGAUUCUUACGUUGGCAUCAUGCGAGUGAGAGACGCAGAGAGCGAGGAAAGGAGAUGUACUGAGAAGAAAGAAGUAAAAGUAAAUCCCAUCCCAUCCCCAUCCCAUGAGUGACAGUACAAAAGUUUAUUGACCCAUAGAUAUCGCAGACCCAAUUAGAGAAAAUAAAAUAAAACCAAAAUAAGACAAAAAAAAAAAAGCACCAAAAGAGGCAGGGCAAGUCACUACUGUCUAGGGGGAAAGAAAGGAAAAAAAAAAAGAAAAAAGAUUCUUGGAUAUUCAAGUCGGGUGUUGGAGGGUCUGUCUCUUCCUUAUCUACUAUUAUUAUGCAAAAGGAUUUGAGAUGCACGAAAGAGAAAACCUUCUUCUUGUUCUUGUGUGUGGCUGUCCUCCCAGGUGCAGCAAACUACUACAUCAGCGACACGGGCGGCCUCGGUCUAAGUAAGUAAGUAAAUAGGGAGCUAAUAAUUCUAACUGCACCCCCAGAUUCCCUCCACAGUUCAUUUUAAUCUCUUCCGCUCUCCCAUCCACAUCUAUUCUGUUUAUCUAUCUGUUCUAUUCUAUGCAGUUGAAAUGGGAGUUCUCUCUGCUGCGUAUCGAGGACCUAUCAUGUUAAAUUUCGGUAUCGAGGAAAGAUUCUCCCCCAGACAGACCCACUCACCACCACAGCAUAAUAAAUGAAAGCCCCACCGAAGCUUCCGCGGGGUAAAGUCAACCGCCGUUGCAGGAUGCGGGAACUGACGCAUACUGCACAAACUCCAGCUUGGGGAAACACCCAAAAGGGUCAAACAAAGGGGGGUUUGCAAUUUGACCAAAGACAAAAAAAAAAAAAGGAGGCUACCUGAUUCGGUGAGCCUAUUAUUUUGAGAUGCUUGUCAUCCUACUAAAACUACUAAAAUUAGUACUUUUUAAUCUCAUCUCUAUCUAUAUAUUUUUAUAAUAAUUUCUAAUUUAGAAUUUCCAAAUAGAUACAUUAACAUCAUCAUCAUCAUCAACUCACACUAACUAUUUUUGGGAGGUCAAAAUCCCGAAAUACACAAAUUUUGAAACGGGCCGGGAAAGCACUGAAUUGAGGUGGUAAGGGGUUCAUUCAAAGUAGUAGUACUACUACUACUAUAUAUAUAUAUAUAUAUAUAUAAUGUAGUACUAUAUAUAUACAUUCAAAGUAGUACUAUAUAUAUAAUGUUGUCAUGAUUCAUUGACAGUCUCUGUGUUGUAAAACACAACAUCUCUGUGUUAUAAAACACAGCAUUAAAGUAUCUAAUCUUAUCUUUCCUGUAUUCCUGUUUAUAUGAAUAAUAAUUUUUUGAAAUAUGUAAUAUUGUAUUAUCAACAAGCUUGGGUGGCAUCCAGUUGCUGAUUUUUCUGGAGGUUAAGCUUGUCAUUUUCCUGCAAAAUAGAAUUUGUUAGUUUAAAUGGUUUAGAGAAGGGUAAGAGAGCAUAAGAAUCAAGGUAUCGGGUAUUAUGUCCUCUUUAUGAUUAGAUAAAGAAUUAGUUGUUGAAUAAAGGACAUUCCUAAAAUGAUAUAUAUAAUAUAUAUACAGUACUAUAUAUAUAGUAUAUAGUACUGGGUAAAAAUGAUUGAAAGCAGGGACCCGGCUCCCCAUGUAGGAUUCUCCUCGUCCUUCUCUCUUACUUGUUCUGGUGUGGUACCUAGUACUGAAAAACAAUUUCUGGCGUCUUAGUCAAAUCAAAACCAAAACCAAAGCCAAAGCCUAGUAUAUAUGUAUGCCAUGUAUGUAUAUGUUGUGGAUAUCACAUACUACACCAAAGUCACCGGGUUUUGUGGGGUCAAGGAAAAAGACGGAGAGGUUACAAAAUCAAAUUGAAAUUGUAUAAACUGUUAUUGUAUCAAAAAGAAUAUUCAUGUAAUGACUGAUUGUAUGAGCGAGCGGGUAGGUGUUCCACUUGCACACGACACGGGGAAAGCAUAGUACUACCUACGAUUGUAGCGUGGGAGGGAGCAUUACAUUAGCCACAUCGAGUUUUGACCAGAUUUUCUUCUUCAUCUUUAUAAAGGGAAGAAAAAUUUUUUUAAAAAAAAAAUUUUAGCAGCGUACUCGAUCGACUCUUUUCCUUAUAUUCUUGAACAUCUAACUUAUGUUCCAAACUCAGCUCCAUGAAUGGACUUAGAACUUGGCCCUUGUUUAUUUAUAUCUAAUAAAAUUAUGCCAGAAUUACUUUUGGUCAAUACGAGGCAUAGGAUCAUUGUCGCCGCCGCCAACGAGGGCGAAUUUCGCAAUGGUAGUCGGCAUUAGACAUACGUAAGAUACAUAUAUAUAUAUAUAACUGGAAAGUCACUUUGAAAAAACUACUAGUAGUAUAAUAAUAUAUGUAAUGGGACGACCACAAGUGACAGGCAUGCAUCGAAGCUUUGUAAAAUACGAGUUUAAGACGCUAGGGUCAUCUCCUGCAGGCAAUGCCCGCUCACAGGCUAGCCUUCCCACUUCUAACGAAUACUUUUUCACUUUGAUGCGUUAUUGCGUUCUCCCCCCCUGCAUGGAUCACUUUUGGCUUUGAUGCUUUUUCAUUGCGGUCUCCACUUGCAUGGAUCAAAACCCGAAAGUGUGUGUGUGUGUAUAUAUAUAUACAUAAAACAACUACAGUUCCACAGCAGCCCCGGGAAUUAAUCAAAAGCUGCGUCACUGCACACUAGCGUCAUUUCCUCCCUCCACUAAGCCAAGAAAAAGAGAGGGAGAAGACGGUUCCGCCUUACAUGGCAGCACCAAAACUGUCGAGGGCAUCCCUACCCAAAUACCAACCAUUCAGAGCGCCCUCCCAACCUCAUUGGCAGAACGGCUGGAUGUGGGGUUGAGAGUUGCAUACAUGAAGGUCGCAAUUGGGGACAAGCUGCGGGUAUGCCAACCAUAAAUUACCUUCACAACUACUUGAUCCCCAAAAUAUAUACUCCUUGAAAAAUGCCACAAGAGCAUCUUCCAGGUAUAUUGGCAGUCGCCCAAAGGACACGAGCGGGCAAUGUCAAAUCUAUUCACAUAAGUUAUCCUCCACAAUUCAAUGGAGGAGGACAAUUGUUCUUUUGGUUUGGGGGCUGGGGGGGGUGGUGGUGGGGGGGCUGGAGGAAGAUGCAUGAUCAAGUAAAUCCUCGCACAGAGAACUGUUAUUUAUUUAACACCGGUACAUAAUUUCAGUUUAAACCAGACAUGGAAGCCUGUUCGGUACAUAAUACAACACACUGACUGAAGCACACUGAAGGACACCAUCAACCUCUCCGAGAACAAACAUUCCCUAUCAACACACUCCCCAGCUGGUAAACCACCAGGAACAUUUAUGGCCUUCACAUUGUUGGUCUUACAUUGAGACGAGUAGCUAUUUUCUGACCAAGAGAUUUGUCAGCCUGCAAGACAAUCAAGUACUGAAUCAGCAAAACCUACAUUUUUUUCCCAAGGUUAGACUACUACAGAUGCAAGUUAGAUAAAAACAGGGAGGUAUGUAGACAUGAAAAUCAGACCUGAGACCAGUAUGAAAUCCAAAUACUGCGGAUCUCAUGGGUGACUCGUGCAUCAGAUAAAGCAUCAACCCAUCGGCAGAUAAAUCUCUCUUGCCUGAGGAACACAGAUCAAUCAGAACUCCAGAAACAUGAAACACAUACCAUCAGUCAAAGAGCCAUUAAGCAGUAAGCACCAAGAAAUACCUGUCAGGUGCCCAGGAUCGGUAUCUCUCUCCUGGUUGCUUGAAGUUGUUCUCCUUCUGAAUCACACACUGCAAUAAACAAAAAAAUAAAUAAAUAAGCCACAUAUUUUAGGGUCACAUCAUAUCAUAGUUCACCAAUCCAAAGGUCCAGCAGGACCAAAGACAGUUCCAAAAUUCAAAGAGAAAUUCCAAUCCAUCAGCUAAGAACAAGGCACUUGAGGAGAAGGCAUGGAGACCUCCAAAGAUCCCAUGCAAGAAAAGAAACUAUAGCAAGCAACAUUAGCAGAAAAAGCAAUAGCUCAAUGGCUGGCAUCCAUAGUUUGCUCACAGGAAAACAGAUAAUGUCACGUUCAAGAAAGGGAGUAACUUCUACUCGUUAAUGUUCAGUAUAUCGCUUCAAAGGAGGACAGUUUGCAGCAGAGCAACUAAGGGCCUGUUCUCAAAUAAUUCCAAAUACCUGAUUUUAGCUUUUGAUUCUUAAGAAGUUAGUUCUCUCUGUUGUCAAUUGCCUUUUAAAACCUGCUUUUGGUUUUUUUGGAGCAAAAUAGAUGAAAAUCAGAAGUGGCAAAACAGCUGCUUUUGGUACCAAUUCUGCUUCUGAAAACUAGAAGCGAUUGAGAACAAACCAUAAAAAUUCAAGAACUUUUUCACUUUCUUCCUCCUACUCAUCUACAUGCCCACUCUCCUAUUUUAGGAGAGAGGAGGGGAAGGGAGCGAAGAAGCAAAGAUUAUGUAUCGUCUAUUCUUCAAAUCCCAAGAUGAAGUUAUUACGACAACCGAUUUCCCCAGAUUUGAUUAACUGCGUAAAGUUAUCAAUUUUUUUCCAUAGUUCCUUCGUCUAGAUUCAAAAAAGUUCAAUUUUUUCCUACUCAUAGAAACUCACCUUGUCACGCUUUCCACUCAGGACAGGAGGGGGGAUGGGAUGCCUCUCAGCAUGACGAACAGGAUCGUACCUUGAAGGGAAAUAAUUGACCUGAAAAAAACAUUGAACAAAAAAGUUUAGCACAACUAAGCAUAAGAUUAGCCCAUUUUAACUCCCAUUCACAAAGUCCCUAAGCCCAAAAAAAAAAACCCUGAAGUGAUUUAAUUGUAAAGCAACCACACAACAAAGUUUGAAAAAGGGAAUGGGUACUACUUCUGGCAUUUUUUCAUUUUUCAAACUGACCUCUAUGCCUUGAGUCAUGACAAUAUGUUAUAAGAUAGCUUUCCACUCAACUCUUAUUUGCCCACUAAUUCUUCACAACUUAUUUAUUUCACACAAAGAAUUUCCUUUUUCACAGUACAUAAAAAUGAAGAACAUCGAUCUAUCUGUCGGUGACUUCUUAUCUCCAAUCUUGAACAUCUACAAGUCUUCAUAUCAACCACCAAGUUUAUAUUCACAACCACCUCAUGUCACAAAAAUGGUAUCUAAUGAAAAGUUACUUUAUACCAGCAACCGGUCAUAGAUAAUUAUAUUUACUAAAUCACAUAAAAUGUAACCUUAAAUGCUGAGUUGAACCAGGAAACUAACUGGUAUAAAGAACAAGCAGGAUGUCCUCAAAAUGAAGACCAAAUUAGAGAACGACGCAUAAUUUGUGGUUCAUUAUUACCAAAAGAGGGAUCAGUACCUCUUCAUCCCGGUGCAUGAAGUUCAUGAAACCAUCAUGGUGAUUGUUGUGAUGAGCACACUUGGGAGCAUUUGCUGGAAGCUGCAGAUAGUUCGGGCCAAGACGGUGUCGCUGGGUAUCAGCAUAUGAGAAUAUGCGAGUCUGGAGCAGCUUGUCAUCUGAAUAAUAUAUUCCAGGUACAAUAAUAGCAGGGCAAAAUGCAAGCUGCUCGUUCUCAGCAAAGAAGUUGUCAAUAUUCUUGUUCAAUACCAACCGGCCCACAGGUUGCAAAGGCAAAAUAUCUUCAGGCCAGGUCUUGCUUACAUCAAGCGGAUCAAAAUCAAACCGAUCUUCAUGAUCAGGAUCCAUAAUCUGGAUAAAAAGUUUCCACUCCGGAUAGUUUCCAGCAGCAAUUGAGUCAUAGAGAUCCUGGGUAGCAUGGCUAUGAUUUGAUCCUCCAACCUUAAUAGCUUCUUCCUCCAACAGGCUCUUCACUCCACAGGUUGGCUUCCAGUGGAACUUCACAUAACUAGCUUUUCCAGCCUUGUCGAUCAGAGUGUAAGUAUUGACGCCAAAGCCUUCCAUAUGCCUGUAAUCUUGUGGAAUGCCGACAUCAUCAAAGAGGAAAGUAAACAUAUGCAAGCUCUCAGGAUGAUGGGAGAAAAAAUCAAGGAUUCUCCAAUUCUCCUGGAUGUGGGACUUUGGAUUCGGUUUCAGAGCAUGGACCAUAUCUGGGAAUUUCAUUCCAUCACGAACAAAAAAGACAGGGAAAUUGUUUCCCACCAAAUCGAAAUUACCCUAUCCAGAUGCACAAAGAAACCAUCAGCAGCUUAUCAAGAGUUACCAAGAAAUGCAGACCAAGAACUAAAUAAAACACCAACCACAUAAUCCAAGUCCCCUAAGAUCAUCUAUUGUGCCCGGAAAGCUUAUGUUCCUAGUUGUGGUGCUUACAAGUUAAUUGAAUGGAUAAGCUGCAUCUUGCUGCUAAAUCAACAUACGCUUUCAGAAGGGGAAGCUCCCAAUUUUCAGAAUGCCAAAGUGUGCUAAGUGUGGGGUGGAGGGCAACAAAGUUAGGACAACUAUUAUUCGUGUUUUAUUCACAUCCAUAUGUGUUGAAUUUGAGAACUUCAAUGCCAUGGAAUACCAAAGGAAGGCUUCACAAUGGUUGGCUAAGUGGCAAAAAGUAUAAACUGCUAGACUGACACGUCCAAUUCAGGAGCUGUACAUCAUGCAAAUUCAGCUCUUCAAAAUCCUGUGAUUGUCUCUAAGCACAGCUCGUAUCCAUUACUUUUCAGAUAUGAGACAAAGAGGCUUGACAUGUUAACUAAACAACACAUGUCAGUGGCUUUCUGCUGAUUUAAUUCUUAAUAUGUGCACAGCAUAUGAAUCCAUCUAGUUGACUGACGGAUUAGCAGAACUAUUUUCUGAAGGAAAACAACAGAACUUACCUCCCUAGUGUAAAAUUUCACAGCAAAACCUCGGGGGUCCCUGAGGGUUUCAGGACUUCCACGCUCAUGAAUAACAGUUGAGAAACGGACAAUGACAGGUGUCUGAACUCCUGGAGCACGAAGAAAAUCAGCACAAGUGAGAUUAGAAAUGUCAUGAGUGACCUCAAAGAAGCCCUUGGCACUGGCUCCCCUUGCAUGAACUACACGCUCCGGAAUCCGCUCACGGUCGAAAUUUGCAAGUUUCUCCACCAAAUGAUAAUCCUCGAGAAGAACCGGACCUGGCACAUGAAGAAGACGAAAAGCUAAAUACUUGUAAUCACAAAAUGCCAUAUUAAAAUAAAGGGAUAAUUUCAGAAACCUCCCUGAGGUUUCUGACAAUUUUACUGAACUCCCUUGAGGUUUAAAAAAUUACAUAUACCUUCCUUAUCAUUUAAAAUGACAAUUUUACUCUUAAAUAUUUUAAUGAAAUCUCCUUAUUUGGUAUGCUUAAUGCUUAAAAUUAUUUUUUCAUUCUUUUCCUUCUUAUUCCUUUUUUUAAUUUUUCGCUAAUAAAACUAUAGAACUACCACUAUUGCCUCUAGUUUCUAUUAUAACCAAAUGUCGAACUAGUGAUUUUUUUUGACGAGUUAAUUUUAUAUGCUAUCCAAUGUUUUUGUUAAUCUUUGUUUUCUAUUUUUUGGUAUUAAAAUUAACAAUAAAUCAAAAAGAAAUGGCCUAAAAGCAUUAUUAAAUUAUGAUAAUUGCACUACUCCAAAAAUUCAUAAAUUAUAAAUGAAUAUUUCAGCAUUUUCUUUUCUAUCUUAUAAAUCUAAAUCUACAAUAGAAUACCAUCAAAAGUAUCAUAUCAUAGUAAUAAAUUAUUAUCAUAGUUGUUUAUAGUAAAUAUGGACAUGAAAAUUUUGGCACCUUUUCCUUAUAAUUGUACUAAAUAAUCUUAUAAUUAUAUAGGGAAAUAAAUUAAAAAUCAUUACACAAGGGCAUUUUUGGGUAUUCAUUUAAAAAACUGACCAAGUCAAUAUUAUUUUAAGGUUUUGUUACUAAAACUAUCAAAUUCAAGAGAGGUAAGUGUAAUUUUCCAAACCAUAGGGGAGCUCAAUGAAAUAGUCAAAAACCCCGGGGGAGGUUUCUGAAAUUAUCCCUAAGAUAAACCAGGUGGUUGUUGUCACAAUAAGGUUUCAAUAUCAGAAUAUUAAAAUUAAAAACUAAUUGUAUGUCUACGUUCAGGACUUCUUAACGUAUUUAUUUCAUUAAAUAACAGGAAAUUUCUGAUAAAGACCUCAUAGCAUUUAGGAUAUAGAGGAAACAAAUAGAUAUAGGUAAAACCAAAAUGAGUUUUUGUGAAUUUCGUAUUCUUCAAGCUACUGCAUCUAAUGAGUAAAAAAUAACAGCAAGUCAUAACACAAGAUUCAAUCCCAAAAUAAACCAAACAAUGACAUUUCUAACAAUAAGAAAUUCAAUGCGAAACGGGGGAUAAAAUUGCAUAAACAAUAAGAAUCUUAGAUCAUAGAAAAGAAAGGAAAGAAAACAGUAUAAGCACCUCUGGUUCCAACGGUGAGAGAGGAGUUAUUGUUCCAGACGGAGGCACCAGAAUUGGUUGUCCAGAAGGGAGAAUUGAAAGCACUCGAUGGCCGAUACUACACAAAUCACAAAGGACCAAAUACAAACUCUCCAAUCAUUAGAAAUAACUAAAACACGCUAAACCUCAGCGUUACUAUAAAAGAUAGGAAGUUUGGAAUUUUCACCGAAAAAAAAAAUUGAGAUUUUCAUUUUAUCUAAUCGGGUGAGAGCUAAGCAUAAAAAAGUUAAAAUGGAAGCUAAGAAUUACGAAAUUUUUUCUCAGAAGCGAUUACUGGCGAAAGAAAAAAAAUGAGUUGCUCAGAAAUCCGUGAUGGCCAUGGAAAGCGGCAAAAUUAGACCUCGACUUCGACUUAAAAAAUGAACGAAUUCAACAUCAGCUCGUCCAAAUUACAUGAGCGGAUGGUGCAGAUAUAUUACCUUGCAUGGAUCCAUUGCUACAGUCAGCGAAGGGGCGGUGGGUGGCGAUAGAUUUUUGGCUGGGGAUAAAGCAAGUCGGGAAGGGGAAUGGCAAUCACCGUCUUUCGAAAAAACCAAAAGACCCACGAAUUUAUUGAUAAAAUUAGGAGUGGGUCCCGUCCCGAGGCUCGCAUUUCUAGCUUAUCCACUGCCUAGCACGCAGACGCAGUGCCCAAUCCAAGAGCCAAUCUUUUUUUUUUUUUUUCCUAAUUGCUUCAACAAAGUGAGAAAAAAAAAAUUCAUUCGUAGGUGAAUUUUUCAGGUCAGGAUAUAAUCGCCAAUUUAAACUUUCCCCAUCCUGAUCCUAUUGUCCAAAUUCCUAGUUUUUAUUUGGAUUAUUUUAUCGGAUUCCUUCAAGCCAUCCUCCGUAUAUUUAAAUUUCAUCCAAUCCAUCAUCUAAUCCGUCGCGUGUCUAUAUCUAUAUAUAUUGAUACGCCAGGGUCCAUUACUAGUUUAAGACGGUAGGGUCAUCCACUGCAGACAAUGCCCGCUCACAAGCCAGCCUUCCCACGCCCAGUUCAAACGAAUACUUUUUCACUUUGAUGGGUUAUUGCAUGACAUGGAUCGCAACCAAGUCUGCCCCUUUCCCACCCGAAAGUAUAUAUAUACAUGUGUGUGGAUACAUAAAACAACCACGGCAGCCCCGGGAAUUAAUCAGAAGCUGCGUCACUGCACGCUAGCGUCAUUUCCUCCCUCCACUAAGCCAAGAAAAAGAGAGGGAGAAGACGGUUCCGCCGUACAUGGCGGCACCAAAACUGUCGAGGGCAUCCCUACCCAGAUACCAACCAUUCAGAGCGCCCUCCCAACCUCAUUGGCAGAACAGCUGGAUGUGGGGUUGAGAGUUGCAUGCAUGAAGGUCGCAAUUGGGGAAAAGCUGCGGGUACCUUCACACAUACUUGAUCCCCAAAAUAUAUACACCCUCAAAAAUGCCACAAGAGCACCUUCCAGGUAUAUUGGCAGUCGCCCAAAGGACACGAGUGGGCAAUGUCAAAUCUAUUCACAGAAGUUAUCCUCCACAAUUCAAUGGAGAAGGAAAAUUGUUUUUUUGGGUUGGCGGUUUUUUGGGGAGGGGGGGUUUGGAGGAAGAUGCAUGAUCAAGUAAAUCCUCGCACAGAGAACCGUUAUUUAUUUAACACCGGGACAUAAUUUCAGUUUAAACCAGACAUGGAAGCCUGUUCGGUACAUAAUACAACACACUGACUGAAGCACACUGAAGGACACCAUCAACCUCUCCGAGAACAAACACUCCCUAGCCCGUAAGCCACCAGGAACAUUUAUGGCCUUCACAUUGUUGGUCUUACAUUGAGACGAGUAGCCAUUUUCUGACCAAGAGAUUUGUCAGCCUGCAAGACAAUCAAGUACUGAAUCAGCAAAACCUACAUUUUUUCCCAAGGCUAGACUACUACAGAUGCAAGUUAGAAAAAAACAGGGAGGUAUGUAGACAUGAAAAUCAGACCUGAGACCAGUAUGAAAUCCAGAUACUGCGGAUCUCAUGGGUGACUCGUGCAUCAGAUAAAAUAUCAACCCAUCGGCAGAUAAAUCUCUCUUGCCUGAGGAACACGGAUCAAUCAGAACUCCAGAAAAAUGAAACGCAUACCAUCAGUCAAAGAGCCAUUAAGCAGUAAGCACCAAGAAAUACCUGUCAGGUGCCCAGGAUCGGUAUCUCUCUCCCGCUUGCUUGAAGUUGUUCUCCUUCGGAAUAACACACUGCAAAAAAAAAACCCACAAAUUUUAGGGUCACAUCAUAUCAUAUUUCACCAAUCCAAAGGUCCAGCAGGACCAAAGACAAUUCCAAAAUUCAAAGAGAAAUUCCAAUCCAUCAGCUAAGAACAAAGGCACUUGAGGAGAAGGCAUGUAGACCUCCAAAGAUCCCAUGCAAGAAAAGAAACUAUAGCAAGUACCAUUAGCAGAAAAAGCAAUAGCUCAAUGGCUGGCAUCCAUAGUUUGCUCACAGGAAAACAGAUAAUGUCAUGUUCAAGAAAGGGAGUAAGUUCUACUCGUUAAUGUUCAGUAUAUCGCUUCAAAGGAGGACAGUUUGCAGCAGAGCAACUAAGGGCCUAUUCUCAAAUAAUUCCAAAUACCUGAUUUUAGCUUUUGAUUCUUAAGAAGUUAGUUUCUCUCUGUUGUCAAUUGCCUUUUAAAACCUGCUUUUGGCUUUUUUGGAGCAAAAUAGAUGAAAAUCAGAAGCGGCAAAACAGCUGCUUUUGGUACCAAUUCUGCCAAUUAUGAAAACUAGAAGCGAUUGAGAACAGACCACAAAAUUCAAGACCUAUUUAUCACUUUCUUCCUCCUACUCAUCUACAUGCACUCUCUCCUAUUUUAGGAGAGAGGAGGGGGAGGGAGGGGAGAAGCAAAGAUUGUGUAUCAUAUAUUCUUCAAAUCCCAAGAUGAAGUUAUUAAGAGAACCGAUUUCCCCAGAUUUGAUUAACUGCAUAAAGGUAUCAAUUUUUUUUCCAUAGUUCCUUUAUCUAGAUUCAAACAACAGCAAGAGCCUGAAAGUAAGCAAAUCUACUCAUAGAAACUCACCCUGUCACGCUUUCCUCUCAGGACAGUAGAGGGGAUGGGAUGCCUCGCAGCAUGACGAACAGGAUCGAACCUUGAAGGGAAAUAAUCGACCUGAAAAAACAUUGAACAAAAAAGUUUAGUACAACUAAGCAUAAGAUAAGCCCAUUUUAACUCCCAUUCACAAAGUCCCUAAGCCAAAAAAAAAAAAACUGAAGUGAUUUUAUUGUAAAGCAACUACACAACAAAGUUGGAAAAACAGAAUGGGUACUACUUCUGGCAUUUUUUCAUUUUUCAAACUGUCCUCUAUGCCUUGAGUCAUGACCAAUAUGUUAUAAGAUAGCUUUCCACUCAACUCUUAUUUACCCACUAAUUCUUCAUAACCUAUUUAUUUCACACAUAGAAUUUCCAUUUUCACAGUACAUAAAAAUGAAGAACAUCGAUCUAUCUGUCGGUGACUUCUUAUCUCCAAUCUUGAACAUCUACAAGUUUUCAUAUCAACCACCAAGUUUAUAUUCACAACCACCUCAUGUCACAAAAAUGGUAUCUAAUGAAAAGUUACUUUAUACCAGCAACCAGUCAUAGAUAAUUAUAUUUACUAAAUCACAUAAAAUGUAACCUUAAAUGCUGAGUUUAACCAGGAAACUAACUGGUAUAAAGAACAAGCAGGAUGUCCUCAAAAUGAAGACCAAAUUAGAGAACGAGGCAUAAUUUGCGGUUCAUUAUUACCAAAAGAGGGAUCAGUACCUCUUCAUCCCGGUGCAUGAAGUUCAUGAAACCAUCAUAGUGAUUGUUGUGAUGAGCACACUUGGGAGCAUUUACUGGAAGCUGCAUAUAGUUUGGGCCAAGACGGUGUCGCUGGGUAUCACCAUAUGCGAAUAUACGAGUCUGGAGCAGCUUGUCCUCUGUAUAAUAUAUCCCAGGUACAACAAAGGCAGGGUUAAAUGCAAGCUGCUCGGUCUCAGCAAAGUAGUUGUCAAUAUUCUUGUUCAAUACCAACCGGCCCACAGGUUGCAAAGGCAAAAUAUCUUCAGGCCAGAUCUUGCUUACAUCAAGCGGAUCAAAAUCAAACCGAUCUUCAUGAUCAGGAUCCAUAAUCUGGAUAAAAAGUCUCCACUCCGGAUAGUUUCCAGCAGCAAUUGAGUCAUAGAGAUCCUGGGUAGCAUGGCUAUGAUUUGAUCCUCCAACCUUAAUAGCUUCUUCCUCCAACAGGUUCUUCACUCCACAGGUUGGCUUCCAGUGGAACUUCACAUAAUGAGCUUUUCCAGCCUUGUCGAUCAGAGUGUAAGCAUGGACGCCAAAGCCUUCCAUAUGCCUGUAAUCUUGUGGAAUGCCGACAUCAUCUAAGAAGAAAGCAAACGUAAGCAAGCUCUCAGGAUGAUAGGAGAAGAAAUCAAGGAUUCUCCAAUACUCCUGGAUGUGGGUCUUUGGAUUUGGUUUCAGAGCAUGGAUCGAAUCUGGGAAUUUCAUUGCAUCACGAACAAAAAAGACGGGGGUAUUGUUUCCCACCAAAUCGAAAUUACCCUAUCCAGAUGCACAAAGCAACCAUCAGCAGCUUAUCAAGAGUGUCCAAGAAAAUGCAGACCAAGAACUACAUAAAACACCAACCACAUAAUCCAAGUCCCCUGAGAUCAUCUAUUGUGCCCGGAAAGCUUAUGUCCCUAGUUGUGGUGCUUACAAGUUAAUUGAAUGGAUAAGCUGCAUCUUGCUACUAAAUCAACAUACGCUUUCAGAAGGGGAAGCUCCCAAUUUUUACAACGCCAAAGUGUGCUAUGUGUGUGGUGGAGGGCAACAAAGUUAGGACAACUAUUAGUCGUGUUUUAUUCACAUCCAUAUGUGUUGAAUUUGAGAACUUCAAUGCCAUGGAAUACCAAAGGAAGGCUUCACAAUGGUUGGCUAAUUGGCAAAAAUUAUAAAUUGCUAGAAUGACACGUCCAAUUGAGCAGCUGUACAUCAUGCAAAUUCAGCUCUUCAAAAUUCUGUGAUUGUCUCUAAGAACAACUCGUAUCCAUUACUUUCCAGAUAUGAGACAAAGAGGCUUGACAUGUUAACUAAACAACACAUGUCAGUGGCUUUCUGCUGAUUUAAUUCUUAAUAUGUGCGCAGCAUAUGAAUCCAUCUAGUUGACUGACGGAUUAGCAGAACUAUUUUCUGAAGGAAAACAACAGAACUUACCUCCCUAGUGUAAAAUUUCACAGCAAAACCUCGGAUGUCCCUGAGGGUUUCAGGACUUCCACGCUCAUGAACAACAGUUGAGAAACGGACAAUGACAGGUGUCUGAACUCCUGGAGCACGAAGAAAAUCAGCACAAGUGAGAUUAGAAAUGUCAUGAGUGACCUCAAAGAAGCCCUUGGCACUGGCUCCCCUGGCAUGAACGACACGCUCCGGAAUCCGUUCACGGUCGAAAUUUGCAAGUUUCUCCACCAAAUGAUAAUCCUCGAGAAGAACCGGACCUGGCACAUGAAGAAGACGAAAAGCUAAAUACUUGUAAUCACAAAAUGUCAUAUUAAAAUAAACCAGGUGGUCGUCACAAUAAAGUUUCAAUAUCAGAAUAUUAAAAGUAAAAACUAAUUGUAUGUCUACAUUCAGGACUUCUUAACGUAUUUAUUUUAUUAAAAAACCGGAACUUUCUGAUAAAGAUCUCAUGGCAUUUAGAAUAUAGAGGAAACAAAUAGAUAUAGGUAAAACCAAAAUGAGUUUUGUGAAUUUUGUAUUUUUCAAGCUGCUGCAUCUAAUGAGUAAGAAAUAACAGCAAGUCAUAACACAUGAUUCAAUCCCAAAAUAAACCAAAUAAUGACAUUUCUAACAAACGGGGGAUAAAGUUGCAUAAACAAUAAGAAUCUUAGAUCAUAGAAAAGAAAGGAAAGAAAACAGUAAAAGCACCUCUGGUUCCAACGGUGAGAGAGGAGUUAUUGUCCCAGACAGGGGCACCUGAACUGGUUGUCCAGAAGGGAGAAUUGAAAGCACUCGAUGGCCGAUGCUACACAAAUCACAUACAUUAGAAUUAACUAAAACACGUUAAACCUCAGCGUUACUAUAAAAGAUAUGAACUUUGGACUUUUCACAGGAAAAAAAAAUUGAUAUUUUCAUUUUAUCUAAUCGAGUGAGAGCUAAGCAUAAAAAAGUAAAAAUGGAAGCUAAGAAUUACGAAUUUUUUUCUCAGAAUCGAUUACUGGCGAAAGAAAAAAAAAUGAGCUGCUCAGAAAUCCGUGAUGGCCAUGGAAAGCAGCAAAAAUAGACCUCGACUUCGACUUCAAAAAUGAACGACUUCACUAUCAGCUCGUCCAAAUUACAUGAGCAGAAGGUGCAGAAAUAUUACCUUGUAUGGAUCCAUUGCUAUAGCCAGAGAAGGCGGGGGGCAGUGGGUGGAGAUAGAUUUUUGGCUGGGGAAAAAGAAAGGCGGGAAGGGGGAUAGAUGGGUGAAGAUGAUCGUGUGGCAAUCACGGUCUUUCAACAAAACCAAAAGACCCGCCUAUUUAUUUACAAAAGUCCCGAGGCUCGCAUUUCUGUCAGAUCCACUACCCGGUACCCCACUGCCCAUUCCAAGAGCCAAUCCUUUUUUUUCUUUUUUAUUGCUUCUACAAAGUGAAAAAAAAAAAAAAUUUCAUUCGUAAGUGAAUUUCUCGGGUCAAGAUACAAUCGCCAAUUUAAACUUUCCCCAUCAUGACCCUAUUGUCCAAAUUCCUAGUUUUUAUUUGGAUAUUUUUAUAGGGUUCCCUCGAGCACUCGUUCAUAUAUUUAAAUUUCAUCUAAUCUAUCAUAUAUAUAUAUAUAUAUAUAUAUAUAUAUUGAUAAUUAUUAUCUUGUCUUUCAUAUAUGCACUUCCCCUAAAGUAUAUCUCAAGCCCUGUUUAUUUUAGGUAGUUCAAUUUCGUAUCUAUAUCAAUUCUAUUUUGAAACAAGAAAUUUACAAGAAUCUAUAUCAAUGUGUUUCCCGAAUUAUUCUUGCGAUAUGAGAGAGACAAAAGGUAAUAUUAAUAGUCUUAUCUUUCAUUUGAUAUACUACUUAAGUUCUGUUCCUUUUUCUACAAAUUCACAAACGAACAUAAGUAUUUUAUGAUCGUGGCAAUGUAUUAUAUCUAAUAUUCCACUAUGAUUUUAAAUUGAAAACCAAAAGUAGUUCAAUGUCUUUAAAGGCAAUCUGAUAAUUGGGGAAGGAAAUUACAUAUUUAUUAUUAAAUGAUUUUGCUUUUAUUCAUAAUAUGAUACAUAAAUCUCAUUGAAAACCUACUUGAUAUUGAUAAUAAGUUCCUCACAUAACCCACUUGUCCUCAUCUAACUUGCUAAAACUUAAUUAAAUGCCUUGACAAUCUCAAAGAAAGCUCUUUGCAUGCAUUUGCAUAUUUGCUUGAUGUCUCGAAUUAGAUAGGGUACUUAUCGAUGAAUUUGUCCAAAAUACGCUCAUCAACAUUGGUAAUAAAAACUGUUACGCGAAUACACAGUUUUAAGACACUUUCUCUAAUAUAAUUUUGAAAAAAUCGUUCAAAAUAUUCUUCAUAUUCAAUCAAAUAAAAUUUUCCGUCGUUUUAUAUUUAAAAUAUUAACUUUAUGUCCUAUUAUAAAUUUAACUGAGUAGAAUGUGAUCUCAAAAACUGGCUAAAUAAACUCAUCAUUCAACCUUUUUAUCGUUUCUUUUGAUACAUAAUCAAAAUACCACGAUAUCUCGGCUGCAUUAUAUUAUCACGACAUCUCGGCUGCAUUAUUUCAUUCAAUUUAUAAAAGGGGUCUUUGGGUAAACCUGAUCUACGGACCCACCAGUAAACCGAGUGAUCCAAAGUAUGUCAUCAAUUGCAUUAGGUUCUUGUUCCUUGAAGCCAUCUUAUCCUCUCCCCAGCCUCUUACCAUUUCUUCCACCACCAUCCGAAUCUCCUCCUCCCCUUUUAUCUCAUCAAAACCAAGAUCAAGUGGAGCGAUAUUUAAUCACGUUACCCUAAGAAUUCCACAACCCUUUUGUGUUUCAACUCCAAAAAUUUACAAAAAAAAAAAGAGAAAAUGUCUCCGGAUUUUUUUUUUAUGAACCCACUAGUUAAAUUCAUAAUCACGUAAUCAUAAAUAAGCAUCAUCAUAUGGUGGGCUAUGGACUUGUGGGUGAGAAUGGAUUAGUGCCAAGGAGGCUUGAUGGUAAGCUCAAAAUAAACAAAUUGUUGGCCGUUGCUCAGGAUCCAUGGAUGUGAUGGGGGAAGGGCAGCAAAACAAUCAAAAUAGUCACGGAGAUAGCGCAUCAAACGAAUCGGGUUUGUUUGGAUAGUGUAUUAUUUGAAAUAUUAUUUGGAAUAAUUACUGUAAUAUUUUUUGUGAUGUGAUGUAUGUGAGAUAAAAAGGUGAUUGAUAAUAUAAAAAGGUGAAUUGAAAAAUGUGUCUAUAAUGCAAGCGAAAUAUUAUUUGAGAUAAUUGAGAUAUCCAAACAAACCUUUGCUUUUGCUGGUCAGAACCUUCUUUUCUCUUGCGAAUAUUAUGGCAUCAUCUGCCUGGAUCUUUUCAUGGGAGCAUAGUAGUAGAUACCUACCGGUGAUGGAAAAGGACAAGGGAAAGGCGCGACCUGCUACAAAUGAGAGAGAACUCUGAACUGAAAAUUUUCACUCCACUUCAAUGACGUGGCUUAUUUUCUACCUCUCGGUCUAUGGAUGGGUCCGUAGACCGAGUCUACCCAAGUUUUUGCCCUCUACGCGAAAUCCAUUACACAGUUCAACUUGGUAUGAAUUUGUCUGCUGAUUGAAAAGACAUGUAGCUUAUCCACAGAUCCAUCAUAAUAUCGUGGUUCCUUAUCCAGAGAUCCAUUACAACCAAUCCCUGCAACGAUGGCCCGGACCGUUGCUAUUGCGGUCAAGACACGCCUUGAAUUAUGUGCUCCCAACAAAAGAGCGUGGCCCGGCUCUGAAAUUGUCCCGUGAGAGGUGAUUGAAACGCAAUGGUGGCAGAAUAAUGUCGUAGGUUAAGUUGUCAUAUCAGUCCGGAGCUUAGCCAGAGAUGCAUUACAACGACUCCCUGAACCUUCGCGAUCACGACACGUCAUACCAAGUACCUUGAAUUGUCUGCUCCCCUGCUAAACGGCUACGAUCUGGAGAACUGUUUUUGGGACGUAGUGCGGAUUCAAUUCGAUCCAGUGUGAACGCAGUGGUCUUCCGGAAUAUGCCGUUGAUGACUAAAGCAUAAUAAAGAUUUGCAUGGGGCCGGCGGCUGCGUUAUUAUGGAAUGCGUUUAAAUUAUAAAUUAUUUUAAAUAAUAUUUUACUGAAUUUUUUUAUUUCAAAUCUUCCUAAUCCAAACACGUGUUUGAAUUAUGUGUUAUUUCACUUUAUUUACACACACUGAUUUGCUUGCAUCAUUAACAUAUUUUCCAAUAACCUUUUUAUCUCACAUACAUCAUAUUAAAAAAGUACUAUAAUAUUUUUUCACAAAAUUAUCUUAAAUAAUUUAUAAUCCAAACACACUCAUUAUUAUUUUUAUCAAUCGAUGAUUUCUUUCUACAUUACUCCUACUUUUCCUCCCAUGCUAAUUUAAUUUAUUUAAGGAAGGGCUUAACUAGAUUAGAAAGAACCAACAGAGAUUGAAUCACCAGUGAAUGUGUUUAAAUAGAGUAUUAUUUAAAAUAAUUAUUAUAGCAUUUUUUAUGAUAUGAUAUAUAUGAGAUAAAAAAAUAAUUGAAAAUAUAAAAAGAUGGAUUAAAAAAUGUAUUUAUGAUACAAACAAUAUAUUACGUGUAAUAAUUCUAUAAUCCAAACAAACUCAGCUGUUGGACCAAACGAGACGGAUGCACCACCACACACACACACGUUUAGAUUUGAAAAAAUCACAUAAUCAUACAGCUCCUAAAACUAGCAAUAGCAUAAUUAUAUAGCUCCUAAAACUUUUAACAUGACAACCGCCGGAAAGGAGGACACAUAGACGUUAUAGUUACCACCAAACAAGAGAAAUUGAAGAAAAAGCUGGACUUGAAGACCUAGGCAAACAGUCGAACACCAUUAGCUUCUAAUAUUUUGGUGACCAUGCGUUUCAAACAUGAUAAAUUAGUCAGGCAAACAACACAAAGGAAUAGAAGAAAAGGGAAGAAGCAUAAUUGAUCUGAGAAGGUAAAUCAGCUAAUUGCUAAAUCAAACUUAUUUCCCAACAUAAUUAGGCGUUGCUGAAAUGCACUAUGCCACCAACCAAUCCAGACAUUUUCUCUGGAUGGACUUCUCAUAGUCAGUUGAAUAGGCUGAACCCGGAGGUCUUGGAGUAAUAUGCAUGUUUGAAGUAUCCAGGACUACGGAGCCACUGCUAGAUCCUUGAUCCUUGAUGAAGUACCCCUAAAAAAAAAAGGCCUGAAGACCCUCGUUACCUUGCGAAAAAUUGUAUAUAAGCGCUGCAAGUUUCAUUUUCUGGGAUAUAGCUGAGUAUUUUGCAAUGAAUUACUGGUGAGGGUAGACGUAGCUUGCAAAGAACUAUCAGUGAGGGUUGAUUUACCCAGGACGUUCAGGGCCUUCAUCCGAUGCAUUUCUUUUCCUGCAAAUGCAAUGAGACACAAGGAAAAUCAAAUGGAGAAGCAACACCCACAAAGUCUAGAGAGAGAGAAAAAAAUUACUCUUGCUUAAAAAGUUUCUAAAUCUACAGUAUGCCAGAUUGCCAGCAGAAUUUCUCUUUGAGCCUAAGCAGAUAGUUGAAUGGUAUAUGAUCCAAGAAAGAUCAUCCACGACAUUGUCAUCCGAUGUACGAAAUAAAGCCUACUAUAUUUUUAACACCAACAACAUUGAUAAGAGCAAAACUAUUCAGGGGUAUCAAGGAUCCCAUUAAGCACGCUAGGAAAAACAUCUGCCCUCUCAUAUGUAAAGUCACGACCAACAACAUUGAUAAGAGCAAACCUAUUCAGGGAUAUCAAGGACCCCAUUAAGAAUGCUAGGAAAAACAUCUGCCCUCUCAUAUGUAAGGUCAAGAGUCAAGACAGUGGAAUAUUAAAUCAAAUAAAUUAAAGCCCUGCAGUUGUCAAUCAAUAGAUUUACUAGUAUCUUACAGCUGAAUAAGUGAGAGAGUAUAAAAGAGACCUCAAAAUAAUCAACCUCCACCCCGCUGGAAUGAUUACAAGUGCUAGCAUUGCACAAACUCAAAAGAAAAUAUUCUACCCCUAUUCUUCACGCUACUUCUAGAAGAAGCAACUAAAAACUGAGAGCAAGAGAAACUGUUGCAGAGCAACUAACAAAAGAUUCGCAGAAGAUACAAUUACACAAGUAAAUUAGCUUCCUAGUAGCAACAUCUUCAGAUAGCUUAGUUUAAACAAGUCCAUAAUCUGAAGAAUUAAAAUAAGAUUCAAUGAAACAUGCUGGGCUUAGCACUGUCAAAACAACGCUGUUGCAAAAUUCUUGGUUGUUAAGAAGGAAAAUCUGCAAGAAAUUUUACUUGGCCAGGGUACUUGUAUUGCAUAACUAUACUAUCUAUAUCCUUUGAAAAAAAAUUACCUAAAGCCCAUACCACAGUUACAAAAGAUAUAUAGACAAGUCAGUAUUUUAGAAUACAAAUGCACUAAUAUCCUUUACCCUAAUAGACGGCAGAAGCUGUAACUCUCCAAUCGUCAUCAAAUUCUCUCUAUCUCUCUCUCUGCCCCCAACUCACAUGCGAGCAAGCACGCACGCACACACACACACAAAAGGCAUUCAAGGGAUGCGCUUUAUCUGAUAUAUAUGUACCAGAGCUAUCUGUGUCUUGUUGAAAUCGUUCUAAAUUUUUUAUCCUAGAAGAACCAACAUUCGGAAGUUAGUAAUCAUUUAUUACUGGUGAAAAAGAACAUCUAUACCUUCCUCCAUUGCUAAUUGAAUUGCUCUUGCCUCCAACUCAAAGGCAUGUCUACUAAGCUCAGCUGGGGAUAGAUAUCGGAGCACUGAUAGAAUCAAAUCAAGCAGCCAUUGGAGUUGACUAUUUAAAGAAUAGGAAAAAUAUGCAUGAGGAAAUAGGAUUCCUGAAACCCAUGGACUUACCCUGGAUGUAAUCCCGACAGUUUGACUCAUCACAUUCUUUCAAAAAAUUUUGCAGGCGGACAUACCGUUCUGUUGUUUGCUGAUCACGACUACCCUUAUAGUCAACAGAAUUAGGACAUUCCAAUGUGACCCUAAGAGAAUCAGACUGUGUAGAUUGCAUACCAGUGGCAUACUUCCCCAGAAAAUUUGGAGCUGACAAUCCCCCAAACGAACUAUUCGUGGGUGGAAUAUUAUUCUGUGGAACUGCAGGAACAGAAUAAUUGUUGCUUGCCCUCAAAUGAGUUUGUUUUUGAGGAGUUUCUUGCUGCAAUUGGUGCACUUGCCUGGACUGCGGAGAAUCAGCAACCUUAGUUGUGUUGCUUUGAACUCUUCCCCUGCCUAGUUCUAACUCAAAUCUUCGACGUGCAUUCAUGAUAUGCUCAUUUGCACAAGAAUUGGUUAAGGCAGGAUAGAAAGCAGAACCCGAAGGGCGCUCUGGUGUAAGCCUCUUAUUUCCACAAACUCUAACUGCAUCUGUAUUGGCUCCUGAAGCAAGAAAGCUUGAAUUCUCUCGAUGGUUCUGUGACAAGCCACUGGCUUGAUUUUGCACAUCCCUCAGUGCUGUCUUUUUUGUUUCACAAGGUGGCUGUUUAUUGUGAGAAGAAAAGCCAAGACCACCACCAUCCUGCUUAAGAGCAGGAAUUGCAACUCCACCGUUAACCACUCCAUUGCUACUAGUCUCAGUAUUAAUCAUUUGUAGAAUCAUCAACACAUACAGUUUGACUUUCACAAGAGGCCUGAGCAGAAAAUGAAAGGUUAAAUGAUAUACUAAGCUUUUCUAAUUUAACCUCAUUAGUAUCUCUAAGUCUGCUCCAGCACAAAUAAGGAUUGUAUAACAUAAAAGACCAUAGAAUUAGGACAUCUAGAGCAUAACAAUUUUAAACAAGUAAAUCAUUCUUUUUGCCAAACAGCAACUGACUGAUGAAAAAGAGUCAAAUAACUAACUGCAUUUCUAUCCUAUUGACUUCCGAUAUAAAGAGACUUUGCAAUCUCCUUACUGAAGUUAUAGUAGGGAAAAACCAUCAGUCAGUCUAGACCCCAUUCGAGUCGAUAUCAAUUCUAGCGGUAUCACACUGAACAAAGCCUAAUUUCCAUGGUAUUACGACAAAUUUACUUUGAAAUCACACAAAGGAUUAAUUUAAUCACAAACAAAAUAAUUAAACCCAAUUUGACUGACAAUACAAGAAAGAUGCAGCAGACUAAGGAACCACGCAAUGAAACUAACAUUUGACACUAGGAAAAAAAAAUUAAAGCAAAUUAACUGCGUAAAACCCUCUCAAGUCCAUAAAUGCAGUGUGUGAAAAGAAGAAUCUAAAAAUCCAAAAAUUUCAGUCAAAGCCCAGAUGGGCCAGCAAUUACACUCCUGAAUUCUAACCAAGAAAACACUUUUCAACAUUUAACAACAUAAAUUCAUAAUCAAAGAGCAUUUCAAACAAAAUUUACAGGUAAUGAGUAAGAGAGACACGCAAGACUGUACAAACACACACACUUGUACAGCUUUACAUCAGUAAGAGAAGUGUCAAAAAAGGUAAAGAGAAAGAGAGCGGGGGCUUACGGCUUUAUCAAUUGGGGGAGGGGCUCUAAGGAUAGAUCCGAAAAGAGAUGGAAGAAAGUGAGGACAGAGACGGCGCCACUGAGAUGAAAGAGGAGGUUUCAAAAGAGAGAGCUUUGCCUCCAAAGAGCACCCAAUUCCAGGUCUUUAUUAUAACUGCUGCUGCUCCACUUCUUAAAUCAAGUAUUAGCAUAUUAGCAUUAUAUAGUAACUAGUGUUGGAGGCACAACCAUUAAUAAAAGAAAUUUGUGCCAAAAAUUUUUUUAGUAUAUUUGAAAUCAUUUUCAAGAUAAUUAGUUUUAUGGUCUAAUAGUAAAUAUUUAGAAAGUUCACUAAAGUAAAAUAUAUGAAUAAUAAUUAUUUAGUCGUAAUUCAUAAUCAAUCAUAAUUGAUAGUUGCUAAUAAAAUUAAGGUUAACUGAAUGUGUUGAAAAAACAAAAUGAUAAGAAAUACAUAUUAGUUGAAAGAAGGACAUAUGGGAAAUUGGAAAAAGAAAGUUAUCAAGGGUAGUUUAGAAAAACAUAACGUAAUACAAAAAUGUUUACAAUAAUCCCUCCCUCUCCUAGUAUAAAUAUUAAUAGGUGCUGCACACACUAUGUGUGUACAUAUCUUAGAAAAAAAAUUAAAUAAUAAAAAAGAGAUAGAAUAAAAAAUUCGUUAGAGAGAUAUACUACUAUAAUGUUUAUACCCUGUUUGAUAACCUAAUUCAACAUUUAAAUUUAAUGGAUUCGGAUCUUAACAUGUUUAGACGUGUUUAAUAAUAAAAAAUUAAACAUCUGAAUUAAUUAAAUGGCACUAAAUUUUUUAGCCAAAACUUACUCCAAAAAAUAAGUGAUAAGCUAUUAACUUAUCACUAAAUGUGAUAUAUACUCAAAUUUAUUAUAUUUAGGGUAAAAUACAAAAAAGCCCUCCGUGGUAAACCUAAUACACAGAAAAGUCCCCCUUGUAGUUUCAAAAUAUACAACACGAUACCCCGUACUUUGAACUAAAUUGUAAAUGUGAUAGAAUCCGUUAAACUUAACGAAAAUGACUUAUUGGAAUCUAAAAAAAAAAUUUUAUAUAUAGUUUUUAACAAAUAUACCUGUUCUACCUCUUAACUCUCAAUUCUCUCUAUUUAGAAAAUAAAACAAAUGAUUUUUUAGAACUGUCUUUUGCUUAAUUAUAUCAGGGCAUUUUUGUCAUUUCGUCCAUUUCCGUUAAGUUUAACGAAUUCUGCCACAUUUACAAUUUAGUUCAAAGUACGGGGUGUCAUGUUGUAUAUUUUGAAAUCACGAUGGGCUUUUUUGUAUAUUAAGUUUACCACAUGGGGAUUUUUUGUUUUUUACUCUUAGAUUUAAUACUUAACAAUUCAAUAAUUUAAUGAAUCCAAAUUUCAAAUUUCAACUUUCAAACUCCAGUUUUAUCAAACGCAUCCUUACUUUACUUUCUUUAAUCAGGGUAGUUGUUUAGAACAUGUAAAUCACACCUAGCUUUGGCGUUUUACCUUUUGAUCUUAUAUAAAUUACACUGCCUUAUUUUAUCAAAUUCAAGGUUCAAAUUUUGGAUAUAACAAUUUAUGGUGGAAAAGUUACGAGGAUGAGAGGGAGAGUUAAAAAAAAAAGAUAUUACAUUGCAAAAAAUGCUAACCUUUUUAUCAUUUAUAAAUUAUAUAUCGCAUUACAAAAAAAAUGUUGCGGCAAAUAUUAUAACAAAAAUUUCAAAUAAUCUUUUAUUCAAUCACACUCAUGUCAAUUCAUAUUCACAUUUAUUACACCUUAUGCAUUUACAUAUCUUUACGAAUCAACUUCAUUUUUACAAAAAUGUAGCAAUUGAGGACACUCCUAAUAAGGUCUUAUUGGGCGUGUGUUAGCCAACCCCAUUUAUUAUACGAAACAAAUGUCAUGAGUUGUCUCUCACUUUCUCCAAAGAAGAUAAUCAACAAAGAAUUAUUAGAUGUCUAAAUCUUCAAAUCCCUGUUUUAUAAAGAUUUAUCUAAUUAUCCAUAUUUACUAAGCGUAGUCAUUAUUCAAUCAUCAAUUGUCUCAAAAUCCCAUAUUAGUUUUACCAAUGUCAUAAAUUUUGAAUUUAGCUGGUAUAGAAAUGAAGUGAGGCGGCCCGGAUGGCUUUGAAUUUAUCGAUAACAUAUACACAAACGAAGUCAGUCACUAAUAAGAUGUUUUUCCCCCUUCCAAAAAAAAGAAAAGAAAAGAAAAGAAGUACUUCCUUUAUUUAUUUUAAGUUGAUAAAUCACAAAAUUGUCGUAUUAAACUCUUUCCUCCAGUGGUACACUACAAUACAAUAUAGCAUCCUUAAUCCUUAAUAGGAUCCAUUCCUUUUUUUUUAUCAAUUAAUAAUUUCGACAUUACUUCUAUUCCUACUUUAAACUAGUUGAAGGACUGCCCAACUGAAUCAAGGGCACCAACGAGAAUUAAACUACAAUUCGACUAAACGAGUAAACUACAGACUCGUUUGGAUUUGAAGAAAUCACAUGCCAGUAGCAAGUGAUGGGAGGUCAGGGCGGCAAAGGUCAAAUCCUUUGAUCUCCCACCUUACAAAGAAUUGUUUGGAUUGCAAUUUUUCUUUGAAUUGUUUGAAUUGUUACGUUUUCCGUGAACACAAUUUUCAAUUACAUUUUUACCUUAUAUAUAUGAAAUCACUACAGUAAUUUUUCUACCAAAAAUCUAGAAAAAUGCAAUCUAAACAAGCCUAGGCUGUUGGUUCUUAAUUUAAUCCAUAUGUCCAAAAAUCAUGCUAACAAAUUCGGUUUGACAAUGUGAGUUUUUGCUAAGUUUGUCUUCUACCAAUUUUUUAAAAUAAAUUUAACUACAAUAAUCUCAAAAAAAAAUUUAAAAAUUUUAAAUUACACACUUCAAAAUACUCAAAAUACAUAAAAAAAAGUUUUCCUUUCUCCUUUCUUCUUCCACCUCAACCUAUCACCACCUCCACCGCCGACCAAGACUAGCAAGCACGGACAACAUCUUCCACCUCCGGUCACCUCUUUUUCCUUUUUUUUUCCCUUUCUCUCCUCCUUCUCUCCUACCCUGUCCCCCCUACUCUUCCUCUCCCUCUCUGCCCGAUCUGGUCAUGCAACUAGAUCGCGCUAGGAGGAGAGGGAGAGGAAAAAAAAAGAAUUUUUUUUUUGUUGCUGUAACUUCCAGCGGGGGGAGGGAGAGAGGGAGAGGGAAGGGGAGGAGAGCGGGAAGAGGGGGAGAGAGAAAAUGCAAAAAAAAAAAAAUUGUUUCUGCGGUUGCAACUUUCGGCGAGAGGGAGGGAGUGGUGGCAGGGAAGGGGGAAGGGGAGAAGGGAGGAAAGGGGGAGAGGGAGAUGGAAAAAUGCCAAAAAAAAAUAAAUUUGUUUCUACUGCUGCAACUUCCUUCCAGGCGCCGCCGGGGGGAGGGAGAAGAAGAAGAGAGGAAAAAAAAGAAAAAAGAAAGAAAGGAGAAAAAAGAGAAAAGGAAAGAAAGAAAAAAAAAAGGAAAAAAAUUUUAUCUUAAAAAUUUUCCUACAACUUUUAUAGUAAAUUACAGUAAAAAUUUAGACAAACAUCCAAAAAAUUCGUUUGAUAAGUGAGUUUUUUGGGUGUUUGUCUAAACCUUUACUGUAACUUACUGUAGAAGUUUUUAAAUUUUUUUUUGAAGUGUGUGUGUGUUUUUUUUAAAUAUUUUGAAGUGUAUAGUUUAAAAAUUUUGAGAAAUUUUUUGAGAUUAUUGUAUGUAAAGUUUUAAAAAAACUUGUAGCAGAUAAACUUGGCAAAAAACUUGUCUGGCAAACAAGGCCCUCAUUUGCCAGUAAUUAGUAAGACAAGAAGCAGUAGCUAGUAAGACAAGAAGUAGUUUGAAGUGGUGUUUUCCCUUUCCUUAAUCUCCAUAUGGUUCCUAGGGGAUUGAAUUAUUUUCAAGUUUUGAUACUUAUUUUUGUCGAAAUUUGUUCUGAAAAUGCCUAGUGAACUUGAAGUGCAUGUGAAUAUCUCUCCAGUCUGAAGUCUCCAUUUUGUAGGAUUGUCAAGUGAAUUCUACUCUACCUGCUUAAUAAUCUGAAGACGGUACGGAGCCCGUCCUGACAAUAACAGAGUGGUUUACCUGUAUAUCUAUCCUGGCUCCAAUGCGAAGAUGUGGAUCAACUUAUUCAGUCACCCCUUGCAGGCUGCAGGUGAAUUGAUGGAGGCAACCUACCGGGCCUUCGCCAAAUUAAUCGUCAUCGGGGAAAUUCUCAGUCAAUUCCAACCUUUUUUAAUUUGUUUUUCCUUUGUCAUCAGCUGGUACGUGUGAUUAAUAAUCUUAUGACAAAGUGUAAUCUAAAAGCCAAUUGCUGCUACUUAGUUAACUCGGGAUUGGUUAACAGGAUGGCAUCCCAAAAAAAAAGUUCAAUUAUACAACACGAUGCUGCAAAGAAUGGUUAGUUAUCAACCUGUCAUUUGCAUUGACUACGGACCUAGGGAAUUUGUUCAGCCUUACUCAUAAGCUGUAAAACUGAAUUUGCUUUCCUUCGACCUCUGUCAGUUCCACUCUUGGUGACUUCAACUAGAUGUUCAUACACACCAUACUGAAGUGCAGCCAGAAUGAGAUUGGAGUUAUUUGAACCCAACUGCAGAAGAACUGCAGUUGCACAUUCCUUGUUUUUGGGAGUGCCGUCUCUGAUGAAGUUAACAAGAGUCUCAAUAAAUGAGAGCUGUCCAAUUUCUUGCCUUCCCUCCGGAUUUGAUGCAAGUAGCAGCAGAAGGGAGAGGAUUUCGUCAAUCAUGUCUAAGUUCCUGUCCUCCAGUAGGCUGAGUAAUGGAGUCACAAUGCCAGCUUCAAUAGCCCUGGACUUGUUACUAUGAUUGAGACAGAGAUUGAAGAGUGCAGUCACAGCAUCCUUUUUUCCCCUUAUUGUCCCAUUUUUCAACAGCAGUACCAAUGGUGGGAUGCCGUUUAAAUCUCCUACUGUUGCUUUAUUCUCAUCGAGCAUUGAUAAGCUGAACAAUGCUGCGGCCGAAUUUUCUUUGGCACCAACAGUUCCACUCCGCAAAAUUUCAAUUAUAGCUGGAAUAGGGUUUUCUCUGGAUAUGAGCUUCUUGUUUGACUCGUCAAUUGACAAGUUCAAUGUUGCUGUUACAGCAUGCUCCCGGAUUUUGGAGUCUGGAUAGGACAGUAGUUGCACAAGUGGUUGGAUUCCUCCACUACUGGCAAUCAAAAUCCUGUUUGCAGGACUCUCUUUGGAGAGAAUACGAAUCUUCUCCACCGCACUCCUCUGCACAUCUAGCUGACUUGAAGAUAGAUUUUGAACCAAGGAUAAUAUCUCUCCAUCAUCUUCCGUAACGGGAUUCUUGGGGUUUGCAGAUGCUUCCUUUGUGAAAAGUUGGAAAUUGUUCUUGGUACCCCACUGCCGAAUUAAGUUUCGGAGGGCAAAAUUUGGUGCUAGUGAUAAGUGAGUUAACUCUUGCCCUGAUUUUGGACAGGUUCGAUGACCUGAAUCCAACCAUUGCUGUAUGCUCUCUCUUUCGUAGGUCUACAAUGGACGUUGAUUAUAAACAAAGAAUUAGUGUCAGAGCUACAUGGCCUUGAUCUACACAUCAGUUUUGUACCAAGUGGUAGAAUGCAAGGGAAGUAAAGUUUCUUAAUGAGAAAAUAUAAGCAAAUAUGGAAAAGGGUGCAUGGUGGUUGAGGUUGGGUUAAAGAACCCGGAGAAAUAUGUUAUUACCUGUCCAGUUGCUACGAUUACCGGAUCUAUCAUAAUCUCCAAGGUAAUGGGACAGAGGAACUCAUGGGGAAUUUCUACAGCAGAAGCACAUUUUUUACGAGUUUUUGGCAUAAGCGGAUCGUCAAGUGCACCAGUUUCUGGAACAGCGGCAAACUUUUGGAAUUUUUUUAGAAGAAGUGUGAUUUGUUGAGUGCCUUCUGCAUUAUGACCUCUUCUGUCUUUGACAAGCCUUCUAACAGCCAACGUUUCAGCCUUCAGCUCCUCAACCGUACGUAAAGCUAGCUUGUUUGCCAACCUUUCAACACUAGCAAUGUCUGCAUUCCUAUCAUUCUCUGUGGACAAUGCCACCAUCAAAUCCAUCGUGAAUUCCAUAUCCUGAGUAUCAGCCCGCGAUCUGGAUCUCCUAAUUUGUGCCCGCAUCAACUCAACCUGUAUAAAAUUAGCGUCCAAGGCAACAAAUGAAAAGAAUUACGCCUCUUUCAUCAUCGAAAAAAGGAAAAAAAAAGAAAAAAAGGCCAAUCAAUAGCUGUUAAGAAUUAGUCAAAUAGCAUCCAACAUCAUUAUCCAUAAACUGAGACAAAACAUUAGGCACUGAAAAUCCUGCAGCAGCUAGGGAUGUACGCGUGCAAGUGACAACCCCAAAUGCAAAUGCUAUAAGCCCAUAAUGUCCUUCUAGAAAGAAAAUGCAGAUGUUAUAGUAAGAUUUACGAUGACAGACCUGUUCUUUCUCUUCAUCCGAAAUUCCAAGCUCCUCGUACGGCAUGCCAUCCAAAGCCCGACUUAUUUUUGCAUAUACAGAAUGAAACCUGACCAUAAUGGCUUCCGUUUCUAAUGCCUAAACCACGGUAAUAUUUAGUAACAGGAAAUUAGCAUGCUCAAAAAGGCACGAACAAAAUCAGAAAUGCGGGAAAUUAAGGACAAAAGCAUAUCAAGGGAAUUACCAACCAGGUAAAUUUUGCUUCCGCAAUGACAGGUGGUCAACAAUUUCUUGGCAGAAAUGAAGGCUUUCUUCAAUUUGUUUAAGCAUUCAAGGGCUGCUUCUGGAAUCGGCUUGUCAAGGUCUCUAAAUUCUUCUAAGAAAGGUAACAAGAGCUUCAAUCUUCUAACAAGGCUUUGACACUCUUUCCUUUGGGUCUUCCUGAAUUCUCCUAUGGACUUUACAUUUUCAAUCAUGCCUAUGAGUUCUUCAACCACAUCCAUUUGAUCCUGAGUUUUCUUGACCACCGGGCUCAAUGGCUUCUUGUCUUCCUCUCCAAUCUCCCCUUCUACGACGUGGCGCCCGCCAGCUGUCGCCAUCCCUAAAUGUUCUUCAAACUUUCCCUGAUUUUUUUCACAUGGUGGUUAUAUUCAGUAUGCGAAAACUUAAAAAGGAAAAAAAAAUCGACAUGGAAUUCCUUUACUUUGUCUUGAAACAAAAUUCUCCUGGAUAAUGAGAGAGAGAGAGACCAAUAGGAAACCCACCAGUAAGUAUGGAAUAUUAUACAAAUUUUUUUUUAUUAGGUAUUGGGGCUCUAUUUCUCUUUCAUUUAUGACUGCUACUAGGAAAUUGUCCGUGCAUUUAGCUUCACGUUAGUCAUCAUGGAGAACAAUUUCUUGUGGUCCAAAAUCCUGAAAAUGGUAAUAAAAGAAUGUUUUGGACGUAUGAUAUAUAUGUAAAAUUUAAAUUUAGAAUUAAUUAUGAUAGCACGUGCAAUGUUAAUGUAUAAAAAAAUAAUUUUUUCUUUGAAGGCAAAUCAUAUAAAAGAGGCUUGCAAGUUAGUUUAGUAAGAAUAAGAACAGUUUGUAAUCAUAAGCCAAAAAGGGGGGGGGGGGGAACUUGAGGGACAAUUUUCACGAAAGGUCCUUCACAAACAUAAACUUUUUUAAUCCCUUACAUUCAAAGCGAUGUAUUUUGGAUCCAAGCACUUUGGUUCCAAAUUCUUGAUCCAAUUAUUAUGAUUAUUUUUUACCUAAAAAGAUGCAUAUACCAUAUGUUGAUCAAUUAGGGUGUAGAAAUGGAAAAAAGAGCAAGUUUGCUUGCAGGAAAAGCCGUAUAGAUAUGUUCGUCAUAAUGUUGAAGAGAAACUUGCCUCAAUGCAUGCCUUUAGAAUAAAAAUUUGGGAUCAAAUUGAUUAUUUUUUUUAAUGUGUGAGGAUCAAAAUGCAUCAUUUUACAUUUUGAGGGACUAAGAAAAAGACAACUAGCAAAUGUAAGGAGCCUUCUUUUGUACAGCUUUUCCCAAAAAAAAAAAAAAAAAUCUCAUAAUUAGGUUGUAAUAAGGAAAGUUUAUCCACCCUCUCAUGAUUAUUAAUGUGGGAAUUUUUGAAGAAAAGCAGGAUGGAACACAAACAAACACGUUUUUAAUCACUUUUUUUUUUCCCGUUAUGUGAUUUCUAAACAACAUCGAAUCCAAAACAAAUCAAAUGUGUUUUUAAAAAUAGAGAGCACCAAUUGUACCUCAACAAGCCAAGUUUGAAUUUGAAAAUAAAAACAUAAUUGUAGCUUCUUUCCGGCUUACAAUUUAAAAGUAGUAAAAAGAAUAGCCGAGGGAAUGAUGCCCUAACCCUAUUGGAAUUUGGUCAUCUUCAUUUAUUCUCUAGGCUGAUUAACAGUUGUGAUACAAGCACAAAUGUUUGUUAGUUAGUACCAUUCAAAUCAGAACUAAUAAAAAGCACAACAAAGAAAAGUUAAAAUAACAAUUUAUAGUUCCCACAAGAAUAGGCAUAGCAAUUUUACAGAGUAAUGGGCUAUAUAGUGCAUGGAUGGAAUUGGAAAUCAGUUGUGUAAAUGGCCAGACCAGACCAUACCAUUAUUACCAUAUAUAGAAAAUCAGUUAUCUAAUUCAUUAGCAAAUUCAGUAUACUCCCCCGUCUCACUUUGAUAGUCCUGAUUUUUUUUUCCACACAAUUUAAGAAAAAGUAGUUAACUUUAUUGGAACAAUUAAUUUAGGUAACUAUUUUCCUAAAAUACCCUCACAUUAAUUAAAUAUAACUUUAUGGAAACUUGAAUUGAUGGUAAAAAAAGAAUUAACUCUCGUUCAAUGGGGGUAGAUUUAUAGUAACAACAACUUACAUUUAAUAAGGGUAUUUUAGAAAAAUUAAAAUACAAUUACAUUCGGAAAGUGAACUAUAAUUUGGGACAGACAAAAAAGGAAAACAGGACUGUCAAAGUGAGACGGAGGGAGCUUUUUUUUUUUUUGGAAAAAAAAUUGAGAAAGCAUCUCAGUAGUAGACCCGGCUGUCUUAAAUACUCCUUUAAAUUAAUGUAAGGGCAUCAUCAGAAUCAUCAUCAUCUAUCUGGGUAAAAGUUUUUGAAACACACAUUUGACCUGGGCGGCGGAGGGGAUUUUUUUUUUUUUUUUUUUGGGAGAGGGACGAGGGGUUCGACGGCUGAAAGAACCGUUAAUAAGCAAAGAAUAGACCAUCGCAACUUUUCAUCCAACGGCCACAAUUUACUAGCCGUUGUUUUCAAAAUAUGAAAAGAGGGCUAUGUCCGGACAUAUUUCCGCCGUUUUUACCCUUUCAUCCCGCUUUUAUCCAUUUUCUUCCUACUGCAAUUAAGCAAUAAAACCCUCAAUACAACCAACCCAGAAGACUGAGAUAUAGACAAGGUUAAUGAAAAAGAGAGAAACACUUCUUCAAGAUGAAUCCCCUCCACUGAUCAUUUUGGUGGAGCUUUCUCUGGUCUCUCUCUUCAUUUGACGGCCGCUUUAACUGAAACAAUAAGAUACUUCCUUUCAUCGGAAUUACUGCAGGUAUCUUUAUCUGGGAUUCUCGUCAUAACCCUGGAUUUUAGUUUCAUCUCUCUUUAUGUUUUAUGAAUUGGGUUUUCUUCUUUUCUUUUUCCUUUUUUCUUUUUUCGAAUCCUUAUAUUACGUUUGUUUGGACUGCUUAUUUCUGCGAUAAAUUAUUUUUAAGUAACUACUCAAAUUCUUGAAUGGGUUUUUGAAAAGUUCUUUUGUUUUUUUAAAUCCUGUUAUUAGGUGUAGCUGUUCUUGAAGAUGGCCAAGACGGCAGGAUCAGAUGAGAACUACCCGGGUUUGAUUAGGCCCUCUAACACUCGAGGUACUUGAAUUUUGAAUGCAGCUUAUCUUCUCAUAGUUUGGUCUCUCUUGAUUAUUUUCUUUUAUUUAUUUUGAUCAUCCACUCAAGUUAUGAUGGUCUGGCAUCCAUAGAUUACAAAACCCUAACUUCUGAUAUCAUUUGAUUGUGUAUCAAAAGGGGAUAUGGGGGCUAGAGGAGGAAAGUUGACGGAAUCAAUUGGGCAGAAUAGGAGGGCAUUGAGCACCAUCAAUAGGAACGUUAUAGGGCCUCCACCUUAUCCCCGUGUUGUCCACAAAAGAGGUGUCUUGGCAGAGUAUGAUCUCUUAAACCCUAAUCUUUGAGGGUUCUUAAAAAUUUGAUCUUUCUAUUCAUUCAAAUGAAUUACUCGUCCUUUUCCUUUGUUUUAUUUAAAACCCUGGUCAUUUUAUACAGGCAUAAUGCAACCGCUGCUAAUAUCCCUCCUAUUCCAGUCCAUCGACCAAUCACUAGGUUGGUGGAUUCUGCUAUCCUUGAUGUCGGUUCUGAGAUUUAAGUGGCUUUAUCAUUCUUCAUUUAUUGGUUAUCUAAGAUUAAGAAGCUGCACAUUUGGUUGCAGAAUGAACUAUUUUGUGUCACUUUGUCUAUUUGUUUUCCUUUUGUCUUGGUUCUUGCUAUAUGAUCAGGAAGUUUGCGGCUCAAAUGGCUUCGAAACAGGAUCAGCCUCUGAUUCAGGUAUACAUCACUUUUGGAAACAAAUGAAAGAUGGCAAAGGAAGACGAAUUUCUAUCGUUGUCAAAUGAUUUAUGUGUGUUAUUGUUGUAAGUCUGAAUAGUGUGAUUUUAUUUCCAUAGGAAACAAAGCCAGUAGUCAAUUCAGUCCCUAAAGCAAGUGCAUCUGAAGAUUGCGUCAUUAUUGAUGUGGAGGACUACAAGUCAAAUGGUGACUAUCCAGUGCCAAUGUCCGUGCAACACACAGAAGCUAUGCUCGAGGAAAUAGAUCGGAUGGUAUUUAAUUCACUUUUUUUAUUUUCUUUUGGUUUUAUUGGAUGGCUUCCUUCAUCUUUUACUUGAUUGUAGGAUGCUGAGUUUGAGAUGGAGGAUAUAGCUGUGGAACAAGUGGUGGACAUAGACAGUGUUGAUAAGAAUAACCCACUAGCAGUUGUGGAAUAUAUCGAUGACUUGUAUGCCUACUACAAAAGAACCGAGGUCACAUAACAAAUCCAUUCUCCAGCAUUCUUUAGGACUUAAGUUUGGUUAUUGUCUAUUUGUUUCAAAUUGCUCUACUUUGUUCUCCACAUGAGCUUAGUCCAUUCAUUGAGCUUGUAACCCUUCUUUGCCUUGUCUUAAAUGAUGUUCUCUUGUUUCCACUCUAAAGUCAUGUUUCCUUAUAGUGAACUAUGUCAACUCAGUAAGUUUAUCUAUGUGCGUAGCACUUCAGAUUGGUUAUUAUCUAUUUCUUUCAAAUCAGUAACUUUUCCAAUGUGCUUAGUUCAUUGAUUGAGUUCAUGACUUUUGUUUGCUUGUUUUAAAUGAUUGUGCAUAUAGUCCUGCCCUAUAUAUAGUCUUGUUUCCACUCCAGCGUCUUGUUUCCAUAUAGUGAAUUAUGUUAAUUAGUAAGUUUUCCUAUGUGCUUAGUCCAUUCUUUUAGUUCAUAACCCUUCUUUAGGCCAGUGAAAGAGAGAAGCCUAGUUUAUUCAAUUUGAAUUAAUUCACUUGAUUUAACUGAAGCAUCUUUGCUAACUGCUACUCGAAUUGAGCACUGCUGUCUUUACAGAUUUCUUCUAAUUCCUUCUUAAGAGGAAAAAAAAAGUAACAACCAGUUCUUAAUUGUGAUACAAGGUAAUAUUUGAAAGAAGUGACAGUAAUGUCUUGCGGCUUUUGCCCCAAAAAAAAAAAAAAGAUUUGCAGAUAUUUGAUCCCCCAUUUGUUGACAGACUCUUAUCUUUAUUUCAGUUUUAUUUCAUUAUUCGCAUGCAGAUAUCUAGCUGUGUCCCAUCGAACUACAUGGCACAGCAAUUUGACAUCAAUGAGAGGAUGAGGGGCAUUCUUAUUGACUGGCUGAUAGAGGUAAAGAAACAAUUUCACAUUAUUUUGGCAUUCUUACAAAUUCUGAACUGUCAGAAGUAAGAAAAAGGUUGCGGCUAACACUGUACUUCUGAAUGUACAGGUGCAUUACAAGUUUGAACUGAUGGAUGAGACCUUGUAUUUAACUGUCAAUCUAAUAGAUAGGUUCUUAACAACAGUCUCUGUGGUGCGCAAGAAACUUCAACUUGUUGGAGUGACAGCAAUGCUUCUGGCUUGCAAGUAUGAAGAAGUUUCUGUUCCUGUCGUUGAAGACCUCAUAUUGAUUUCUGACAGGGCUUACUCCAGAAAUGACGUGCUUGAGAUGGUAGGUUUGUUAUGGCAUCUAUUGUCUAUGAGUUGAUCUUUGAUAUAUGAAGGUUUCCUUUGUCAUAUAACUAAAAUUGAACUGUGGCUCGCUGCAGGAGAGCUUAAUGAUCAAUACCUUGCAGUUUAAUCUUUCAGUGCCUACUGCUUAUGUCUUCAUGAGGCGCUUUCUUAAAGCUGCUGACUCUAAUAAAAAGGUAUUGUUUCGUAUUUAGUGUAUGUGAAUUUUUUGCGCUAUCUUGAUCUGCCUAAUAACUGGCAAUAAUCUUCUGGUGACUAGUUGGAGCUUCUGUCCUUCUUUAUCGUUGAGCUGUGCCUCGUCGAGUAUGAAAUGCUUAGGUUCCCCCCGUCUCUCUUAGCAGCAGCAGCAAUCUUUACUGCACAAUGCUCUGUCAAUGGGUUCAAGAAGUGGACUAAGACAUGCGAGAGGCACACAAACUACACUGAAGAUCAGCUUUUGUAAGUGGUUCCUUGUGCUCUUUUCACACAUUAAUGAAUUUUUUCAUAAAAGAAAAUAGUAUAUUAAUUGUACGUGUCUUUUUGGUUAUUCUAGGGAAUGCUCAAAACUCAUGGUUACUUUCCAUCAGAAGGCAGGCACUGGCAAGCUUACCGGUGUUCACCGAAAGUACAGCACAUCAAAAUAUGGAUAUGCUGCCAAAUCACAACCUGCCCUUUUUCUGUUGGACGCAACUUUUCACAGCAAGAUUGAUUUGGCCCGUUGAGCAACACACAAGUUGCUGUGCAUUUUCGUUGAUCUGAUGUACAAAUUUAGCUGAGUUCUAUUUUCCAGAUUUGCUUUCUUGACUUUUAAACCAACCGUCUGUUCUCAUCAAAUAAUAUUAUCUUGCAUGGGAUGAGUUUGCUUACAAUCUAAGGAUAGCUGACUCCUCUAAGAUCGAUACACAAGCUAGUGACAAAAGGCAGGCGGGGGGAAGUGUAUAACAAAAUCAACCUCAGUAAUCAACCUCAGUUUUGUUGGACCUAAAAAUAAAAAUUCAGAAGCUGAACUUCCACAAAAGGAGAUCCAAGUCUUUAGGUCUCUGUUAGCAGGAUCAAGAAAGAAUCUAUUUCUAUCCGUCCACAAAGCCCAGCAAGCACAGGGAAAUAAAGUACUAUUCCACGGGAAACGGGUAGGAUUGGCUUUAUCCGAUUUACUGUAGCCAUUUUUGAGCCAACACAGAAAAUUCUUGUCAAGAGCUUGUUUGCAAGAAUGUUUGGUUGUCGAAUAGGCUUCCUCGUCCAUUACAGACAAAACUAGAAAAGGCAUGAUUCUUGUGCUGCUGCGGGUAGCAAAACUCUAUUCUGUCCUUUGAAAAAAUGAUCUUCCGUUGCCGGGACUUGAACCCGGGUCUCUCGGGUGAGAGCCGAGUAUCCUAACCACCUAGACUACAACGGAUCUGCACGUUGGUAUUGUUUUUUUUCUUUUCGUGCUGACCGUGUAUUGAUACUCGCACCUAAUUGCUAUUACUACAACUAUCUUUUUCCUUUUUUGCCCUUUUGUUGAUUUGACCUUACACAAAACUGACGACAGGAUCGAACCACACUACAAAAUUGCUGAUAUGGUUACAACAGAAUAACUACUUGAAAAAAGUUCUUCAAAAUUGCUACAUUUCUCGAUUAAUUUAACAACAGUACAAUACGAUGCAAUCCUCGAGGUCAACAAAACAUGGUGCAGGAGUGGGAGGGGCGAGACGAUUGGCUAAAAAUCAGCUGCGAGGGUAGCGAUGACAAUGGAGACAAAAAUCCGACACUUCAAUCCGACGUGGUGGAUGUACAAAAGCCGCAAAAUAUCUGCCUUUCUCGAUUGGGAAGGGAUUCUCGUGCUGGGAACUGCAAAAAAUCAUUUAACUCGUCAGAUUCUUAUCCCCCUCCCUUAAAAACCAAAAAAGAAAAAAGAUAUAACUGUUUCAAGAAUUGUUAACGACCGUCAAAUUUCCAAAAAUAACCAGUACUGGAGGUCUAGUACAAGGUUGUUUGCUCUAGUCACAUUUGGAUUGUCUUUGUUGUUGUGUCAGCCUCCCUCUUGAUCUCGAUUUCUGUCCUGUGGGCUUUUAGCUAAAAAGGGUCACUGCACAUCCCCAUACCAUUUCUACGUCUGCACGCAUGAAUCCCGCAACUAUUUUAAGGUUGUCACUUGGUAGAGCUAAAAAGAUCCAAUCAUCCGAACUUUCUCUUCUGAAUUGAUGAUGCUGGAGCCGUAGUGAAGCUCUAAUACUGGUGAGAACUAAUCCGCCGGAAAUUUUCUUUUAUUAUGAAAUCCUUUUUUUCUUAUUUUUUUAAUUUUUAGUUGAGGGGUUGGCGGUGGGGCUUCUUUUUUUUCCCUUCCCUGUUUUUGAUCUUUGUCUGACAAUCUGAUAUUUUUGGGUAGUUUUUCAUGGAUGGAUGCCUCAUGGCAAGUGGUUAGUUGUUACCUUUGAUAUGGGGGGCAAGUUGUUAGUUGUAACCUUGGUAUUUGCACUUGUUUGAGGGGAUUUGGACAUUUGUAUUUGUUGUAUGUGGUUUCUAGCAAUUUCUGGGGUCUAUUUUAGAUUGUGACAUUUCCAACUGUCUUUAAGAUCUCUAGUAGUGCCAGUUUGCAUUGCGUGGAUAUAUUCAAUCUGAUAUUUUUAGCAUUGUGGUUAAUAUUACUGCCUUUCUAUUUUCCACUCUAUUAUUGUCCUAUUCUCGGGAAAAUUCAAUUUGACUGUUUUGACUAGAUUGUAUGUGUGUGUAGAUAUGAUGCUUCAUUCAAAGUUAAAGAUCUUGUUGUUCGUUCAAGUUCUCAAGUGUAUUUCUUGUAAUAUAGGACACAUUUUUUGAGUACCUGUAUCAAGUGAGUGAAGAAGGCUUCUUUCCUGCUAAGAGAGAUGAUCGAGAAGAAGCAGAAAAAGUUCCUUACUGUCGCACCCUUUGAGUGUGCUUGGUGCGAUGACUUGAAGUUCAGAGAAGCAGGAAGGGGCUGUGUAGCUUUUGAUGCUUUUGCCCACAAUGAUGUAACCAUCGUGUUCAGAGAGCAUGUAGGUAGUCAGCAGUACCAUUACAAGAGGGACAAUAACCCGCACUAUACUGUCAUCAUUGGUAGCCAUAAGAAUAAGAGAUUAAAAAUUGAGGUUGAUGGCGAAACAGUGGUGGAUGUGGCUGGGAUUGGUCUUUGCUGUUCUUCUGCAUUUCAAAGCUACUGGAUCAGUGUUUAUGAUGGAUUAAUUAGCAUUGGCAAGGGAAGGUAUCCUUUUCAGAAUAUUUGUUUUCAGUGGCUUGACUCGAAACCCAACUGUGCCGUGCAGUAUGUUGGACUUAGCAGUUGGGAUAAGCAUGUUGGGUAUAGAAAUGUCAACGUCCUCCCUCUCACACAAAACCAUAUGACCUUGUGGAGACAUGUAGAAUCUGACGAGCGCGACAAGUGUGAUAACAGCGAAGAAGAGUUGGAAAAUGAAAUUGCAGACUAUGAGAAGUGGGGUUUAGAAAACUUUCUUGAGAGUUGGGAACUUUCAGAUGUGUUUUUCAUUGUUGGGAAGGAGGAAAGAGCUGUCCCAGCUCACAGGAUAAUACUGGCAGCAUCGGGAAAUUUUGAAUUUGAAUCUUCUGGCAGUGAUGUUGUCCACCUCCCUGAUAUAGACUAUGAAAUUCUACAUGCACUUCUGCAAUAUAUUUACACGGGCCGUGCUCAGGUCAAUCUUGUUCCUUUUAAAUCUUUUGACCGUUUGUUAUCAUUCUGUGUUUCUAUUUCUUAGCAUACAUUUACUUGGAUGGUUUUGCACAUUAUUGCAUUGAUUUAUCAUCUUGAGAUUGUAGGGCAAUGAAAAUACAUUACAAAAUUAUCUGGCCCAGAUAGAUCAAUUGUUCGUUUGGCUUUUGUUUUAAUCUGCAUCGUCAUGUUUCACCUGAUGUUUACUUGUGAAAGAAAUUACUCUUCAAGUGUCAAAUGUUUGCAUCAUUUAGCAGAUUGAUGCUUGUAGUAUUGAUUCCUUCCUUACAGUGGUUCUACUGCAUGUAUUGUGUAGUCAAUGGCAGUAGAAUAUAAUGGGUGUCUUUUGUUACGUUCUUUGCAUUUUACAUAUUGCAGCUCUUAAUUUUGAUAUAAUUGUUAUCUUAGAGUUCAGUAUCUGACAAUUUUGUUUCAUUCGAAUUCUAUAGAUUUCUGAGUCGCAUCUCAGUUCCCUGAGCGCAUUGAGCUUACAAUUUGAAGUGAUAUCUUUGACAAAGCAAUGUGAAGAAAUUAUUGAACGGUUUAAAUUCAACAAGAAGUUGUUUGACUCAAGUAAGGAUGUGGAACUUUCACAUCCUAACACUCGGAAAUGCAGUGCAGGCUUCCCGUCUGGCCUACCCAUCAAUGCAGAGAGGCUUAAGCAAUUUCGCAUGGGUGGUCAAUACUGUGAUAUCGACAUUUGCAUUGAUGGCCAUGGCCUUGUUGCGCGGGCUCAUAGGAUUAUCCUUGGUUUAUGGAGCACUCCAUUUACAAAGGUAUGCCAGUUUUCUGAUCCUUUCUAACCAGCACCAGGAUUUCAACUCUGUUUUCCUUUUUUUUUCCUAUGAGGGUAGGGGCGGUUUCCGCCAAUGAUUCUACCAUAUAUAAUGUGGUUGAACAUCCCUAAAGUAAGAUACUGAAAUUUUUAGACUAGGAACUGUUAGAUCCAUAAGGUAAUCAGCUUGAUUUUGGUUUCCAGAAGUCUGUUUGAUGCCUGAAAAAUUAACUUUGUAAAUAUCAGAGGCUACAGAUGCCAUUAACUUCCUUUGUGUUUGGAGCAUUGCUUAGUGAGAAUUUGUGGCUCUCAAUCAUGCCUUUUAUCAUUUGAUUUCUGGGCACAGUCUUACUGUAGCAACGAAGUACUCUUAUAGAAUUGCACUUUCUAUAGGAUUGCUACUAAACAAGCAAAAACAUUCACUCUUUUGCAGAUGUUCACCAAUGGAAUGAGUGAGUCUGUUGCACCAGUGGUUUGCUUGAAAGAUGUUUCUUUUGAUGCAUUUCGGGUCAUGCUCGAGUUCAUGUAUAAUGGGGAUUUUGCUAAAGGAGACACCUUGGACAUUGGUACACUUUUGCUUCAGCUUCUUCUAUUGGCAGAUCAGUUUGGGGUUACCCUUCUUCAUCAGGAAUGCUGCAAAACAUUUCUGGAGUGCCUCUCAGAGGUAAUUGGAUGAAUCUUUCAUUAAUGUAUGAAGCUUAUCACUUAAAUGCUGAAUUUUGUGUACUUUCUUUAUCAUAUUCCUAAAGUUCUACCCAGGGGACUAGUUUUUAAGGAAUGGAGGAGUUGUUCGGUUUGGACUUGUGAACUCAAGCGAGUCCUUUGAUGAUGUUGAGUUAUAAAUAUUGAUACCUCUCAUCUACAUAUUAUAUGCAGGGACGGAUUUCUAUUUGAAGAAGGUCAUACAGCCAGUUUUUCUUUAGCCAAGUUUUAUGGACAAGGAGGCAGACAGUUAUGGCUAAGUAUUUUUGUCUAACUUUUCAAAUUUGCUGCAGGAUUCAGUCUGUCCAGUUCUUCAAGUGAUUCCAUCAGUUCCUUCAUGUAAACUCAUUGAAGAAACAUGCAAGAGGAAGUUCUCGAUGCAUUUUGAUUAUUGUACUACUGCCAGCAUUGACUUUGUCAUGUUAGAUGAAGAAACUUUUGGCAACAUCUUACAGGUGGAUUCUUGCUUUGCUAAUUCUUCGAAAAUAGCUAAACAAGAAUUAGGAUUAACAUUUUGCUCAUUUCACCAGAGCAUCAUCUCUCGUAAAGAUUUGGAAUUGGUGGUCCACCUUUAAGUUUUAAUGCUUUUUGGAAGAGCGAAAUAAUAACAUUGUUUGGAUUAAUUUGUGCACGCCAUAUUAAGAAUUAAAAAAUGGAAGUCAGAGGAUUUCUGGGCACUUGCUUUAGUUGGUUUUCCCAAUUUCACCCCCCCUGGGCAGAAUAUAUAUAAAAAAGGUAAAUCUGUGAAAUUGAAAAAAUGACGGAAAAUGUAACAGUCGUUUUAAAUGAUAUUUUUAGAGAGAGAGAGAGAGAGAGAGAGAGGUUUCUGUGCAUUUUCUUGGUUGACCUGACCAAAUGUCGUUAGUCUUGUUCAGUAUACUGAGGUACUAAAUACACUAUAGUUCGACAAUGGGCAUUCAUGUGGUGAAAUGUGCAUUUUGCAGCAUCCAGAUUUGACCAUAACCUCUGAAGAAAGGGUUCUGAAUGCUGUCUUGCUAUGGUGCUUACGAGCACAAGAGUUGUUUGGAUGGGAGAAAAUUGAUGAAAUGCUGCUAAUUUCAGCUCCUGAAUCUCUUUUUGGGGAGAGGUUCGAGUCUCUAAAUGUCCUAUUACCUCGUGUGCGCUUCCCUCUGCUUCCAUGCUCACUACUUGAGAAGGUGAGUGAUGUAGAUUUUGUAUGCUUAUCUGCCUGUUCAUUGAAGCAGAAAGAGUUGACAUGUCUUGUCCUGUAAUCAUCUUGCAGCUAGAAAGGAGCAACCUUAGCAGGCACAUUCCUGCUUUUGAUUACUUGGUGAGCCAAAUUUGAGAGAAAGAAACAUGAUUAAAAGCCAAUUGUUAUUUUUAACAUGCUAAUAGCGUUGUUUAAUGAACAAUUUGACAGGUUAAAGAGGCCAUUGCUUUCCUGGAACUUGGACAUAUGAAAGAACCAAAGUAAGUAUAAUCUGACGUUGGUGAAGGCUUGUAGCUAGACAAAUAAAUUCCCUUUUUUCUUCAUGUCAAGUUUUUAUGUUUGUCUCCAGAUUCCCCACCAAUGGGAAGAAAAACAGCAUUUGACUGCACCUUGAUUCUCUGCACUCAUAUGAACGUGUCUAGCAUGAUUAGUGGUCUAUCCUGUGAAUUGUUUGAUUAUUUGCCUUCAUCAUCAUUUCAUAUUGUUUAUACAAUUUUGGCUUCAAAUCCUGGGGACUUAAAGACUGCUUAAUUUUUUUGUAUUGGUCUGUUCUUUAUUAUUAUUAUCAUUAUUUUUACUUGCACUGUUUCAUGCAUGCUCCUUAUUUUGUUUUCAUUUGUUUUAUUUUGUGUGCGUGUAUCUUGUCGUGCCUGCUGCUUUUGUAAUCUAGAACAUUUAUAUUAUGUCGGAGACAUUGUAAUGCUUCAUAUACUUGACCUGUGAUGAGCUCCAUUUCCUUGUAGAGUCAGGUUUCAACACAGGCAGACAAGCUUUAAGGAACUGCAGUACAUAUGUGAUGGGGAUAGCAAUGGGGUUCUUUAUUUUGCAGGCACAUCAUAUGGCAAACACCAGUGGGUAAAUCCUGUUCUUUCUAAGGUAAGCUUUCAACUGCUAAUAAUCCAUUUUUUAAAAUUUUUUUUGGUCCUUUAUUAAUUACUUACAUCUAAAAGUGGAAUCUUUUAGAAAGUGACUGUCACUGCUAGCAGUCCCACAUCAAGAUUCACUGACCCGAAAGUUUUGGCAUCUAGGACUUAUCAGGUAUGAUUUUAAAUGAGCUAAACUUAUUUUUUACCUUCAGCCCUACGAGUUUUUUUGCUGAAUAUAAAAUGAGAUAAGCUUCUUGGACCCCAGGGUACGUCUUUUGCAGGAUCAAGGAUGGGCGAUGGAAGGAAUACUUCAUGGUGGAUGGUUGACAUAGGUCCUGGUCACCAGGUUUGACUACUUCACCUGAACUCGUCAUUUUUUAACUGUAGUUUACAAAAAAAAAAAAGUGGUGCUGUUUUGAGCAACUAGAUACUUGAUGAGUUAGACAAACAUUUCUACUCAAGGCUGAGGAACAAAGUAUUAUUUAUGGAUUACCCCGAACGUGUCAAAAACCCGCCUUCUCUUCGUCACCCACCCAAAAAUCCCCUUCCUGGCUGCAAGUCUUGCACUUUCUUUUCUUCUGAUACAGCAUUUUGUAGUUGCUGAAACAUGGCCUAUUGACGUCCUAAACUUUUAGCGGGAGAAAUCUAGGGUGGGAUAAGGGAAGCGAGAAAUUCCUGAUGCAAGUUUUAUUUAUGGCUAAUGCAGCUGAUGUGCAACUAUUACACGUUAAGGCAGGAUGGAUCAAAAGCUUUCAUGCGAUGUUGGAAUUUUCAGGUAGAGCAUAUCUGCUAAUGAACAACAAAUUUAAGUAUUUCCAUGACUCCGUGUGCACUCGUACAAUAAUUCAGUUGCAUGCAUGCACAACUUAGCCAUUUGAUGGUUGAUUGAGAGUGAGGUAACUAGAAGAAAUGUUGGAUGACAUUUCAGGGCUCUUCGGAUGGGAGGAACUGGACGAACUUGAGAAUCCACGAAAAUGAUGAAACGCUUUGCAAGCCUGGUCAGUUUGCAUCGUGGCCUAUCAAUGACCCCAACGCUCUGCUGCCCUUCAGAUUCUUCAGAGUUAUCAUGACUGCUCCAACAACAGAUGAUACUAACCCGUGGAACUGUUGCAUCUGCUUCUUGGAACUCUAUGGCUACUUUCAUUAACGCGGUUCUGUACCAACUAAUAAAACUGCCCUAAUAAAACUGGUGUUUUAUUAUCCAUUACUACAAUGCAAGCAAGAAUGUACAGUUUCAAAGUUCCAGGUUGAAAAUUAAACAUGGGGUCGGUCUGGAUGAUCGAGGACGGUUUCUACAUGCCCCUGAAGAACACUGAUGCAACUUGAUUUUCACUACCGAGUACUGACUUCUCCCCGUAAUUGUCUGAGAGUGAGAAGUUGGAGAUACGGGCAAACAUUUUAACUCUUUCUUUUGCCUAGCAGUCGGGUUUUGUUACACUAGAAAAAGUUGCUGAACACCGCAAAUAAAUUAUUAUUAUUAAAAAAAAAAAAAGAAAAAAAAACUGAUCUGGGAAACGGUUUGCUUGCCUUCAGAAUUGAUAAAGGAAGUCGUAAAGAAGGAAAAAAAUUUGCAACUACUUCCUAAGUUCCGAGAUAAACCGAAAAUCAAUAAAGUUUUGAUGGACGAGAUUUGAGUAUUCGCAGCGUGGUUGAUUGACUUGUACCAUUUUUGCUGCCAAAUUAUUUAACCAAAUCUGGCAGUGACGGUAGAGCUAUAACAUGCAUUAUUGAUGAUUUAACUUUCCUUAAUGAGGGACGGGAUAGGACGCGGAAAUGGCAGCUAAUAAAGAGGUGUCUAAUCAAAAUUUUCUCGAAAUCCUGCUGGGUUUUUUUUUAUUAUUUAUUUAUUGUUUUCUUUUGGGUGGACGGAGGUUGUGUUUUCACGUGGCACAGUGACGUGUGUGUGGGGAAGCAUAUACUUUGCUUCAAUCAAAAUCGCGAAGGAAAGAACGGCAGAGAAAUCGUUUGUUGUACCAUUUCCUGGGUGGGUGGGUCCCCCUCAGUACUGCGGCCCGGUGCGGUGUCGGACUGUUAUCAUGUGUGACUCGUUUUAUAAUCACCUGACCACAUUUUAUUUUAAUAUUCAUUCUUCCAUUGCCUCGCUCUUGUCUUUCAGUGGAUGGUUUGAGUGAGAGUUGCUGUCGGAGGGGUGAAGUUUUGGAGGAAGAAGAAGAAGAAGAAGAAAAUGCCAACUGCUUGUUGGAAUUUGCUGUCGCAAACUGCUUUAGGGGCCUUAAUGCCCUCUUCACUCAGUAAAGACGCAUCAAAGGUAUUUCAUUUCCCAGUUUAGACAAUUACUAAGGAUAAAAAUGCAAUCUGGUUUUACGUUUGACCUGUUGUUAAGUGCUUUAUCGUUCUUCCCACAUGUUUUAGUGAUGUUACUGGAAUUGAUUUCGGGGAGUUGGGGAGGGGCGGCGAAGGGAGGUGGAAGGUUUUGGUGGUCUAGGACUUCAGUGUUAUGGAGGUUGGCAGGCCUUAUGAGCAAAGUGCUGCUGUCAGCACUACCAUCCCGAGAAGAAGAUGAUGAUCGAUGAUAGAUUGAUAGCUCGUCUUGGUCAGCAGGAGCGUGUAGUAGCGGAUGAUCCUAGUUAGACUUCUUGUGCUUCAGAAACCAGUCUUGAUGAGGUUAUGCUGCGAAAAGCCAGAAACAUUUGGCUGUAGAGGAUAUCGAAAAAGUUACAUGAAAUGAUAGUAAUGAAUUUAAGUACGCUUUCAACUAUCCGUAUAACUUAUCGUUCCUUCUGUUGCUUUUUUACAUUUAAGCAGGUGUCAACAAGUAGCAGGUGUGGCAUCUCAAAAUGCCAAACUAGGCUCAUUAUUGGAUCUUUCCGAGCUGCAGGGUUCCCUUCACCAAAGAGCUGUGUUAAACACGAAAGGGUAUGUUUGUUUGUGGUCUUCUUCUUGAUUUGCUUCCUCGGGAAUGACUAGAGGGAUUCUUCAAACAAAUAGGUUGAACGCAGCUAACUUUAGAAUUUCUUGUCUUGCCUAGACCGCAUUACCAAGUUCAUCAUUCAACAAAUUUGUGAUAGUCCGUAUCAAAUGGAAAGAACUGAAUACUAUCUUUUCCGCAGCUAGAAUCAUGCCUUUUGCAUUUCUUACAUAAACUCAAGCGAUGUAAAGUACGAGCCUCUUAGUUUUUAUUUUAUUUUUUUGGGUGAGGAGGACAGUUUGUUUUUGCAAAUAUUGGAUUAUAUAACAGUAUGAUGGGUACAGGAGAUAACUAGAUUUUGGGUUACGCACAAAAUAAUCAAGACCUAUUGUAAAUUAAUUGAGGAAAAAGCCAUAUACAGUAUUUAUGACGGUCAUACUUUGGCUUUCAAAAUAGACAUCCACUAACAAUUGUACCUUCUGGUGUAUUUUCUCCAUAGGUGCAACCUACUUCAGCUAUCUCAGAUAUUUUGACAAAUGACAACUCAACCAUGUCAACAGCUGAUGUAGAAACUGAGAAUAUUGGCCUCUUUGGCAUGGAUUCAGCAUUGGAGUCAUAUAAGGAUCACUUUAGAUACAGAAUAAUGAGAUAUGUUGAGCAGAAAAAGCUCAUUGAAACUUAUGAAGGGAGCCUCGAGGAAUUUGCGCAAGGUAUUGAUGAAAUUGAAUCUAACAAAUAGCUCACUUUGUCAUUGUUUUCAAUGAGAGUAUGUGUGACGUGAAUAUUAACAUCUUUUCAUGGUUUGCCAGCAAAUUAUUAUGUAGUUAAGCAUGUUUGUUACACUAUCAGUACAAAAAUUUUUAUUAGGGUCAGAUUUCUUCGUUCUACAAACUUAGUUUCUUUCUUGAACUAACUUUAUUUUGGCUGAUCUCUUAGGCUUCAACAUGAUUGUUAAUGUGGUUUGUGUUUUUUAAACAGGGUAUCUAAAAUUUGGAUUUAAUAGAGAGAAAGGUUAUAUACUUUACCAAGAAUGGGCCCCUGCUGCACAGUAAGUACCUUCAGGUUUAUAGAACUACUUGCUUUUGCUUCCUCCCUUGCAUAUAAAGGUUUGGGGGCAAUGCAGGUUGAUUCUGAUUUUUACCAUUUGUAAUUAAUCUAAGUGUUCAACUUAUCAUCGAUUAUGAAGGGAAGCAGAAGUAAUUGGUGAUUUCAAUGGAUGGGAUGGUUCGAACCACAGGAUGGAAAAGAAUCAAUUUGGUGUAUGGAGUAUCAAGAUUCCUGAUUGCAAUGGGAACCCAGCCAUUCCACACAAAUCGAGAGUCAAGUUCAGAUUCAAGCAUGGCAAUGGAGAUUGGAUUGAUCGAAUUCCAGCCUGGAUAAAGUAUGCUACUGUAGACCCGGGAAAAUUUGCUGCACCUUAUGAUGGUGUUUACUGGGAUCCGCCACCGUCAGAAAGGUAACACUUAUUAUCUUGUUAUUAUGGUGUGAAUCUGAAAAUUAUUAUGUUAAACAUUACUGAUCAUUAAUCUUUUCCAUACCAUCAUAUAUAGAUGUGUACAUCCAUUCUAGAUAUGUUGUUGCAAGGCAUAUAUUCUAGAUAUGUUCUAGAGAUGUACAUCUAUUCUAGAUAUGUUUCCCUCUAGCCUUUUACGUGGUGCCAAUUACCAUUGCUAUGUUUUCAGACAGUAAAAGUAUGCAACUUGGAAAGGUUUUAAUGCCUUCAGAAAAGAAUCAAGAUAUUUGCUUUUCUGCUGACAUGAAACUUGUUCAGUGCUUAGUUGUUAAAAUUAUGCAGGUAUCAAUUUAAAUACCCUCGUCCUCCAAAUCCCAAAUCUACACGAAUAUAUGAAGCACAUGUUGGAAUGAGCAGCUCGGAGCCGCGUAUAAAUUCAUAUCAAGAAUUUGCAGAUGAUGUUUUGCCUCGAAUUCAGGCAAAUGGCUAUAAUACAGUACAGCUAAUGGCCGUAAUGGAGCAUUCAUACUAUGCAUCAUUUGGCUAUCAUGUUACCAAUUUCUUUGCUGCUAGUAGUAGAUCUGGAACACCGGAGGACCUAAAGUAUCUGAUAGAUAAAGCACACAGCUUAGGUUUGCGGGUAUUAAUGGAUGUUGUUCAUAGUCAUACAAGUAACAAUAUCACUGAUGGUCUUAAUGGGUUUGAUGUUGGGCAAAGCUCACAAGAUUCAUACUUCCAUACUGGAGAGCGUGGGUAUCAUAAGUUGUGGGAUAGCAGACUAUUUAACUAUGCCAACUGGGAAGUUCUUCGUUUCCUUCUGUCAAAUCUUAGGUGGUGGAUAGAGGAGUUCAAUUUUGAUGGAUUUCGAUUUGAUGGAGUAACAUCAAUGUUAUAUCACCAUCACGGGAUUAACACGACAUUCACAGGGAACUAUAAUGAGUACUUCAGUGAGGCCACAGAUGUUGAUGCUGUCGUAUAUAUGAUGUUGGCAAACCAUUUGAUUCACAAAAUUCUGCCUGAUGCUACUGUAGUAGCUGAAGAUGUUUCUGGAAUGCCGGGACUUUGUCGGCCUGUCUCUGACGGAGGAAUUGGUUUUGACUACCGCUUAGCAAUGGCAAUCCCUGACAAAUGGAUUGAUUACUUAAAGAACAAAAAAGACGAAGAUUGGUCAAUGAAGGAAAUAACUUGCAGUUUAACUAACAGGAGAUACACUGAAAAGUGCAUAGCAUAUGCAGAGAGCCAUGACCAGGUUGAAAAGUUUUGUGCUUUUUGCCCUCAAACAUCAGUUAUUCCAUUCUCCAGGAGAACCAAGUCUUUUUUCCGGUCCUGAUUUUUGUUUUUAGUUCCUCCAUUCUGAUUUUAACUUGGUAGCAUACGAGUUGUGUCUUAUGCUUCUUUUCUGUUGUUAUUUUGAGUAGGCAAUUGUUGGUGACAAGACAGUUGCCUUUUUCCUUAUGGACAAGGAAAUGUAUUCCAACAUGUCCUGUUUGACUGAAGCUCCUCCAGAAGUUGAGCGAGGAAUUGCCCUUCACAAGGUUUGUUUGGACUCUUUGAUGGCACAGUGUGUCGAUUCUUUUAUCUGAAAGGAAAAGGAAAACAAAGAAAAAGAAAAACCUAACACUUCUGCACUAGACUCUCUUUUAUUUUAGCCACUUGUUUUUCUUUCUGUGAAUUGUGAUUUAUUUCAUCUCUCUCUUUUUCCUUUCUUUCUUUUUUCUUUCCCUUUUUUCUUUUUUUUUUUUGUUUGGGGGGGGGGUGGGGUGUGUGUUGGGGUCAUGCGAUGAGGUUUUGGGGUAAGGGGAGAUGGGAAUCAGAAAGUGUCAGUCUUGGUCAAUGUCUUUAGUCUCAUCCAAUUCUAUGCGACUCUGAUUGUUGAAAAAGUUGCACGCAGAUGAUUCAUUUUAUAACUAUGGCACUAGGAGGAGAAGGCUACCUUAAUUUCAUGGGAAACGAGGUAAGCAACCCGACCCUCUAGUUUGCAAGCAUCAUUACUACAGUAAAAAUCAGAUUGAGGUAUUUGAAAAUUGUACUCUGUAUGAACUACAUUGAACAUGAAUUUUGUCAAGAAAGCAUGAAAAGAAUUUUGGUACUUAAAAGAAGGUAGCUGAAUUUCUAACAAGUAAUAUAAAUUAUGGUAGACGUAUAUAAAAUGCUCUUACAGCUGACGAGGAAACAAAACCAUAAUGUAGAAUUUGGUUCAAGGACAAGACUGCUAGAUAUCUGCUCUUACCUCCCUUGUUUUAAUUUUUCGUUAAUCUGGACAAUGGAGAGUUUCCAUACAAAGCUGCAUGGAGGGGAAUAAUGGAUCUCUCAUGUGCUUCUGUUGCAGUAGUAUAAGACUACUAUUAAGUGAUGCUCUACCACCUGUUGUAGUUUGGCCAUCCCGAAUGGAUUGACUUUCCAAGAGAAGGCAAUGGUUGGAGUUAUGAGAAAUGCAGACGCCAGUGGGACCUUGUGGAUACAGAUCACUUGAGAUACAAGGUCCAGAGAUCCUGUUCUUUGUCAGUAUUAAUCUGCUAUCAUCCUAUUGUUUAGGCACAUUCUUGUGUUAAUCUCUGGCAAUAUACAUGCAACUUCUGUUCCUAUCUGCUAGUAAUAUGUAAUUCCAUACUGCUUUUGUAUAUAAUUUCAUGAUUCCAUUGUCAAGAAAUUCACCACAAAUAUGUUGUAACUACAUCUUUCAUAACCAUAAUGUUCUUCAAUGUCAUUCUUCUGUGUGGUAAGAAGCGUCUUUCAGCAACUUUAUCUCAUCUCCUGUUUACGUUAGCAAUUCCAUAAAUUGGAUCUUAAAGUAACUGACUUCUAAAUUUAACUUGUCCCAUCUGUUCUUUGUAUGCAGUUCAUGAAUGCUUUUGACAAAGCUAUGAAUUUGCUUGAUGAGGAGUUCUCUUUCCUUGCUUCAUCCAAACAAAUAGUGAGCAGCAUAAAUGAAGAAGACAAGGUAGAGGAGAGAGGUGUUUAAAUGAGAUGAGGAAUGUUGUUGCAGUUAUAUCGUUAUCAUCAUCGUGAAUGAAGAUGGGGGAGGGUUGGGUUGGGUGGUAAGCGGGGAGGGAUUGUAAGUAGGAGGUCCUGGAUUCAAGACCUCCUACUUACAAAAAAAGGGGGAGGGGGAGGUAAGGGUUGGGUUGGGUGGGUAAGGUGGGAGGGAUUUAAAAAAAAAAAAAAAAAAGGAAUGAAGUUGAAAAACCAUAGGAUUGUACUAUACGAUGUUAAAAUGCGAUCAUGUGUUGUCCAUGGACACAAAUGCCGUUUUGCCACCAAGCUCUUUAUACUUAUCAGAUUGCUGUAAUUUUUGUUUGUUUGUUUGUUUAAUUUUUUAUUUUUUAAGUUUUUUUGCAUUGACCUACAGGUGGGGUAGAUUUUUAUCUCUCUUUCAUUGGAUCAACUGUUCAUUUAGAUGAUUGUCUGGUCCAGGUCAUUGUAUUCGAACGUGGAGAUCUGGUAUUUGUCUUUAACUUCCAUCCAGAGAAUAUGUACGAUGGGUAGGGAUGCCUUUCACUAUCCUAUUCAUUGCUUCUCUUGUGGUGUGGCUGUAGAAUUAAUGAAAUCUGAGUGAGUUGAACCAAAGCUAAUUUUUAUACAUAUUUUGAAACUGCUCAAGUUCGUGCUGUGGUUAUCCAGGUACAAAGUCGGGUGUGACUUGCCUGGAAAAUACAGAGUUGCUCUGGAUAGUGAUGCUUGGGAAUUUGGUGGGCACGGAAGGGUAAGAAAUUCUGUGGAACUAUUUGUUCUGUUUACAAAAACAUGUCUUUUAACCAAUCAGGGGUCAGUAGACCUCUAAAAAUCCCAAAAAAGUGUAAAUUGCUGUUCAGUUUCAUUAACAUGAUCUCAACCAUUAGCAAAUUUGCUCCACCUGAUAAGGACUUGUGCUUGUUUCCCUUGUCAUAUGAUCUCUUCUGAUAGGUGGGGCAUGAUGUGGACCACUUUACAACCCCUGAAGGCGUACCUGGAGUCCCUGAAACAAAUUUCAAUAAUCGCCCAAACUCCUUCAAAGUACUCUCCCCACCUCGGACAGCCUUGGUAAGACUCUACAACGUUAUUCUUGCUAACAGUAUUUACUCCUAAAACACAUUUUUCUCCACUUGGUCUCCAAAUAAAGCACAUUUUUCUCCACUUUUUCUCCAAAUUUUCUAAAUUAGUGAUAACAGUAGGAAUAAGCACAGAGCACAUUUAUUUUUUCAUUCACUGCUUCUUCUUCAGCAGGAUGUUUGUUUUGAAUUGUCUUUGCUUCUAUGAAUUUAUCUGCUUUGGCAUGUAAGGGAAAAUAUGUCCUAAUUGUGAUACUCAGACCCCCUCACAGUUUAAUCCAAUGAUUCCAAUAUCUAUGUAUAGUUAACCUGAUCUACGAGACUUGGUGAAGUGCACUCCAGUUGUGAUGCUAUGUUGUCCUUGUUAAUAUAUGAUCAAAACUUCAUAAACAGUUGAUUUUGAGGGUGAUGUUGUAGUAGUAACUUGGGCUGCUUGUGUUAUACUCGAGAUUGACCCAAACCUACCCUGAUUGCUUUGUAUCCUCUUUAGGUUUAUUAUAUGGUUGAAGAAACAUUAGAAGAGAACAAUCACAAUAAGUCAACCACCUUCAGUGAGGCCGGUACAGCAACUCUGGUGGAGGAUGAGGAGAAUAUCAAAAAACUCGCUUCUGCUGACAAGUCAGGCAGUUUCAGUGAGAGCAGUACGACUGGUAGGUUGGAGAAUGAAGAGCGAGAAUUUGCCUCUUCUGAAAACAGAGGAGUUGUUUCCAGUGAGGCGGAAGGUCCGAACUAAAAGCAAUCAAAGAUGAGCUUGCUGAUGAUUGAUGGCCUGGUUCGUAACCAGAUUACAUCUGUCAAUCAGACUCAGCAUAUAUCAGACUCAGCAUAUGUAGAAUUGUACAUACAUCUAGACAUGGUGACGAACAUAAUAAACUUCGGAUCCCAACAACGUGUAAAUUUCUCUGGGGAUAUUAAGGUGUGUGUAUCUAUUUUCCAGAUUACAUCAAUAUACAAGCUAAACUUUUUAGUGAAGAUCUCAGGGGAUUUCCUUGCAGUUUGUUAAAUUCUGACUAAAAUUUGGCUUUUAUAUUUGUAGUAAAUUGAAGAAUGCUUUGUCUGGGAUGGUACUGUUCUUAAAUUGUUACCGGGCAGGCAAUAUCUAGAUCUUUUUAAUCCAAGCUUCUCCAUAACAAGUUUCUGAUAAGAGGCUCCUUGUGUUGAGCGUGUCGUUUUUUAUACCUAGACUACUGUUGUAGCCAAACUUCUUCAACCAAGCUCUUGAAUACUGAGCGAUCUUGGCAACUGUGGUCUUCUAAUCUAUUUCUUGGUAAAGAACAUUAUAGAAAAUUUGGCUCUAUGUUAAUUAAUAGUUUAAUCAAGCAGAAAAAGGGGAUUACCCUUGAAUGAGUAUGAAACAGUGGUCAGAAAAAUGGAUGCUCUCUACCAUUAGUACGAUAAUCAGUACAUGGAAUGGUGAACUCAAUCGCCAACUGUAGAGAACCAGAAAACAUUUGUUGUCCAAUAAAUCUGAGCAAGAUUUACAACACACCAAGGUGGUAGCUGAAAGCUGCAAUUACGGUUAGGCCAGCCAGGCCAUUCAUGCGUAAUUGUGAUUCGCAGAAUGUAGCAAGUGAAGGCUCAAAAUUCCAUUUAGGCACCAACAUCAGAUAAUUACAUUUGAGCUAUGAGUUACAUAGCCUCUAAUUUCGAAAGUCAGCAAAGCAUCAUAACAUUCAUAUAUUAGUUACUAAUAGUACUAUAUAUAUAUAUAUAUAUAUUAAUCUUCCAAUUUUCAAUCCUCAAAUUUUCACUUUAGAAACUAAAUCUACCAUUGGAAAGCUAGCAAAACAAAUUCAGAAACCAAAAAAAAAAAAAAAAAACUCCAAUUUCUCCACAAUCUGAAUUUAAACCUCAAAUUUUCCUACCCCGUCUGACUCCAAUUUUCUGCUGUCCCACCCCAACAGAUCUUUCAACAUUUGCAAAAGCCAAAGGUGGCUUCUUGUUCUCCUUACUGGUAGUGCUCCUCAGCAAAUACCUGGAGCUUGAAGCCUGACUCCUGUCCACGGUUGGAGAAGAAGGAACCGUUUUCCUCAAGCUUUCAAACCUCUUGGCCUCCCCUCUUCUUUUAGCGGACUCAACCCUGACACCAAGAUCAUAACCAUGCCCGGCCUUCUUCCCAUCCCCUGUUUCCCCCACCUUCUUCCUCUUCAACCUCUCGUUCCUUCUCGCGGAGUACUCCUCAUAGAACCUUCCCCUUUCAAACAAAGUACUCCUAUUAACACUCAUGCUAGUACCAACCAAACCAGCAUCAGCCCAGUCUGCGCUGGAAAACUCCUGAUGCACCAUUUCUGCCAAAGCCCUCAAUUCACAAGAAAUGGUACGGUACUCUGGGCGAACACCCAAUUCCAGUUCUUCAAUCUCACAAGCACCUUUAGGCAACUGGGAUUUCGUUAAAGAACCUAAUUUUGCAAAGAAAUUUCACAAAGAUCGAGAACAAUAAGAAAUGCAUAAUAUAAAAAUUCCCAUCUUAAAAAUGAAAAAGAAUCGAGAGUUUCCAGUUCCAAGAAAGAAGCAUAGAAGCACCUGGUGGGGUUUGGAUGGUGUUUGUAUUGGACUGAAGAGGACGGCGAGGUCGGAGGCGAAGGUGGAUUGGGGAUCUGGCCAGUGGAGGCUUGCGAGAUGAUGGCAUCAUCUUGUUGGAGGUGAAAAAUGAUGAUCUAACGCUUCUGUUAAGUACUACUUAGAAUAGUAUGAACCUCGAGGGAUCAGCAAAGUAGGAGGGAUGACGAGGGAUUAAUAUAAUUUGAUUGGAAUAAAAGCAGAGGGUUCAGGAUGGAUAGUUGAUGGGGGAUGAGACGGUGGUGCUAAUCUGUCUGAAAUGAUUUAAGGAGAUUGUUUUAGGAGGGGAGGGAGACGUGAUUAGUUUUCGAAUUCUAGUGAAAGAGACGGGGAGCGCUUCCAAGUUCCAACGGUCAUAUUCAACUUAAAUUAAGCGAUUUGGACGGAUAAUAAACAAGUUUACGUUUUUGGUCCUCUUCUGACUUCUCGUUGCAUCCUUUACAUUUCCAACCCUUCACCUUUUAAUCUCGUCACUAAUUCUAACGAUUUUAUAUCCUCGUACACUUUUUUGGUAAUUUUUCAUAUCACACUAUGUGUAAGAACAUACUCGUUUCAACCAACUCAAUUUGACAUUAUACUUAUUGGGUCGAAUUUAAAAAGGAUGACAGAUUAAAUAUGAUUUUUUUUAUCAGCUAUAGUUAUAAACAAAUCAAUUGAAAGUACUUUAUAGAGGUCGUAUUAAAUUUUGUAGAGAGGAAAGGAGAGGAGAGUCACCUCACUCUAAGGUUAGGACAUAUAUAAUUAACGAAUGAACUGACUUAAAUUAUUCUUACAAAUCAACUAUGGAGGGCAUUUUAAUUAAUAACGAGAUUCACUCCUAACACAAGAAUCAAGUCCUUGCCCACUAAAUCAAAACGUGUUGAUGGAUUCAAUCUGGUGGAGGGUUACGGUGUAAUAUUAAAUCAGGUGAAAUGUUAGGGAUUCCACUUAUUCCCAUAAAUCAACAAAUAUAAGCUCCCAUCUUUACGAUGAUACUACUCAGAACAUAAAACUAUUCCAAGUUACAAUUAUAAAAGUCAUCCAUGCUUGCUGCUCAACCAAAUUGCACUAGAUAUAAAAUUCCGUUUGAGACACGUCUUUUUUUGUAGAUUUGUGUAAAGAAGAAGCAGAUGGUAGGUAUAUUGCUGAUGUUCUCAAAUCUUGACCCUGAAUUUGGUGCUGUUUUGAGGCCUCGAAUUUCUCAACUUGAACUGGAAUUAAUACACCACUUACCAAACGGUUACACAGCUGGUCGUCAUACAAGUUAACAAACAAUAAAUCUCCUCAAUUUAAAAGGUUCUCCACCCGUAUACUAUUUCGGCGGGAGUCCUGCAUCAUCCGUCAGAUGAUCACGCAUGACUCUUCUUCGUUUUGGUUUGGGUCCUCCUUGAUUACGCAUGAUUCAGUUGGCUUCUUACGCAAGUAUAUUCCCAAGUCUAAAAUUUUGUCCCUCGUCCAAUUCUUGGUAGCCCACCACGUUCCAAGAAGAACCAAAAUCAUCCAAUUACGUAAGUAAAGCUCAGUAGUAGCAUUGUUCAAUUCACGUCUUUCAACUUCUUUAAAGUUUAUGGUUUAAAUAAAACAAAGGGGCAUUCGGUGUCCUCAUGGGCUGGGCAUAAUCAUAUAAAUAUGGAAUCUUGUGACCCCGAGUCUACUAGCACUUGGCCACGCUCAUGGCCAUGGACAUUCACAUGCCAAAAUCCCGUGCACCAAACCAGGAGAACAGAACAAUAGCGAUUAUAGGUGCCGGAGUUAGCGGCUUGCUUGCCUGCAAAUACGCACUACAAAAGGGCUUCUCUCCGACAGUCUUUGAAGCUCGGAGUUCCAUCGGGGGAGUAUGGUCCAGGACUUGCGACUCUACUAAGCUGCAGACUCCCAAAAACCACUACCGCUUUUCAGAUUUUGCAUGGUCAGAUUCAGUAAAAGAGGCCUUCCCUGAUCACAACCAAGUUAGGGAGUACAUCUACUCGUACGCUCUUCACUUCAACAUCCUUCCACAUAUCAAGUUCAAUUGUAAAGUCGUCAGCGUUGAUUAUUUAUGUACAUCAUCUGAAGAGGACAUGUCUUCAUGGGAACUCUGGGCUGGCACUGGUGAGGCCUUCUCACCUAAAGGAAAAUGGCAUGUCAGCGUACAGGAUUUGCAAACCUCAGCAGAUACCACUCAGGUACUCAAUCUUCCCAUUUUUUAUUUUUUAUUUUUGAAAAGAUUAGGCACUCAAUCUUUAUUUAGGUAUUUUCUUAUGAAUCAUGGAGCUUCAAUUUGUACUCUCGAAAUCUCCUUUAUCCAAAGAGACUACAUGCAUGCACGUAUACGGUUUUAUUCUGUGUAUAUCUGUAUUAUUAUUAUUAGUAGCAGGAUCAUCUUGUAAUUAUUUUUGGUUUUCCUCCCCUGCUACGUGUUUUUGAAGUUCUUUUCUUUUUAUUCAUAUGGGAAAGAGCAGAUAUCUUGGCUAAAGUAACAGUUGUAGCAUGAAAUGUGUGGUAACUGAAAUAUAAAAAAGAAGUUACAUAUAAAACGAAUAUAUUCUAAAUUAAAGUGAAGCAGAAAAAGGGUAUCUUCAUCUUGAUUUGUUGCCAGGUAUACCAAUUUGAUUUUGUAAUCUUGUGCCUUGGGAAGUUCAGUGGCCUAGCCAACAUCCCACAAUUUUCAAUGAACAAAGGGCCAGAGGUAUUUGACGGUGAAGUCAUGCACUCUAUGGACUAUGCUGCAAUGGACAAUGCAGCUGAAUUCAUCAAGAACAAGCGCGUCACAAUAGUUGGAUUCCAGAAAUCUGCAAUCGAUAUUGGAACCGAAAUUGCAAAAGUGAAUGGUAGGUCUAAGCAUUCUUUUCAAUUUUCUGUUCAUUUUUCUUUUCUCCCCAUCUACUGCAAAAUACGCUGGUGAGAAGACUGGUUUAUUAUGGUACCUCCUAAGAUGUUUGAAAUUUUGGUGGAAGGCUUUCUACCACACAAAUUAGAUAAACUCAGGACCGACAAUAAUUCAUCUUUGCAGGGGCAAAGCAUCCGUGCACAUUGCUAUUCAGGACUGCACACUGGUCAGUCCCUGAAAAUUUGGUUGAAUUCAUUUUCCGGAACCUGAAUAGAGUCUCAGAGCUUACUGUCCAUAAGCCUGAUGAAGCUUUCUUCCUGUGGCUCUUAGCUGCUCUGCUCUCACCCCUGGUAACACCUUCUUCUUUGCCUUGAGUAAUUACAUUUUAGUAAUGAGAAAAUCCUCCUCCAGUUUUGUACAAUCGUGGCUUCUCGAUCCAUUCGUCUUUCUAGUUUCACAAUGACAACACCUAAAAGACAAAGUAAGAAGCCAAGAAAAUCUCAAUACGAUUAGAGUAAAAUCAAAGUUAUGACUUCAGUAAGACUAAUAAGCCACUAACCAACCUUUGAGAGUGUGAUUUCAGCUAUGGAUAUAUUCAAAGGUCAUCGAGAAUUAUCUCAAGUGGCUAUACCCCCUGGCAAAAUAUGAUAUCAUUCCGGAACACGGCUUCCUCGGGCAGAUUCGUUCCUGUAUGUUGACAGUCUUGCCAGCUGACUUCUAUGAAAUAGUUAGAGAAGGUUGCCUAAUCCUGAAAAAGGCACAAACUUUCAGCUUCUGCCAAACUGGAGUAGUUGUAGAUGAUGAAGAUGUGCCCCUGGAAACGGAUAUAGUCAUCUUUGCAACGGGAUAUAAAAGCGACCAGAAAUUUGCCAGUGUUUUUAAGUCAAUCGACUUUCAGAAAUACUUGCUUGGAUCAUCAGCUCCUUUCUACAGGUAUUCAAACCAACCUUGCUAAGUUUCCUUUAGCAAUGCUACACAAGCAAACCGAAACCAAUGCAAAAUUUCGCAUUUUCCCCUCUUUGUGACUACAUGACAGGGAAUGCAUCCAUCCAAAGAUACCACAGUUGGCAAUAGUAGGAUACUCGGAGAGUCAUGCGACAAUAUACACCACUGAGAUAAGGGCCAAAUGGCUAGCACAUUUUCUUGAAGGAAAUUUUCGGCUCCCAACAAUAAGAGAGAUGGAACACAACGUGAUGAGAUGGGAAAAAUGCAUGCGCCGGUAUACCGAUCCAAACUUUAAAAGAGGUUGCGUUAGUGUAAUGCUACAGAUAUACUGCAAUGAUGAAAUAUGCAGGGACAUGAAUUGCAAUCCUAGACGAAAGAAAUCCAUUCUGUCUGAGCUUUUUGCACCUUAUGGUCCAUCCGACUACGCUGAUCUAAGUAGCUUGGGCAGAGAAGAAUGACUGGAAAGGAAUUUGAAACCCUUCAUAGAAUUGCUCUACUUCUUUCAAUAAAUUGCUUUCUCAAAAGCGCGCUAGUUUCCAAAUACGAGCCCAGAAGGCAUAUAAUACUUGUUUGAUGAACGUUAAUUCAACUAGGGACUUUAAUCAAAUCUAUCAAUCAGCAGAUUAUUUAUCCACCGAAGUUACAGGCUCUCUCUUGCCUAUCCAAUCUCUCGAAUUCAAACAACUCUCAAAUGCUUACAUGACAUGUACUUCUAAUGUUCUUUAUAGUAUACGCUUCUCAUAUUACAUUUCUUCUGCAUACUCCUAGAAGUAACUGAUCUAAUUCCAAAGACCACUUAAAUUUAACCUACUAGUCAUUUAAAGUAAUAAAUUUAGAGCUCCUUGUUAUAUAAAAGUAAAAUUAGCAUUAACAAUAAAUACAAGCACUCCCUGUUAUGAAACAACUUAAAAAAGAGGUGGAUGUCCAUUGAGUUUUCCUGAAAUAUGAAACGACUGACUAUUCAGUUCCCCUAUGGAUCUUGUAACUUUUCUUGUAAUUAGAGGUUGACCAUUUAGUUCCCUUAUGUUUUGUUCCCUAUAAAUAGAGGUCAUCCAACCUCUCUUGUAACCUUUGAGAGCACUUGAGAGAAUAAUACUCUUUGAUAGUCAUGUUUUCCUUUUUCGUCUGUACCAAAUUAUAGUCCACCUUCCAAUUGAAAAAUGUAGUUGUAUUUUAAUUUUUCUAAAAUACCCUUAUUCAAUGUAAGUUAUUGUUACUAUAAACCUACCUCAUUUAAUGAGAGUUUAUUCUUUUUUUACCGUCAAUUCAAGUUCCCAUAAAGUUAUACUAUAAUUAAUGUGAGGGUAUUUUAGGAAAAUAGCGACCUAAAUUGAUUGUUCUAACAAAGUUAAUUACUUUUUGUUCAACUGUGUGAAAAAAAAUCAGGACUGUCAAAGUGGGACGGAGGGAGUAGAAUGUUUUUGUUUGGAUAGAGUAUUAUUUCAAAUAAUUACUAUAAUACAUUUUGUAAUGUGAUGUAUGUGAGAUAAAAAAAAUGGUAGGAAAUAUAGAAAGGUAGAUUAAAAAAUGUGUUUAUGAUGCAAGCGAAAAUUUAUUUUGAAAAAAUUUGCUAUCUACAUCUCCGUGCUCUACUCUCUUCGGCACUUUUGUUAUUAGUAUUAGUAUUAGUACUCUACUUUAGUAUUAGCUUUACGAUACUUUUAUUAGUACGAGUCUCUAUUUUUAGACCAAGAUGAAGUAUAAGAAUGUGCUUUUGAGCAAUCAAGUGCAAAUAUAUACUAUUGAGCAAUUAUUGAGCACAAGUACCAUACAUUUGGGAAAAUUUUGAAGUAACAUUUCCUUUUGAGUUCCAUUUAUUUCUUUAUUAUUUAUAUUACAAAAGUGUACUUGUGCAUCUUAAUAUUUUUGAAAAAGAAAUUUUUUUUUAUGAAAAAGAAAUAGAUGACAAAUAUUUGGGAUUAAAGAAUGAUAAUGUGAUAUUUGUCUCAUUGAUAGUGUAACUACACACACUAUAUUUAAAAAUAAAGUGUAUUUUUCUAUUUGACAGUGGAAGAAAUAACUGUUAAUACAAUAAGUGGUAGUACUAAUUUAAUUGAACAUUUCAGAAGAGCCAUUGUAUUUCUUUCUAAAAGAAUUAAAUUUGUGAUAAAUAAUAUAUUGCUCUCUAUUAAGUUUUGAAAAAAAUUGCUGAGUUUUAAAAAUGAGUAAAUCUUAUAUACACUAACGGUGUAUACACUAUUAUAGUUGAAUAUACAAUACAUAUGCAAAAUUUGAGUUUCAAAUUCAAAUUCGAAUUAUGUAUCAUGUAUCUAAUCAUGAAAGUGUAUAUACUGUCAGUGUAUAGAAAAUUAAAAAUAUCCGUCAAAAUGGAUACUUUUUUCCUAAAAAAAAAGACUUUCUUGUUGUAAAACUAAUCAACUACUAUAGAAUGAAUAGAGAUAUUAGAGAAAGAAUUAGAGAAAAGGAAAAUGAUAUUCUUAUAUUCCAAUGAAUACUAAAAGUCCUACUAAAGGAUGUCAAUGUACCUCUAUAUAUAGGUACUAUAAGAUUAAAGGAAUAUCAAUCCUAUUAAACAUCCACUAUUACAAGAAUAUGAAGAAACUUAUGAAACGGUUUCUCCACUACAUGAGUAGAUUUAUGGAUUGUAACUUCUAUACAUAAUAUAGUCAUAAAUCGUGAAUUAAUUCUCUUGGGAAUACAAAGGGACAUCCACACUUUAAAUUGUUUCAUAACACUCCCCCUUGGAUAUCCAUUAUGCAAAGAAUAUGCCUCGUUAAAAUCUUACUAGAGAAAAAUCCAUCGGGACAAAAAUCCUAGUGAAGGAAAAAGAGUACACUAUUCCUAUGUAUUAAUUUUUUCCCCUGAUGCAAACAUCAUUUGAGAUUUUUUAAUCGUCAGAUUUCAAUAUUUUUCAAUUGCAUUGAGAUAUGGUACUUUCAGGACCAAGUGUCUUUUCAUCUUCCUCUUGUCGUCUAAAAGGAUCCUUAUUAGGAUCUAAUGAUCUGACGACCAUUGGAGUAUUUAAUGUAUAUGUUUUAUCCAUAUGAAAUCGCUUUAAUACCUUCUAAGUAUAUGCAGUUUGGUGGAUAAAAAUUUCACUUUUCAAAUGUUUAAUUUGUAAACCAAGGAAUUUUAUUUUUUCAAAAUCUUUGAUAUCAAAUUCCUUCUUCAAAUAUUCAAUAUUAUUUUGAAUAUUUUCAGGAGUUCCAAUCAGAUUUAAAUCAUCAAUAUAUAUAUAGCAAUGAUCACAAAAUUUGAUCCAUUUUUCUUGAUAAAAACACAUCGACAUAUUGGAUCAUUUGUAUAAUCUUCUUUAACUAAACAUUCAUUGAAGCGGUUAUACCACAUAUAUCCAGAUUGUUUGAAUCCAUACAAAGACCUUUGUAAUUUAAUAGAAUAAAUAUCUUUAAGAUUUGAUUUGCAUGCUUCAGGCAUGUUGAAUCCUUCGGGGAUUCUUAUAUAAAUAUAAUUUUUAAGAUUCCCAUAUAAAUAUGCAGUAACGACGUCCAUUAGACGCAUAUCUAAUUUUUCAUGUAUUGCAAAACUCACAAGAUAUCUAAAUGUGAUAGCAUCCACUACAGGUGAAUACGUUUCAUCAUAAUCAAAUUCAGACAUUUGUGAAAAUUCUUGGGUUACAAGUCUUGUUUUAUACCUUACAAUCUCAUUUUUCUCAUUUCUUUUUCUCACAAAUACCCAUUUAUAUUCUAUUGACUUUACACCUGUAGUCCAAACACUUUUCUUUUAACCAGUUAUUCCAAUUCAGAUUGAAUCGUAUUUUUUUAUUUUGGCCAAUCAUUUCUAUAUCGACAUUCAUCAACCGAUUUAGAUUUAUGAUUCUCAUCAAUUUUUAUAAUAUCAAGUGUUACAUUUCAUCAGACUCUAAUUAAAUUUUCUAUGAUUUCGUUCUCUUCAGGAGUUGGCUCUUCAGGAGGGACCUCUUCAAGAGAUUGAAUUUUGUCAUGACAUUUAAUCUCCGGAGAUAUUUGAAAUCAAUUUAUACCUUAUUUAGGUAGAUUGGCCUUA
rnacentral:lncRNA from 1 species